AUCCCUAACCUUGGAAUCUCAUUGUUCUCUGUGAAACGAAAUUGAAUGAGUGCUUCCAUGGCGUUAGCGCCAAGCUUAAAUCACAGCCCCAGGUUUCCACCAUGGAACGGAUCAAAGAUCGUGGCCUGCUCAAACUCAAUCAACCCUCCGAUAAAUUCCACCAGUUUCCAAUCAUCCUCCGUCGCGAAACGCUGCUUACGGUGCCAUACCGUUUACUCGGAUGUCGAUAAUUCUCCUUCCGCUUGCGUCUUCCAUGGCCACAUCACUGGUUCGUAACGUACACUCGAAAUUUUAAAAUUAGGUCUUAGAUGUUUUUCCGAAGAGUGGGGAUUCGUCUUCACAGUUUUUAUAUUCUUUUGAGAAAAGCUUAUAUUGAGGUUGAAAUAGUACGUGAAUCUGGUUUUAUUAAUAGGGGAGAGGGGGUUGUUUGCUUUGUCGCCCCCGCACCAGGGGAUUGACGGUGAAUGGAGUGACGGCUCCGGUGUGAUCGUUUAUAAAUGGAAUGAUAAAUCAAAUCGUCCUAACUCCGGAACUGGCAACUGGAAGAGACGGUGGAGUUGUUGCUCCGAGUACGAUGAACGUGCACCUCCUUGCCGUCGGGGAUGGCACGUUUCUUACGACGAUGGGUUCACUUUGUAUUAAUAGAAUAGAGUGUCGUCUCUGCCAAUAAUUAAUGGCAUUUGUAUAAACCGUAAGAUUGAUGGCAUUCGUAAAUUGCUUGAAUGUUAUAAGAAGUGUAUUGUAAAGUGUAAAUUGCUGGGAUGUUAUGAAAAUUAUAUUACAAACAGAUUUCAAAUACACGCUCCAAACAUUGAAUCUCAAUCAUGUUACAUUACAAAAAUAAUCUCAAUACAGGCAUCAAACCUAAAUUAGGCAUGUAAGGUUGAUCAACCUUGCAUGAAGUAAAGAUGUGAACAUCUAAGCUAAUGUUGUGAAGUUUUAAUCAAAUUUGAGUAACGUUCAAAUUCGCAACUAACAAAUUAAACAUUAGCAUAUAUUUAAUUAAAACUUGCUAAAUUUACACAAGUCAUCUUCCAAAAACAUUAGAUUGUAUGAACAAAAUUCUCAUAAAACAGAGACGAGAGAGAUGAGUGUGAAUGGUGAAAAAAAGCAUCCGAUUCUCAUCAUUCAAGAAUAAGCAUAUAUAUAUAUGUGUGUGCAUAACAACAAAUUCAUACACUCUCCGAUCAAAUCUCCGGUGACGCCACAAAAGCUGCCUAAUACGAUCCCACCGUCUUGAACGAAUCAUGAACAUGCCGGAGCAUAUCCUGGUCCCGAUUCCACUCCGGCGUCGGCGCAUUCACAAAAUGAGCAUACAGCUUGUUCUUUGCACAAGUCACCGAGAUCAAACUAUGAGUUCCGGCGCCGUCGAUCUCGUACACAUAAUAAACCUGUCCAUUCUCAUCCUUCUUCUCUUCCGCCAAGAAGCUCUCGGCGCUCGCGAUUUGAUCCUGCAAAUUCACGUCCGAUAGAGCCAGGUUAUUCAGAAUCACAUCCUUCGGCCCUAAUUGCCGGAUUCCAGCCAGGAAAGUUAGGUAUUCUUUCUCUGAUCGUUUCUUCGGAUUGUAAAAUUCACUAUCGGUUCCGUUGGUACCUGCGGAAAUUAGUAGGUAGAAUUAAUUUUCGGAACGAAUUGAGCUAUUAGAUAUCUUUAAUUUAGGGAUUUUGGAGUACCUUUUUCGACUUUGGAUACUAAUCGCUCUUUCCAUCCUUCCGGCACGUCGUAGAUGUAUUCUGCUGUGUCUUUCUUGUUGGCGUUGCCACCAAGGCCACCGUAGUUGGCGGCGCUGGCGGCAGUGCCAUAGUAGACAUUGAAAGCGGCCCCGGUAUCGGCGAGGGAGGGUGUAGCGGUGCUAAGGAUCGCGGCUACGGCGAUGGCAGUGGCUGCGAUGGAGAUUGGGGCAGUUGAUGAAAGUGGAGGUUUGGAUUGGAGAAUGGGAAUUUGGGGCUUUGGUAACGAUGAAGCUUGCGGUGGUUUUGGGGCGGUUGUGCCGGUGGAGGUUAAGAACGCCAAUGGCGCGAUUGCUGUGGCCAUAGUGAUUGAUUUUCGUGGAUUUGGGCUUCUGGUGUAUCUCCUCGAACAGGAUUUUCUCCUUAUCCAUUCUUUUUCUAUUUUCCUUUAUUUUUCUAAAUCGUUUUUUUUAUUUUUUGAAUUUAUGUACUUUUUUUUCUAUUUUUGUAGAAUCCCAUUUAACUUUAUAACUAACCCCUAAUUUAUGUCUUUACUCUCUUCUAUGGCUUGCUCACGUUGAUGAUAUCACAUCACGACGAAUUAAGUUUUUCUUUUUCUUCAUGGUUAUUAAAUUUUGUUUUUACAUUCACCAAAUUGAAUUUAAAAUCCAUUUAAUAUAACAUUAAUUAACUAUUUGUUAAAUUUAGAUAAAUACAAGCAAAAGUCAAAAGCUUGAUGAAACAACUAAUUAAUAUACGAGCAUAUGUGGAUUGAGUAGUAGGUGUGGAUGAGAGAUUGUUAAAAGAGAAUUGUGAGGAAGUAGUAUAGUGGCGGAAGCUAACCACCUACUUUUCUUCCAUCUGCGAGCCCAUUAUCCAUGAUCCCGCAACUACUCUACACUUUGGGUAUUAUCCCACGAUCAUAACCUACUCAUGAGUAAUUAUCUACGUUUCGAGCAUAACUCAACUCUCACACUAACAAAGGUAAUCCCCAUUACGUGUCAAGGAGUUAAUGUCUCCAAUAAAAAAUAAAAGAAAAAUAAUUAAAUGUAGCUUGGACAUCACAUACAUCUCACAUAUUAUCUAAUUUACGUAUUAUCUGGAGUUGGAGAGUAGAAAGGUGAUCCUAAUUUAGAGAGAUUGUUUUUUAAAAAGAAAAAUAGAGUAGAGAAGUGGAGGUUGAAAACUCCGCCAUGUAUAUUUACGUAUUAACUCUUCUAACAAAAAAGAAAUGUAACGGUCACUAUUCUUACCUAAACGGACAAAGAAACCCAACCAAUUAGAUAUUUUAAAGCCAUCAAAUAAAAAAUAAGCUUAUUACAAAAAUGCCCUCGAAUUCACCAUGCAAUCUCCCUUUUCCGGGCAGGGGUAUUUCGGGAAUUAUCCCUAAAAUGAAUGGCCAAUGGUUAUAUUGCAUACUGACCGCCAAAAAAGCCCUAGGUACAGCCGUACAGGCGCGAGCCAUAGCUUUUUCUUUUUCCCUUCUCCGAUUGAAUUAUGCACUCCCUUCAUUUCCUUCAUUUCUCUUCCUCUUUUCAUUUCCCUCCACUACCUAUAUCUUUUUCAAAUCUUCUCUCACUUCUUUAAUCAAUCAAAAUUUUUCAUUUCUUUUUCUUUCCUUUUUAUUUCAUUUCAAUCCGUUUCUCUUCUUUCGAUCGCCAUGUCUAAAAGGUCAGUUUCUCGCUUUGACUAUGCUUCUUUAUACGUUCUUGUUGAUAUUGUCUCUUGUUUUUCAUGAGUUUUGAUGAUUGGAUUAUGGGUUCCGAUAAUCGCUUCUUGAUAUUGUUUUUUUCAUCAUGGUUCUUUGGUAUCUUGGUUUUGUUUAUUAGGUUUUGGGCUAUUUCGACGGGAUGGGUUCUUUAACGUUUGGAAUUUACGUUUCAUGAAAAGUCCUUUUGUGGGGUUGUUAUUGAUGCGUUUAUUUGAACUUUGACUUGUUGUUCGUACGGGUGUUAAUUUACUUUGCUGGUUUGUUUAGGGUCUUAUGCAAGUAUUUUGCGCAUGGAGCUUGUUUAAAAGGGGAAUAUUGUGAGUUUUCUCAUGACUGGACGGCUCCACCAAGCAAUGUAAAUAUUACUUUCUCUCCUCUGUGUUGCCAUAUACUAUAAUGGUGUUCAGACUAUUGUUUCUUUCUGAUGCAUCGUCCAUAACAGGUUUGUACUUAUUAUCAAAAGGGAAGGUGUGCUUUUGGCAGUCGAUGCAGAUAUGAUCAUGUUAAAGUUUCUCACGCCGAAUCAUGUUCGAAUGUUCAGCAAUCUCAUGGGUCUGAAUCUGUUUCUGUAGCUCAUUCUCAAUUGUCAAGGCCACUUUCUCCCUUUUCUGGAUCUACAAGCGAGCUUGCUAGUUCAGAGAUACCCAGUCUUCCCUUGCGCGAAGAAGCUGCUUGGAGUGGAGAGUUUGUGCGUCCAGACGGUCUUGAUGAUUGGGUGAAUGGGGAGGCAAGGGUUGUUGGUCCAGCUGAUAUACCUAUUUGUUCUUUUGCUGCGGCUGGUGGUGACUGUCCGCGUGGUGAAAAUUGUCCUCAUAUUCAUGGGGACUUAUGUCCUACAUGUGGAAAACAGUGUUUACAUCCUUUUAGGACGGAUGAAAGGGAGGAGCACUUGAAGGCAUGUGAGAAAAAGCAAAAACAUCUAGAGUCUUUGAAACAUAGUCAAGACAUAGAGUGCAGUGUUUGCCUGGAGCGUGUGCUUUCUAAAACCGAAACAGCAGAGAGGAAGUUUGGGAUUCUAUCAGAAUGUGAUCAUCCAUUUUGCAUUUCUUGUAUUAGAAACUGGCGCAAUAGUUCAUCUACCUCUGGAAUGGAUAUUAAUAGUGCCUUAAGAGCCUGCCCAAUUUGUAGAAAGUUGUCAUACUUUGUCAUUCCAAGUGUCAUUUGGUAUUCUUCAAAGGAAGAAAAGCAAGAGAUUGUUGAUAGCUACAAGUCAAGGCUGCGGUAAAUUUAUGUUCUUUUAUUUCUAAUUUGUGAAUGCAUUAUGGAAACUGUUCAAUUGCUUUCCAUUAUGUUCACGUUUUCUGCUUCCCUUUUGUUAUGUUUUGUUUUGUGUGCGUGUGUGUGUUUAUAUAUAUAUAGAUUUAUUUAUUUAUUUAUCAAACUCAAUUUAGUAAAUUGAAGUUAUUACAUAUCAAAUGUAAUUGUACGAACUAUUAUUUAGAGAAUGGAAACUGCAUAACUACUAAAGUAAACUGCAUAACUGCUAUUAUUUGAGAUGAUUUCGCUACUCUAAUCUGUGAGUUUUUAUCAUUUUCAUAUUCAGAUCAAUAGAUUGCAAGCACUUCAACUUUGGAAAUGGGAACUGUCCUUUUGGAUCCAGCUGCUUUUACAAGGUAAGUUUACCUCUGAAAGCAGUCACUUCAGUUUCCUUAUCCUAAUUGUACUCUUUCAAGCAUGAUGGAUGUUUUUGUACCGCCUUUUGUGUUGUGAGGACUUUCCUAUUUUCCUGAAUUUUUAUUGUUCUUCAUUUUCUUUUCAUUAUGCCCUUGUCCAAAUUGUUUUCUUUACCUUUUUUAUUGAUCAUUGAUAUGCAGCCUGCUGAAUGAAAAUCUCGACCUGUUUGGUUUUGCUAAUCUGCAUACGCCCUAGGAUAUCUGUUAAAUAGUACAUGCUUGCCUACUGGACAUGAGUUUACUAGAAGAAAUCCUUUUUGAGAUCUGAAUAUGGAUAUCUAGUAUAAUGGAAUAUUCUUUUAUCCUAAUUAUUUUCCGUUGGUUUCAUAAGCACCCCCAUCUGCCAUGGCUAUCCAAUCAUGGCUGGUUAGAUAAGGCUCAAUCAUACUCACAUGACUUUUUUUAAUUAAUUUAUUUAAAAAAUGAUAGUUCUGUUUGAGGGGUGGCUAAGAAUUUAAAAGCGCUUUUAAAAUGUGUGAGCUAAUUUUUUUACUUUACUUGAAUUUUUUAAUAACCAUCUUCUUCAUUUUUCUAUUUAAAUUUUAAGAAUGUUUAAAAAAUCUAAACCUACAUUUGAAACAGAAAAAAAUCCCCAAGAACUAUCAUUUUGUUUUUAAAUUUUGGUUGAGAAUCUUCAAGUGUUCUGAACCCCUAUUUGAAACCAUUUCAUUUUUUUUGUUUUUGUUUUUGUUUUUUUAAAUUAAGCUUGCACACACCGUUUUUAUCUAUGGGUUUUAUUAUGUAAUCUACUUUUUAUGAGUUUUAAAAACCAAGCUAUGUUUUGAAAACAAACUUGUUUUUGUAUUGAGAUUCAACCUUUCAUUGGUCUGAUUUGGAAGUCGCAUAUAUUUCUAGGAGAUAUGAAGACCACUAUGGAGAAAUGAUGUGAAAAGAAGCUAAUUUUUCAUUAACUAGAAACCAAAUGGUUAUCAAAUAGGGCCUAAAAAUAUAAAUUAGGAAACGAUCAGCAAUCUUGCUUAAUAUUUGCAAUUACUUUUGUCAUCCCUCUUCGAUAAUUUCUAUGGCUCAAUUCAGGUACAAAGUGAUGUGCUGACUACUUUGCCUGGUUGGCUCUGCCACCUCUAUGUAGUUGUAGUAGUGUAGUAAUUUAGUCUUAGUUAAAUUCCUAGUAAGAAAAAAUUAUAUAUUUUGGACACCGAGAUUGUGUUGCUAGACCUGCUACAAUUGAUUGAUGGGAUCCCUCUGAUUCAAAUUAAUAAUAAGUUAUAUUCCUACAGACUAACAGGUGUUUGAUUUGAAAGUGUUAUCAUGGGAAAAUAAAUGUAGUUUAGGACUGUAGCAAGGCUGGCGGGACCUCUCCUAAACUGCAAUCUGUUAAUCUAUAUAUAUACUUCAUUUGCCAGUCCUCUGCGCUCGUCUAUUUUAGAAAGAACAAAUGCAACUGCUGUGUCACAUCUUCUUCAUCUCAUAUGAGUGUUGCAAUCUCAACAACCCUUAUAUUUUUUGGUGACGUGUCAUAGGUGUCACAUAAGCAGUGCUGUUGCUGUUCAUUUUCAAUCAGUUUUUGUGGUAGAUGUUGAAAGAUGUGAUUCAUAGUGGAUUUUAUCUUCAGAUCUAUUCGCAUUCUGUUUGUCAUUUAAUUUCAUUAGAGCAGAUUGGCUUUCCAAUGAUACAAUGUUUGUUGUGUUCCAGCAUUUGGUCAUUCCUGGUUCAUACACAUGGAAAUAUCACAGGCCACCUCCACGCCAACCACAAUCAUGGAGAACUCCUCCAAGCAGAUCUAAUAUUGUCGAUAUGGAUGCCUUUUUUGAAAUGUUCGAAGACUUGGAGGAUUUGGAUUUUAGUGAUGAAGAUUUAGAUUUUGAAUAUUUAACACUUUUGGAGAUGGCACUAAUGCAGUUGGGUUGUGAAGCUAACUCGUCAAGUGAUGAAGAGUCAUAGUUCUUGGGCUACAGUUUUCUUCUUAGGUUGUUGUAACCUGAUUUAUGUUGGGUGUUUGGCGAGUUUCUUCUAGUCUUGCCAAAAAACUUUGAAUAUUUGCUUCUCUGGCAUUUUUGGCCACCUAGCAGUGCUUUUGUGCAGUAAGAUAAGCUUGUAGACUUUUUUAAUUAUCAUAAAUGCCAUGUUAAUGGGGACUCGUACUUUGCAAAAGGCAACAGUCAUUUGUCCUGGGGAAAAUUAGUUACCAAGUUAUCAAGAUGACGAUGGUCUAUUUAUGGAAGAACCUUUUCUUUGCGUAGAUUAUAAUAUGGCUUCUUAAGUGUUGUAUUUUACUACUGGGAAUUAGGAAUAUCUGCUACAGCUAUCUUCUUCGUUCCUAGAUUUUACGGAGAGUUCCAUUUCUAACCCUCUUGCUUACCAAAACCAAUUGUGUGCUCCUUAUGUUGAUCCUUAACAGAUUGGUUGUUUAUUAUCCCAGUAUGCUGGUAAUUUGAAGUGAAUGUUCGAUUAAUAUGUUCUAUUAUCUAUGAAGUAGUUUUUCCCAUAUGUGGACUUUUGCACACGAUGAUUGUUUUUUGAAUGAAGCCUUAUCUGUUUGCAACUGGGACGUGUGUUGCUUCUUUACUUUCAUUCUUGUAUGCAUUUUUUUUUGUGACUAGCUGUAUUAACUUCAAAAUGAGAGUCAAAUUUUCAAUGUGAUUUUCUCACUGCAGCAUGCACAUCGGGAUGGUCGGUUGGAAGAGAUAGCUCUGCGUCAUAUUGGGAAUGAAGAUGGUCUCACUGUUAUAGCUAAAAAUCUUAGGUCUUGAUUUGUGCAUUGCUUUAUAUUGACCAUUUAUUGUGCAUCUUUUACCUUAUAAAUUUGAAGCUAUUUUCAGGUUGUCGGACUUUCUCAGUGACUUGCAUAUCAGGUGAAGAAUCCUUCAUUCAGGUAUGGAACACACUAACCACUCAUCCUUUGACCCUGAGGUUGAAAGUUCAUACUUUAUGCCAACUUUUGCUAUCUAUUAAAUAUUUCGCAUUUUAAUAUGAUUAAUCAUUUGCCUUUAUGGAUGGGGUAAACUUCAAUAAUUAACCUUGAAAAUAUCAAUUGAAACUCAACAUUUAUAUUAGAAACAGAGCGAAUUAAUCUUCUGGCACUGUCGCUAUCACUAUAUUUCAACACUUCUCUGGCUCUAAAGAGUCCAUGAAACGCUAAACUCUUUGCAUUUUGUAUUUAUCUUGAGUUACAAUAUAUUUCACCUGUCAUUUAAAUAUCUUUUUUAUUGUUGGUCUUCGUUAACACUUGCAAUGUAAUCGAAGAGUUUGAAAAACCCAUUUCAGAUGUCGAAUUGCUUGGUCUGAAGGUCUGAUAUUGAGAAAUGGAAGGUGGGGGUAUCGAACACGGUGCUUCAAACUUUGUGUUCUACAAUAUCAAAAUAAAGCUAAAGACAUUUAUGUCAUAGUGAGAAAUGAAUGUUGGAAACCCAAGCUUGUUCUUCCAAUGAUAUGGUGAAAUAAAGAAUCAUAACAUUCACAUCUCACAUGUUGAAUUUCAGCUGAAUAAUAUGUAUGGGUUCUACAAGUUGUACUAAACAACUGGAAAGUCACAGAAUGUAUUUUGGUUUGGUAUUUUAAAAGAAAGAUAUGUGGGAAUGUCAAUGUUGUAUUUUGUUUUAUACAGAAACAAGUAGAAAAAAAAAAGUAGCAUCAGGAUUUGCCUUCGGAUGAGACUUAGUACUCAUCAAAUUUACAAUAAAAAAAACUGUGAUUUUUUUUCUUCUUUUUAUUGUCAUUUUCAUUAUCAUUCUCUCUUUCUGUUAGUGAUGAUUUGUUGUAUUAGUCAAAUAUUGUUUCCUUCUUUCUCACCUGAAUGAAUCAAAAUACUUGUACAAUUAAUAUAUGUUUCUAGAUGGUUAUUUUUUGCUAUAUUUGUCAACAUCUCCGUAAGUUUUGUCAUUUUUUGAAUAAUUUAUAAGUAUUAGUUUAGUCAUUUUAUCAUGUGAUUACAAAGUCUUAUUUAUCAUUAGCUUUACUCGCACAUCCGACUGUAGUUAUCACCUUUAAAUUUGUGAUGAGGUCGUUACAUAACGAGUUUUAUAUAAUUUGUAAGAAAUAUUUAAAAUAAAUUGAGAUUGCAACCACAUAUUUUUUUUUAUUUUUCAAAGAUGAAAAGAGUUUGUGAAAGCAAUUUGAGGUUACGGUCUUUCAUAAUUUAGUUCGAAUUUCAAAGAUGCUGUUGGCUUGUAAUAAUCUUUCAAAUAUAAAGUCUCGAUUACUUUUCUUUCUUGCCUUCAAAAUUCUUCGGAUAUUGUUAAUUAUAAAGUAUGCAUUCACACUUUAAUUUAUUCAUACUAUUUCAUUUCUAAUUUUGAGCAUUUCUUUGUCAUUUAAUUUUAUGCCAUUCAAUUUCGAUUUCUCAUUUUGAAAAUCUUAGCAAUGUUUUGGAGUAUACGUUACUUUUCUAAACAUGAGGCCAUUCUUUCUAAAAAAUUUAGGGUUGGCGAGUUAUAUAAACAAUUAAUGUUAUGUAGAUGUUUACUUUUAAUUAGAACCUAGAGCUAUAUAAUUAAUUAUUACUCGUUAACAAAAUAUCUUAUUAAUUAUGUGUAUGUAUUUUCCUUGGAAAAUUAAUAAGAGAAGGGAUUGAUAAAAAAUAAAAUAAAAAUAAAAAUACAAGUUGUUGUUUCAUUGUUUUGAGUAAAUAUGCAAAAUAAUUUUAAAUGACUUUAACUAACUAAUUAAUCAAAAUACAUUCAAAUAUCAGUUUUAUAUAUUCUUAUUAUAUUUUGGAUUUUGUUUAUGCAAUUUCAUUAUCUAAUAUAUGUUUAAAUGUAUUCUCAUGCAUAAAAAUUUAAAAAGAUAAAUAAAAAAGUUGGAAGGAAAAUUAAGUAAAAAUCUUCAUAGUUGAAUUAUUUAUUUUAAACAUUAUGAAGGAAUUUCAAUCAAUUUAUUUUGUGUAUAACUUAUUUUAUUUGGUCGUACGAAAAAGAAAAAGAAAAUUAAAUAGUUAACAAUUUAGUAGUAUUAUUUAAGAAAAUGAUGUUUUUUAACCUACUUUUAUUUAAACACUCUCGAUAAAAUAAAAGUUUGCUUCAUUUGUUAUUUUUGACAACUCACCUUUUUAUUAUAUAGGAAGUCUUUUUAAUUAAUUUCAAAUUACUAUAAAUCAAGAAUUUAUUGGUGGAGGUGAUGGCCGGAGUUGGUCAACAGUCAUUUAGAAAUGUAAUUAAAGGUCGGUUGAUGGAUCCUUAGAAAUGACAACUAUAGUCUAAGGUUGGCCACCGAAGAUCAUCAAAUACAUUGUUAGAGAUUGGUAGAAGUUAGAAGGCAACGCUAGAAAAUUGGAGAGAAAUUAAGCUUUAAAACAUUCAAAAUAAUUCAUUUGUCCAUAAACCAACUUAUUUUGUAAGCUCAUUCUCUAUUUCAUGUUUAGGUGGUUGUCAUUCUUUUUCGAAACAACUUACCCUUUUAGUUAAAAAAUAUUUACACGUACAACAAAUAAUCUAAAAUUCUAUAUAUAUAUAUAUAUAUUUCCUAAAAAAAUAAAAUAAUUAAGUUUGUAACAAAAUUACGUCAACAUUAGAUUAGGGUAUAUGAUUUUCGUGCUCUCCUAUUAAAGAUGCAAAUCAUUAAUUUAAAGGCAAACAAAUUUGUCGUAUUAAUUAAAUAUAUUUGUUCUUAUACAAAUACACUUUUUUGAACAAUAAUUCAACCUUUACCUCUCAAUCCAAUUCAUUCCAUAAAAACAAAAACAAAAACUCUAAAUCCAAAUUCCUAAUUUGAAAAUUUGACCAAUUAACCUUAAUUGGAAAAAAUGGGGAGGAAUAAUCCUAAAAAUAACCAUCUUUCACAAUUACUGUUCAUAUUAAUUACAACGUUUCUUUGUACCAUUUUUUUGCCAAUUGGUUAAAACAUCGUUUUUUUUUUAAUUUAUUGGUUCAAUUUCAUUUCCGAUGGGUUCAAUAGAUCUUGAUAGUUUAAUGUUCAUUUAAAUUUUUUCAUCUAAAACAUGUUCAUCCAUUGUAUGACAUAAUUAAACCUAUUAUUGUUAUUGUUGUUGUUAUUUAUUUAAUCAAUUAAUGAAAAGGAAGAAACUAAAUUUAAAUGAUUAAUGACAUUAUAAUAUGUGUAAUCACUGACUUUGAAGUCCCAAAUUGAAACAGAAAGAAGAAGACACAACACCCUAUUUUUAUUGAAUAAAUCACACUAAAUUAAAAAAUAAUAAUCAUACAGCAAAAACAGAUCACUAACAACAAUGAAUCAUACAGUAAAGAGAUUCUAGAGAAUCUCCAUUUUAUUUUCCGAUCAAACUAACCUCUAAAUAUAAAAAUGAUAAUUAAUUAAUUAAUUAAUGUAUAUGAAUUAACAAUCCACAUUCGAUUUAAUUUAGAGCUUUAAGAGUGCAGGAAGAGAGAAGAAGAAGGAAGCAAAGAGCAGAGCCAUGGAGGUCGCAACAGGCAGGGACGACGCUGCUCCUCGGUCGAGCCCUGGCGCCGGCGCUGGAGCUUCCUGAGCGGAAACGAGGGCGGAGAAGAGAGCAACGAGGGCGAGGAAGACGACGGGGGAGAUCUUGGAAAUGGCCAUUGAAAUGAGGAAAGAAGAGAAGAGUAGAGGAGAAAGAAGAAUUGUGCGGGGGAAUAAUUAUGAUUUUUACUAUGUGAGGGGAGAGGUUAUUUAUAGUGAGGGGCAGGAUGGCGCGUGGAACCCACUGGGAUUAAGCGUCCAAUGAGGUGACGAAAAGUCGCGUGAGAAUUGUGGUCACGUGGAGGGUACGUGGAAUAUAAAAAUUGUAGACAAAUAAUAAAAUUCUUUACGUUUCGUACUACUAAUUGAUUAAUUAAUUCAAAUCCAUACCUAAGUCAGUAAUAGUAAUUAACUGUCUUAGUGACCAUCGUUUGUAUUUACGUGGAGGUUUAGGUUGAGUUGGUUCAAGAGAAUACUCAUUUUUAUAAUACAAUUUUCGUACAUAGGAUACACCUAUUUACCUACGUACUUUUAGAAAAAAAAAGACUAUUAAAACAGUAUGAUUCUAGAAAUUUUAAAUUUUUACUAAAGACACUUUGCCAAACAUUGUUUUUGUUUUCUUUAAAUAUGAUUCGGUUGAUUGAGUUGGUCAUAUGAGGGGAUUGUAGAAGUUGGCUAUCAAAGGUUGUUACCAUGAAUUUGAUUAUAAGAGGUGGUUAUUUGUCCAAAAUGGUCAUUUGAGAUGAGUGUCGGUGUUGGCUAUUACAAGUGGUUGUCUCACCAUAUAGUUAAUCAUUAAAGGUGGUUUUCGCCAAAGUUGUUGGAACUCGAAAGUGGUCGUUGGAGUGUACCAAUAUAAUCGUAUUAAGGAAUGGAAGGUCUACAAAUAAAAUGAGUGAAAACAUUAAAGAGUAACGGUUGAAUCGGUUAAAGUAAGAAAUUUCACUGUAGCAAAGUUUGAAGUGGAUGGAAAAAACCAUAAAAGUAGGUUUGUGUGUAGAAGGAGAAAACAACAAAAGAGGGAGAGAAGUUUGAAUUGAGGAAGAAAAGAAAGAAAACGCGGCGUUAGUUCAAAGGCAAUGCGCGGAGGGCAAAGUUGAGAUUUUAAAUUGGGUGGGGGAUGGGAGCUUUGAAGUUUGUUCAACCAAAACAGACGAAACGGCCAAGUGUGCUUUCCCCCCUCUUUUCUUCACUUCGAAUUCAUCUUUCUUUUUUCCUUUUAGUAGGUUUGUGUGUAUGUCUGACCUUCUUUCUUCUACUUUCCUCCAAAACGUAACCCCUUUUCACAUCUGACUUGGGACAAAUAUACAAUUCCUUUCCCUCUUCCACAAUUUUCAAUCUGUCUAAUUAAUUUAUUUUUAUUUUCUGAGUUUCAAAACGUUAUAUUUUUAGUUUUGUUUAAAUUUGACUGCCAAGUGCGUCAGUGAGUCAUGGGGAAUAGUAAAGGGUCUUUUCCACCCACCACAUUCUUCUACUCCUUUGGUUUGCUCAACUUUUAAUUGGUGGUGUCUUCCUUGUGAAAGUUACUUCAAACCCAGCUUGGAUUUCUGAAGCUUUUAAUGUAAAAACAAAGUGUUUAAAAAUAUAAUUUUCAUAUCUUAAUUGUUUUGCUCUCAAAACCACCACUGUGAGAUCAAUUUCAGUCCUAAAUCAUUCUAAUUCAGUUGCUCUCCAGAGUUAAUACAUCCUCCAUUUAUAGGGUACUCAUAAAAAACAUAGAUAAAUGACUAAGAUAAAAUUGAAAAAAAGAUUAAUGUGUUCUCUUUUAAAGCCAACAUGACUGGAAAGCUUUUAAGAAAAAAUAAAUGAAUGAAAACUUUUUAUAUUAAUUUAAUAAUUAAUUCAAACAUGCUAUAACUAUUUUUUUUUUUACAUUAUGAUUGAUGCAACAUUGGUCUUUUCAGAUCAAUAACAAUAAUGUUACAUAAACUAACCUUAUACUAAUUACAUUUACUAUUUUCAUCUGACUUGUUGUGUCAACAUUAAACCAUUACUUAUAAAUUUAGGACAUAAUUUCCAAUCUUGUUUAAUCCAAUUCCUAAUCUUUAACACUUCAAUUCAUAUGUAAUAAAUAUUUUAAAUUUUGUUACUUUUUCUUUUGGUAAAGAUAUUGUAUUUAAAGCCUAAGAAAGAAAAAAUGAACAUGUAACGUUAAAAGUUGACAUAGGAGAAGCAAUUAAAGUACACUGAAAUUUCAUUUAAAGUUGCAUUCAAAUCUAAAGGGGAAGAAAAAAGAAUCCAAGUUGUUAAUUAUUUGGUAAAAUUUUGAAUCUGCAACCCCACCAUCCACAUAUCAUCAAACGGCCCACGUAAGACUCGCUCAAACCAAUUACUUAAUUCAUUUUAACCCAAAAUUAGCAUCUUAAUCUCACCUAUAAAUAAUCUCAAUUACCAUUCAUUAUUCCUCAGGCAGCAAUCCAUCAAUCAAUCAAUCAAUCAAUCAAUCAAAGGCUUCUUCGGUUCGAUCGCUCUCAUCUCCACCGGAAGUGAGUUUUCUGCCGAAGAAAGCCAAUUCGCUCAACCCCAUCCCAUCAUCCUCAAUGGAAAUGAAGAAGAUCGCCUGCGCUGCUCUUUUCGCCGCCGCUGCCAUCAGCGCUGCCGUGGCUGCCGAUGAGUCUCUCUCUCCCGGCGCUUCUCCCGCCGCUGCCCCGGGGCCGAGCAGUGCCGCCUCCGCCGCUCUCCCCGUUCUCGGUGCCUCAGUUGUUUCCUUUGUUGCUGCUUACUUCUUGAACUGAAGCCCCGUCAUGGAGAGGGAGAUCAAUUAUUUCAAAUUUUAUGUUUUUUUCUUUCUUUUUUCUUUCUUUAAUGUGUUUAUUUUCCAUGGAUGAUGUGAUGUGACGAAUUGAAAACAAUAAUAAUAAAAAGGGAAUCCGGAUUCUUUAUAUUGUUUAUUUUCCAAAUUAUGUUAUUCUCAAUCUAUAUUUAUUGUUGUUGCUUUAUAAACAACUUUGAUGAGAAAAUGUUAAUAGUUGGAUUAUAAAGUUUAUAGUAAAUUAAUCUCUAUACAUUAUACUUGAACCACAAUUACCCUUAACUAGUCUACACAUCAUAGCUAAGUUGCAUCAUAAUGGGUGAUUUUUGUUGCUUUUGAUUCAUGAUUAUAGUCAUGAGAUAAAGAUAUACUUAAUUAGGAGAAUAAGAAGUUUAAUAUUCUUUUUUUCUUCAAACAUUCUAUUAAGAAAAAUUAUUAUAAAUGGUAAAUUGGUGAAAAUAUUUACAUAUAAAAUAGUAGAUUUUAUCAAAAAUAUAUACAUGAUUGUUUGGAUAAUAAUAUAAGAAUAAUAUUAUUUAUAAAAUAAAUGAAACAGUAGUUUUAUUAAUUUUCAUCUACAGACAAAAGAAAGAAAGAAAUAUUUUUAAUAACAUUUGAAAGAGAAAAAAAAAAAAGAGCCUCUGUGUAAAAAUGGAAGAAAAAAAAGGUAUUUAAAAUAAAAAAUAGAGAGAAAAGUGAUUAAAUACAUAAUUAACGAAAAUAGUAUUUGAUAAUAAUAUCGAUUCUUUCUUUCUCUGUCUCUCUCUCUCACAAACAUUUCCAAGUUGAAAAUCAAUAACCCAAAAAUGGCCGCCAUUGUUACGCGCAGGUUAAGCUCCAACAUUUUCAGACCAUUUCUUCCUUCCACCUUUCUCAUUUCUCAAAUCCCUCACGAGCCCUUGACCCGAUUCCAUUCUCCACAUUCCGAUCCCUCGUUUCUGGGAUCUUCCCGACGAACAUCUCCUAACACUACGGUUGACCUCUUCAAUUCCAUUUCGAAAUCAAUCACUCACGAUUUACUGGUUCAGAAUAAAACCCUUAAUUUCAAUGACCCAAUUGGAUCUGGUUCUUAUUCGAUUAUGAAAUUGAGAAACCCUAGCUUCGUUUCCAUAUCGGAUUUCGAUCGGAAAUCCAGGUUUUCUACAACUUCCGAGAAGGAGAACGAGCAGAAACCGGAUGAUUUCAAGCACCAAGACAUCGAAGGGCCGACCGUGGAGAGAGAUCUAUCGGCGUUGGCUAAUGAAACCAGAGACGUGAUUGAAGCGAUGAUGAAGAAUGUAUACAGGCUAAGUAAAGCUAUGGCGGUUCUGGGUUUGGUUCAACUCGGCAUUGGGGCUUGGAUUUCGUAUAUAACCCGGGGUUCGCCGAUUACAGAAGUUUCAAUCCAGAGCUUUGUGGCGUUCGGGUUUCCUUUCUCGAUGGCGUUUAUUUUGCGACAGUCUUUGAAGCCGAUGAUGUUCUUCAAGAAAAUGGAGGAACAAGGUAGGUUGCAGAUUCUAACACUGAGUCUUCAGAUUGGUAAGAAUUUGAAUGCUCUGUUUGUUAGAGUACGAACUGUUUCUUUCUUAUGUGUAACUGGAUUGUCUGUUGGAAUUUUGUUUGCUUUGCUUUCCAGAUGAAUUCAUUUGAGUUUGAAAUUGUUGGAUUAUCUUAGUCAUAAUGAACAAAUGUUCUGUUCAUGUAAUGACCUGAAUUUUGAAAACAAUGAAGGUUAUUACACCACCUAUUUACAACACACAUACCAAUUAGAUCACGUUCAUGUUCACAUUUCAGCCUACCGUCUCGAUCCAAGAAGCUGUAUUAAAUUUGCCUUCACUUGUUUCUCGUGGGUAGUGUGUUUAAACCUUUGCAGUGCUAUCUAUUCGUUUUUAUGUGUUUGGUUAAUAGAUGAUUUAGGAAGCAGUAAUGUUUCCAACCACGUUUCAACCAUGAGAAGGUGCGAAAUUGACAAAGAAAAUAGUUGACAUCAUCUAACUGGCAUGUUAACAAGUAAAAUCCUUUUAUUCAAGAGAUGGAAUUGAUGUAAACAGAACAAAUUCUAUCCCUAAAUUUUGUCCAUUAACUUCUACGUCAUUUUUAAUUGGGUCAUCAUGCUAUUCUAGAGAGGUAUGAAAUAAAAAAAAACCAGUUCUAGACUUGUAGACAUCAGCAUCAAACUUGAAUGACUAAUUGCUUUUGGUAAAAAGUAAUUAUAAUAGAUAACAAUUUUAGUGGAGAUAGAAGUAUAUUGUUGAUAGACCCACAACAAACUUUAAAUUUAAUUGUAACCAAAAGAAAUUCACUUCUAGCUAUUCAAAUGAUCAAAUGAGAUGACUUACAUUUUUAAAGUUGAAUUACAAUACCUUCUCAAGGAAAAAAACUUACAAUUACAUUAAAUUUGGAGGUACUUAACUACCAGGGCAUGUAAAAAUAGAUAUAUAAAGAAAUAAAUCUCUCACAAAUAGAAUUUAGGAAGAAAAUAAAAUUGUUUCUAUCAAUUAAUAAAUAAAUAAAUCAAUCAAUAUAGACUAUUAUUUUGACUCAAUUUUAUUAAGAAUGAGCUCAAAAUCAGGCAUAAACAAAACGAAAAAUUAUAAUAGGGAAAGAGUAAAUACAUAAAAAGUAUGGAGGGGGGAUGAAUAUGAGAUUAGCGUUGGGUUUAAAUAUAUUGGAUAUAAAAUAACGUGUCAAUGAAGCAUGGAGUAAUAGAACAUAAGAAAGAGUAGAAUGGAGACACGUAACCCAAACCCCAUAAACGGGAUUUAUCGGAGCUUUUCUACCUCCAUCUCCUACACCCAGUUCUACAUAAACUCGCCACUCUCUUCAUUUUCAUUCCCCUAAUCUUUGUUUCUCUGACUUUUUCCAUUUUCAUCCAUCCAUAACUCUCCACGUAUAUCCCACAACCAGCCCUUAAGAACUCGUAACGUUUUUUGUUUUUAUUCUUUAUUUUUGGCCCACCAUUUGGACCCUCGAUUCCCCUAUAAAUGAGGAAUUCUAAUGUAAACAUUUGCUUUUUCUCUCCACCUUCGAAACCCCCCUUGCCUUUCUGAUCGUUGUAGGGUUAGUUUUCCCAAUUUCCUCUUCGUUUUCUUUUUUUUUUUUUUUUAAAAAUCUUUUCCUUCAUGUUUUUGCUUUUAAUCUUGUUCUUACCAUGUGGGUUUUUUCUGUUUUUUUCUUUUUUUCUAUCUUGUUGAUUUUCAGUGGAAGGAGGGGAGCGAAGAAUCCUCAUCUCGCUGGGAAUUUUAUGGUGUUUUUUUCUAUAAUCAUCGAUUACGCAGCGGUCGAAUAGAGCUUUCCCUCCUACACCCACCAACGAACAGGUUAGAAAUUAAGAAUUGAAGAAGGGUUUCUUUCUUUUCUCGAAUUUGAUUUGUGGGGUUCUUACCUUUUUUUUUUUUUUUUUUUUUGGCUUUCUGUUUGUUUCUUUUCGUAUUGAUUCGUCGUGAUUGUUUCUGGGUUAAGCGAUUGUGUUUUUGAAAGUGUUGAUGGUGUUGUUUUGUUGGUACUAACAGUGGUGAUUUUUUUUUUUUUGCUCAAAUUUCUCCUGCUAAUUUAGGGGGAUUUUUAAUCAAACUUGUGGGUGGGUGCAAUUUUAUGAUGGUUUUUCGGCGGAUGCUUGCAUUUUCUGAAGUUUUUGGACAAUACUAGCAAAUUUUUGCAUGUCUGGUUUUGUCUUAUCGACGAAUUUCACUUGUUGGCUCCCAAUUGUUUGUCAUGUUUUUUUUUUUAUUCUGUUGUUGAUCGAUCUCUCUUCCUUCUCUUUGCAUUGCGAUGUGAUGAACACCUCCUUUGGAGUGGAUUUUCGUUUUAGAAUAUAAUUGAGGUAUUUCUGUAUUUGAAUUACCAUUCUUUGAAGAAUUGUUUGAGUGAGUGGGUUUUUUCCCCCCCGUUUUUUUUUCUUUUUUUGUUUGCCUUAGGUUUCCAUUUUUGUUGAAUGGUUCUGGACUCCUAUUGAUUUAAUGGAAAGGAAUGAAUAACUCUCAAAGGGAGUGGAAAAGAAAACACCACAAACAACAAAUACAACCAUAUAUUAGUAGUCGUGCUGAUAAAUAAACAUUUAAGAACAAAUAACUUUUUCUGAAAAACUUAAAGAGCUUGCAAUUGAAUGAUGAAACAAUCGAUAAGGCCUUCACUAAACACUGAAAACCUUUGGCCACUUCAAACCUUCCAAAGACAACCAUGAAUGGAUCACCUGUCAUCAAAAGAAGCCUUUCGAAGGCAACAUGUUGCAAUGUUGUCAGUAAGAUUCUGAAAACCAAAUAGAUUAAUAGAUCAAAUCCACCGAUGUUUCAAACUCCAAAUCUUCAGAGCCAUUUCUACACAGGACUUCUUGAAAAAACCUUUUAGUUUUACGUGAACCUCUAUCCCAUUAAAAGAGAAGCUUUGGAAGAACCAUCACCGUCAAAAAAAAAACAAAGGUUCUCCUUAUGCAAGACAAUCCAAUUACCUAUUUUGACUGGAAAAGAUUGCUUCCCAUGCACAGCCACUGAAGUUAAGUCAUUUGGUACACCAACCAAAGUUAUAAUUUGAUCUCUCUAUGUAAGACAAGUGAAGCAACUUACUCAUGCAAGAUCUCGAGAUCUUUAGGCCCUACUACACACAUCGUUAGGAUAAAAUGAAUAAGAAAGUAACUCAAAAUUUUUGGAGUCAUUUGAAUGUGAAUUUCAUAAAGCAUUUGAUUUUCUUCUCAUCAUUUGGAUUGGAGUAUGGGUCAUAAUUCAAGCAGUGUCAAAGAUGUUUGGCUUUCAUAUGGACAAGUGCAACGACUUUUCCUGAUUAGGUCAAUGAGAGAAGAAUGUUAGAAGAAUGGGAUUAAAGAUGUAAACUAGAACCUGUGUGAACUGAGAAGCCAGUAUCCCUUUGGCUUUUCAGUUAAAGAUUGUAGUUAGUCGUUCUCCUUUUUCUUGAUGUGGAAUAGUAUCAUUACAGAUAACCAAUGAAUUAACAUAAUUUGCUUGAACGUUGCUUAACUAUAGUAUCUUUAACAUAUUUACCGUGGCUGAUGGACUAUUAUUUUACAAGAAAGGUAAGUAAUGGAGCAUAAAGAGACAGGAUGCCAAGCUCCUCCAGAAGCUCCCAAACUUUGUGCAAACAACUGUGGAUUUUUCGGAAGUGCUGCAACUAUGAACAUGUGUUCAAAAUGCCACAAGGACUUCAUCAUGAAGCAAGAGCAGGCCAAGCUUGCAGCAUCCUCGUUCGGUAACAUCGUGAAUUGUGGACCAAAUGACCAUGGCAAGAAGGCUGUUGUCACUUCUCCAACUAAGCUGGAAAUCGAACCAGCUGAAUCAUCCAUCAUUCCAACUCAAGCAACUUGUACUUCAUCAAAUGCAAGAAGCAUUGUAGAGAAGGUGAAAGAAAGCCCAAAUAGGUGCAGCAGCUGCAGGAAGCGCGUUGGUCUAACAGGGUUCAACUGCCGAUGUGGAAGCCUCUUCUGUGCAGUCCAUCGCUACUCUGAUAAACACAACUGCUCUUUUGAUUACCAGGCUGUUGGUCGGGAGGCAAUUGCAAAAGCAAACCCCGUGGUGAAGGCUGAAAAGCUGGACAAGAUAUGAUAGACCAGACCUAGGUGACCGAAAGACAAAACGAGGUGCAGCACCAAACCUAUGUUUUCUUUCUGUGUUUGAAUGAAAUCUAUUACGUUUUCGUGGUUGAUGUUUUUUUUGGUGAAAAGGGGGUUGUGUGCAAAGGUUUGUGAGGCAUGUCUGUUACUUGGAGGAGCAUAAUGUUGUGAGACAAUCCCACUGGAGAAACGGCAUCGAGUGUGAGGAGUGUGUGAUUGUAGGUUUUGCUUGUAAACCAGUCAGUUGUAUGGAUGGAUUAUGCUAUGCUUAAAUUUCUGCUGGUUGAUUUUGUCUCUUUUGGUGUGUUGAGCUUAAAUUAUGGUAAAAUAGAGUGAUGAAUUAUAUUUUUUUUUUAAAAAUAGUAACUUUUUAUGAUUGUCGAGAUCGACCAUGAUAAUGCUUCAUAAUAUUUGUUGGUUUGGCUCAAAGUGGUAGAAGGAGAAACAGACUGCAUUUAGAAGUUGUGUUGUAGUCAAGUUGAUGUCAUCGAAGGGCUGUUAGGAGUGGCAAGGCAAUUGAAAGUGGGUUUCAAUUUCAAGAUUAUGAAUUUUAGAAAACAAUUGUCACGUAAACAAAUUGCCAUGUAUGGGAAUUCAAUUACUUGUUUUCUUACAUGUUCUAAUAUAUCUUUUUUAAUCUUAGUUAAGAUUACAUUUAAAUUAUCUUAAAAAUAAAAAAGUAGAUAAUAAUUUAAGAAAGGUCAUGGACAUAGUUCAAAUCUCUACUUACAGAACUUGAAAAAAAAAAAGGUUAAUUAUAAAAUAACAUCAACAAUAAACAAAAAUAUAUAAAGAGUAGAGAUUUUUGAGUCAAACUCAAAUUUCGAAUUGAAAAAUCCAAAUGAAUGUCCAUGAUUUAGGUUGAACUAAUCUAACCUUUCUCUAAUAAUUGAGGUUUUUCGAGAUAAUGGAUUAUUUAAACAUUAUGUUAUCAUGAAGUUAGGUGUAUAUUUAUUCCACUCUGUCAUUUUUCACAGAUUCUGAAAAGAAGAACCAUAGAUAAAACAAUAAAUCAAUAAAACUUAACAGAAGAAAAAUCCCCCAAAAUUGGGAUGAAUUUGUUAGCCAUAACCAUAAAUAAAGAAAAAAAUAAUUGAAGUGGGAAGGGAAAGGAAAGGAAAGGGGAGGAGCUGAGCUGUGUAAACAGUAGUUGAUAUUUAGUGCAGAAACGACAUGUCGUAAUGGUAUGUCGGAGGGUGGGUAACGACACGCGUGGGUCAGUACUCAGCGGGCAAUUGGGUCACUUUGUGAUAAAGCGAUAGGGACGGUCCGGGCAGCAGUCCCGGUCACAGUUGGCGGCUUAAUUAUAAAUUAAACAAAGAAAGAAAAAAAAGGUGCAAACUUUGCUGCCUUUUGCGUUUACGUUCUCUGCUCCGUUUCUUUUCUUCCAAACCUCACCGUUUCAAUAUGAAUUCCCCGUUUUGCCCCCACAUUCUCUCCCCUCACUAUUCAUAAUUCAAAAAUGUAUAUAAUGGCUUCAGUAGACUAAUUCCAUACCACUUUUAAACUGCUUUUCCAUUAAUUCAUUCAUUCACUACUAAUUUCUCUCUAUAUAUUAUAGAUGAAUAAAAGUGAUUCUGUCCUUUUUAUUUAUUUAACACAAUUGUCCCCCACAUCUACUUUUGGUAUUGCAUAUUUUUACUUUUCAAACUUCUUGACUUGGUUCAUUUGAAUUGUUUUCAUAAAUAGCACAUCAAAUGCCUACUUGGAUUGGGUCUUUUAUUUAUUUUUUUCUCAUUAUUUCUAGACAUGACCAAAUCCCUCAAUAAUUCAUUCAUCCCUUCUUCUCGCAAUAAUGUUCAAAUAGUGAUUUCCAAUUUUGUCAAUUUUCUUUUUCUUUUUUCUUUUUUAAUUAUGAGAGUUACUGUAAUUUUUAUGGCUCCUUUUGUACUUGAUUCUGUUAGCAAAACAUUAAUAAAAGUGGUCAAUAUUAUUAUUAUUAUUAUAUUUAUCUCAGUUGUAAAUGUAAAAAUCAUAAUCAAUAUAUCAAACACAAUUAGUUAUUUAAUGUGACACUUAAACACAAUUGGAAAUACAAGAAAAAUCCAGCCAUGUGAGUGGGUAGAUUUUGCUACAAACCCGAUUGAUUUUUGUUUAAUAUCUACAUUUUCAAUUAUCCCAUUUUUUUAUUUCUACUUUCACUCCAUUUUAAUUAGUCUUUCAUACGGGUUCAGUGAUAAACAUGGAUAGUUGCUAAUAGAUAACGAUGUAUAUUAGUAAAAAUGAUAAAAUUUUAUUACAAUUUAUCAAUAUAUAACUAAGGUUGAUCAUGGAUCAAUCAAAAUCAUAUUUUUUUUCUUUUUACAAAAAUUGACCCCGGACCGACUAUAAUCAAUUUAGUAAAUAUUCAAACUGACAUUGAAAUCGAUGAGUAAGGAUCGAUUAGUUUUAUGUUUAGAAAUAAUUUUUUGAAAUUCUUAAUUUGAAACUUUUCGAAUCCGACUCUUGUUUUCCUAAUUGAUGGAGUUCAAUUUAGUCGGUCGACUCGAUUUUUUGGUCUAUCAUGCUCUCCCUUAAUAUAUAUCACUCCUGUUUUGCUAUGUUUGUAAAUAUUUUUAUCUAUUUUUCUAUGUUUGAACAGUUUUUUUUAUUGUUUAUUAAUGUUUUUGGUUUAAAUUUUUCAACUAUAUUUAUAUAUUACAUUUCCAAAAAUAGAAAUUAUUAUUAUUACUAUCUACUAAAUUAAAAAAAAUGUUGGAGGACUAAACUUACAAUUUAUUAAAAAUGUGAAGCUAAAAUUGAAUAUUUGAAAAUAUUGAGUGUAAGAAGAACAACGAAUUUUAACCAUAAUUACAUCAAUUAAUUAGACAUUAAGCUAAAUUAUCAUAAUAUAGAAAAUAAUUAUAGCAUAGCUUUAAAAAUAUGAAAAAUGGAAAUGAAAAAGAUAAAAAUCAAGAAAUUAGAAAGAAAAAGAAAAAAAAGGUAAUAAUAAUAAUCCGAAAGAAGAAAUUGAGGAACGUAAUUAAGCAACUAACGAUAAUGAGGAAGAACACGUCACAACCGAUUAAGAAGGCAAAGAAAAGUGGGAAGGGGUAAAAACGUAAAUCAAACAAAAAAAUAAAGGAUAUUUUAGUAAAGUAGGUAAAAGGAAAGAAAAAAAAAAUGUUCAAUACGCGUCUCUAUGAGGCCCAUAUUCCAUCGCCAUUACCGACCUUUCAAUCCCUUCAUAUUCCUUCCUUUCCAUCUUUCUCUCUCAUCCUCUCAAGAAAAACCCAACCCCUAAACCAAAUCUUCUCGUUCUUAUCAUCUCCCUUUGAAUCUCUCCGGGGAUUUUUUCUUCUUUUGUUUGAGGAUCCGAUCGGAAGCUAUGGCUCAGAGAACCGAGAAGGAGGAGACGGAGUUCAAAGUUCCCGAGACGAUCACGCUCUGCGUCAACAACUGCGGCCUUACAGGGAAUCCAACCACGAACAAUAUGUGUCAGAAGUGUUUUAAUGCCACGACCGCCACCGCAUCUAUGGCCAUCAAGUUUUCCGGUGAGAAAAGUCCGAGAUCUACUACUUCUCGCUCGCCUGAGAAAUUUCGCUUCGUUUCAGAGUCUAGGAGGAUUAUAACGGCGGCUGAUCGUCCCAAGCCUGACGAAUCCGCAAAACGAGAGGUGAAUCGUUGUUCUGGAUGUAGAAAACGCGUUGGAUUGACUGGAUUUAGAUGCCGAUGUGGUGACUUGUUCUGUGCGGAGCAUCGGUAUUCAGAUCGUCAUGAUUGUAGCUUCGAUUAUAAAGCGGCAGGUCGUGAGGCAAUCGCGAGGGAGAAUCCGGUGGUGAAAGCGGCGAAGAUCGUUAGAGUUUAAAUUCGUAGAUCGAUUGAUUACUAAAAAAGAAAAAGAGAAAAAAGAAUCCGAUGAUGAUGAAAUCUGUGCAAAAAAACCUUUGAGCUGAUUGUUAAAAAUUUUUCUUCAGAGUAUUGAGGAUUAAUUCCUCGAAAUAUCCUCUCAAUCAAAAAAAUUGAGAGAAGGAGAAAAAAAAAAUGGUUGAUGAAGAUGAUGAUGGUUGUGUUUUCUCAGAUAAUUAUGUUCUUAAUUUUAAUUUUAAUUUUAAUUUAUUAUUAUUAUUAUUAUAAAUUUUUUUGGUUUAAUCGAAAACGAAAAGAGAAGAUUAUCGAUUACUUGUUUGUGUUUGAAAAUGCCGAUGGCAUGUGAUGUAAAUUGGAGAAACUCUCGGGGUUUAAUUGGCAGCUUGAAAACCUUUCUAGUUUCCACCACCCGAAGAAACAAAAGAAAAGGAUGUAUUUAUUUAUUAUUAUUAUUAUUAUUCGAAUUUCAUUUUAUUUUCUUUUAAUUAUUAUAUCACGAUGGGGACAUUUGCGUAACCCACUUUCCUUUCGAAUUCAUUCAUCUACAUUCCAUAUUAUCAUAUCUUUCUUUUUAUAUUGACCCAAUGGAUAUUAUGUGCUCUUUCCUCUUCCAUUGACACUCUUUAUUACUUUACCUUCUUUAAUAACCUCUCUCUUUACGUUAGUUACUGCAGCAUCUUCCUUCAAAAGUUACCUUUUCCUUUUUCUUAAAGAAUAAUUAUUAUGGGAUGAGUUCAUAUUUGAGAAAUAUUAAAGAAAAACUAUGUAGAGGUUUAAAAAGAAGGCUUUAUGAUGGUAGAAUUGAAUUGAACUGAAUUUCAUGAAUGAUAUUCUUUGUUGGCUACAAAUAUGUGGGUGCGCCAUGUUUUAUUUCUAUUAUUUUCUUUUGAAGGACAACACUUGGUUUUUGUUGAGUGGAAAAUGUAUAGGAAAAAUGUGCCAAUUUUUGAAAAGGUGACCACAAGUCAACUAUAUAAGAUACUUUUUUUUAAAAUGUAUUAUAAUAUGAUAUUUUUAUGAGACCAUGUUCAAGUACAAAUGAUGUUUGUUUUGACAUAAGUUUUCACUAAGAAUAUAUAUAGGGUUAUGAUUAGAUUAAUAAUGUUUUCUAAAAUAAUUAAUUAAAAUUUAUAAAUAUGUUUAGUUGGAUAAGUUUUAUAGUGUGGGUUAUUGUCCAACAGCAACUUAUAAUCUCUUACAAAAAUAACUAGUUUAUUUUGAAAUUAGUUUUCGGGUAAGUUCGUUGUGGAGGGGUUAAUUGGCUAGAGACACAAGAGGUUAAUUUGAUGUGGCCAUGGGUGGAUCACAAACUCUCAAGGGUCUCCUGUUGAGUGCGAGUUCUAAGGCGGUGUACAAUAUGAGAUUACACUAUAUUGUUUUGAAAAGCAUCUACAACAAGGAUAGUGUGGAAUCUAUUCGAGAUCUCAAAUGUUGUCAUGAAUGAUAUUUUUUCCCUUGCUGCUUAGAUGAAUAUCCUAAUGUUUUGUUUUUAUAAUAGGAGACUUACAAUAAGGUUUACUCAUGCCCUCCAAACGUCGAAAUAAGUCUAUCUCUCCCGACUCCCCCCAACUGAUAAACUUUUCUUUGGUUGGAUAGUUUCCAAAGAAAGUAUCUUCUCCCUUGUCUAAGAGCUUAGCUAUUUUUAGCUUCUAAUUUCUAUACAUUAUCUCAUGAUAAACAUAGAACCACGAAUUAAAGUUUGGAAAAAGAAAUUAAAUGGGAAGAUGUGAAAGUGACAACCAAAUAUGUAAUUUAGCUGAAAACGAUAUAUUAAAAACAAAUUAAGAAGAAGAUUACAUUAGGACGAAUGCUGAGGGCUUUUGGAUGAAAUGAAAAGCUUUGCCAGGUAGGACAGCUGGCUGGACCCCAUUUGAAGAAGUAGCCAAUAAAAACUUGCCAUAUCAUAUAUCUAUUUUUCAUGGAUGAAAAGAAAUCAAUAAGAAUAAGAAGAGAUUAACUUAAUUAUUGAAGUGGGACAGAAGAGAAGAUAAUGUAUUAACUUUGAGGGGCAACGUAUGGGCCGUCCAUAUAAUAAUGGAUUGCAGUUAUCUACUUACUCCACAAAAAUUAAUAUUACAUUACACACACAAAGAAAAAGAAAUAUAUAUUAAUUAAAUUUUUAUUUAUUGUAUAUUAAUUAUCGUAAUAAAUUUUUGUUAGGAAUGUAUUCAUGGUUUUAAUAUUAAUUUAAAAAUCUCAAUUUAUAUUUAUAUGUUUUAGUGAUUUUGAUAUUACUUGACCUUUUAUGUGUAGAAGUGAGAGAUUCAAAUUUUGAUAUUCUAUGGAUAAAAAGAAUAGGUUUUAAGUUAAAAGGGGUUGAGGUAAAAAUGUGGGAGGGGUAUAUUGGGGUUUUGAAGUGAAAUGACCUUUGGAAUUGUAAUUGAAUUGUGUGAAUUCAAAUUCAAAAUGAGUUUUGACUUAAUAAGAUGAUGGAGAUUGAGAUUGAGAUUGAGAUUGAGAUUGAGAUUGAGAGGCCCUUUGUCUUAUUUUUAUUCACUUUACUUUUGUAUUUGACUCCAUCUUUUUAUAUAUAUAAAUUAUUUGGAUUGAAAAUGUGUUGUCUAAAAAGAAUCUAAUAAGUUGGAAGGGAAUGAGAUGACGAUCCACCGUAAGUAGAAUAAAUCAACCGCGUGCAAUAAAACCCCAUCUUCCCCGCCAAGCUUUUUGAACGAAAUUCACAAUUUCCGCCAUGAAACUCAUUCAGAGAUCUAAAGCUUUCUCGUCGCCCGCCGUACCUAUUCUCCAAUAAAACUCCACUUUUCUCUCUUCAACACAGAAAUCUAAGGUAUCUCUUUAAUUUCUCCGCCCUCUCUUUUUCAACUGAAGCUUUUCGCGUUUUCUUGUUAUUUCCCGUGCCCUUUUAUCUGCCCUGAUUACUCCUCAAUAGAGCGAAUGCUGAAUGAAAUACUUCAACAAUCUCUUACCUUUCAAUCGUACCCCUGCACUUUAAUUUUUGAGCCGUUAUAUACGACUUCUUGUUUAUACACUUUUGUAACUCCGAACUCUAGUAUGGGAUGCUAAUUAUGUUCUUUUGAGUUGUCCAGCAGAGGAAUUGCUCAUUUGUACUUCACAUUUUCUGUUUGGUUUGUACGAUUUUCAUAUUGUUUGUCGCUAUUAGUAAUUACUGUUUUAUUUAUUUGAUUCUGUGAAAAUUAGCCGAAAUUUGAAGAGUGUUGAGCUUGCUUUGAUUUGUAUGCUUAAUAGUAUAUUAGUAUGUAGUUUGUGUUACAAUCCCUAUGUUACCAAUACCACUGUGGUAAAUGUGUUUAGACGAACUGCCGAAUUUGAGUUUACGCUGCUUAUAGGUGAUAUUAAAGCGGAAUUUGAUGCAAUUGUGAAACCUAGGUCACUCGCUCCAUUGGAAAAAAGAAAAUACUCGAAGAUAUAAUGUAAUGGGAUUUUUAGAGAUUUUCAUCAAUUUUAGGGGAAACCCUUAACUAAUUGAAGCAAUUUUCAAUAUCUUUGUCAGUCAUAAGUGGAUGUUUUUUCUUUUCCUUCUUUUAUGUGCUUUUCAGAUAUGGAGGGUGAUCAAAAUCAUUCUCUCAAACUUGGAGGAUCCUCUGUUGAAGGUGACGAUCAAAUUUACAUCUCUGGGCUUAGUACUCUUCUGGUUGCAACGAUCCAGGAAACUAAGGACAGGUUAUCCCAGAUUGAAUUUCUUUUCUGUAGCCAACUCUUUCCCAGUUUUCAAACAAAAUCAAAAAGUUUGCAAAAAAUAUAUUCUGAGGCUAGGAAAUCUGCAGAGGAUGCAUGGAAAGAGAACGAAAACGAUCUCCUAUUUCAAAUAGAAAAACUUAAGCGCGAAAAUCAGCGUAUUCUUGAAGAGAAUAAGUCUUUGAAACUUGAGAAAGAAAAUCCAUCAAGGGAGCUAGCAGAAAGGAUGGAUCUGCUGCGGUCUAAACUACUUGGCGAGCAACUCAAAGCUGAGGAGCUGGCACAGCAACUUAAGCAGAAAUCGAGAGAAAUCGACGAGGGGAUUGAAUUGCAGCAGAAAUUACUUGAAAUGGUUCGGUCAAAAACUUCUCUGAUAAUGAGUAAAGAACAAAAACUGAAAGAGUAUGAAGACCAAUCUAAUGUAUUGCGCACCAAAUUGACUAGCAUGGAGGUGAAGUUUGAUGAGCUCCAGAAGAAGCUUAAUGCGAAGACAGAUGAAGUAUCUACAGUCAAAAAGUUGGAAGAGAAUUUGUUCAAAAAACUUGAAUUACAAGCUUCAGAAAUUAUGAACAUUGAACAGAUGAAUAGUGAUCAACAAAAAGAGAAACAGAUGCUUGUGGUGAAGUUAGAAAAAUUGCAGGAGAAUGUAAAUCGUCUAGAGAAGGAGCUUUUGAGCAAGACUGAAGAAAUUGAGGAAGGAAGGAAACUGCAAACCAAGUUGCUACAGCAAAUUGAUUCAGCUGGCUCAGAAAUUUCAAAGAAUACAGAGCAGCUCGAGGAACUUCAGAAAGAGAACAAACAACUCUUAGCCAAGUUGAAUGGUUCUCAAGAGAAAGUUAAUGAGCUUAAGUCGAAUCCGAGGGUAAAGAAUAAGGAAAUGGAAGGAAAUGAAUUGUAUGAGAGUUUACGUGAACAGAUCGAACUAAAGUCCUUUGAGUUACAGGCUGAAAAGAAGGCAAGAAGAGGCGUUGUUGAUGCCUACAAAAGGCUGAAAUCACAAUAUAACUUCCUUUGCAAAAAAUUUGGCCUUACUAGCGAUAAUAUGCUGCUGAAAGACAGAAGAGAAAAUGAAACCGAUUCAAUGGCUUAUAAUCAAGAUCUUGCAUCCUCACCAGGUAAACAUCCUCUUCUUCAUAUUAUAAAUCCAAAUUUCCUCCAACAUUGAUAUCUGUAUUCCAUGCGUUACUAAUUAUCUAUUGACUGGAGCAGUAGAUCCCGACGCAGAAACUGAAGAACCUUCUAUAGCCAUUUCUGAUACAUCUCAAUUGAAGAAAGAGAUUAGCGUGCACCAUAACAUAGAGGAUAAAAAGGUAGUCAGGCUAAAUCAGGCCUUGAACUCCCGUUCCCCUCCAAAAACUCCUAGUUUCUCAAGCGGCUCGAAACGUAGUCCCAAUGUAAAAUCUGCACCAAUAGCAUCUAAAAGACCAGCAUCUAAUUGGAGAGGUACAAGGACUCAUUAUCAAGAGCGAGCGGGGCCUGACCCACACGAUGAUUUUCUUGAUACUCCACUCGAGAACAUCCGAGAGAAUUUAAACAAUCCUGUGAAGGACAGAGUUAAAGAUCUUCCUCUUCCUGAGGUGGUUGUAAAAAACAUCGAUAUGGAUGUUUCCGAUGACGAGACACAAGAUUUGAAUGUUGUUAAUCCACAACAACAUCAAAAGCAGAUGCCAAUUUCAGUGACUGGGAAUAGAGGAGGAGGCAUUAAGUUUGUGGAGCCAGUGAGAAAGAAAGCUGACAGGCAAAAUUUAAAAGGAGUGGAGUGCAAGCAAUGCAAGAAGUUCUACGAUGCUGUUCUUCCAAAUGAUGGCAAUGAAGAAACCAACGGUGAUAAACCGUGUUUACGAUGUGAACAUCAUGAUGGAGUUUCAAGGCAUCGGUAUAGGUAUGUUCCUCCCAUGACUCCUGAAGGAUUUUGGAACAUUGGAUUUGAAUCUGAAAUGUAAUGUUAAUGUAGGAUUAAACCCAUUGUUUGAUAAUUAACGACAAAGUAGGUGAUAUGUAUAGUAUAUUUUAGAUAGAAAACUAUGAAACAAUUUAUGCAUUGGAUAAAUAUAAAUGAAAGUUUUCAUUUUUACCUCAAAUUUAUCAUUCAAAGCAAUUUUUAUGAACUUUUAGCUAAGAUAACAUAUAGUGAUCAUUUUGCUGUUCCCAAUAACUUUUCAAGUUUAUUAUUUUAAUUCUUCAAACUUUUAAUCAGUAAUCGUUUUGGUCCUCACAUUGAUCUAAAUUUUACCAAAUUAAUAACAUAGUUUAGAAGAUAUGUUACCAUGCAAGUGUACUCAAACCAAGAAAUAUUUUCUGUAAAAGUAAUGUAACUAUAAUUUUUAUUUUUUAUCUUUUUAUCACUCGAGUUCGAAUACUAAAGUAGUUACGGAAAUUCAAUUUCGGAAUAGAACAAAUAAUAUAUGAGAAAAUUGUAGCAUUAAAGUAAUGUGAAAUCCAAGUAAACAUUACAAAGUAUAACAAAAUAGUAACAUAACAGCAUCAUGCAAUGAAUUGGCUUUAAUAUCAUAAGGUAAACAAUGUUUCUUUGAGAGUCUCCAAAUAAAAUUAAAAUGGUACAAAAUUUCACAUCUAAGGAUCAAGCAAAAACAUCCUCUGUAAUAAUAGAUUGUUCAUUGUUAGUACAACUCUCUGAUGAAACCUGAAGUUGCUCGUAAUUUAGUUGUCUUGAAGCUUCGUAUAUAGCAAUACCAACACUCACCGAGAGAUUGAGGCAUCUAACAUAAGUUUCAACCAUUGGAAUUCUUAAUGUCCCUCCUCCAAAUGGCUGGUUUUUGCAGUCCUCAAGCGCUUCAGGUGGUAAUCCAGUAGUUUCUGAGCCGAACAACAAGUAAUCGCCCCGCUUGUACGAAAAGUCCUGCAGAAAUGAAAUGAGAAAACAAAUUGUUACUCAAAAUUCCUCCUGGCCUAUGAGCAAUUGACGAUUCGUAUAGAAAUCAAAUCGUCAGAGAAAUAGGCACUCGCCGAGUGAUGUGUUGUUCCUCUUUUUGUAAAUGCUAGCAGCCGCUUUUCUCCUUCCUGUACAUAUCAUAUCAUUUGAGUUGGUAGACAUAGUUUCCAACAAUGUAGGAUGCAAAGAGGAAACUAAAAUGGAAUCUUGUCCAUGCUUACCUGCUUCUUAAAGUAUUCUUGAAAAUCCGCCCACGUGUUAUGAAUUUUAACGACAACGUAUCUAAAAUACAAUGUUAAAACCCGAAAACAUUGAACGAACAGUGACAGCACGAAAUAGAAAACUCAAACAGUUCAAGACAAAGUAAAGCACAAUUUCCUAACAUUGAAUCCCUGAUAUUUAACUGUAAAUGAGAGCAAAUGAAUCAUAUAUAAAAUGCAUCAUGGGAUACGGCCAAUAAUCCAAACCUGCCCGCUUUAGCUUUGUGUCAUCAACCUUAAAUCCCAAUGGCUGAGAAGGAGACAAUACAAGUGGAUAAGUUAUUAAAGUCAGAACGAUUAUGCUUAAAGUAAAGAUGAUACAAUACUAACCCCAACUAGAUGUAGUCCUACAGCCGAUGCAGCACAUGUUCUGGCAAUGCUACCAGUGUUCCCAGGAAUCUGCCAAGGACAACACAAAUCUCAGAGCCAUCCUUGAGGAAUUUUGAGGUUGUCUGCAACCCAAAAAGGCAAAUGGAGAAAUUACAAUUGGGCGUUCACCGUGUUUCACACAACUGCAUACAACGUGCCGUGAUAUACAAACUAAUAAGCGGUGCCGUAUGUGUACACACAAUGUCGAGUGUGUAUUUCAUUAGAAGUAGAAAUCAAUUUGGAAGAAAUUUGCUCCAAGCAUUUGAUACUAACCAAAAUAAAAGUUUACGAUUAACAUCACAUGACCUUUCGCUAUAUAUGACAUAAACAACCAUAAUACGCCUAGCAAGUUUUCAAGCAAUCUAUUAAAAUUUCUAUGAGAGGUUUUGCUCAACCCUCACAUUUCGACUUGAAGAAGACUGUUCCCAAGCAGCUCUACUAAUUUCAACUUGUUAGUCAUCCAAGAAUACCACCUAAGAUUGAUGCAAAGAUCUAACUAAAGGCUCCCUAGUCCUUGUUCAUUCGGUUUCAAACAAAAUACCAAGUAAAAUGUCAGCAAAUUUCCAUGUGCUAAUAUCCUCUGAGUUUCAUAUAUAUGUUUGUUUUAGUAACACGGUAUCGAGGGCCUUAGCCCCAUUAAUUCGAGGGCAACCAAGCUCGAGUCUAACCCAAUGCCUAGAUUCAAUGAACAUGUUUGGGAAGCUAGAAUUUGAUGGUUAGGGUUUUGAGCCUGGUUUGUAACUCCUUUUAUAUUCCUUUUCCAUUAUUUUCAACUCAACUCUCUUUCUCCCAUUUUUCCCGUUUCACAAUCCCAAUUUAACACCGAAUUAAACAUUUCAUCGUAAUUUACAUUUCAAUCUCCCAAACAGGGUUUUUUUUUUUCUUAUUAAGCUCAAUCCAAGGUUCGAAGUCAUACCACUCAAUUGACUGCAGUUCUUAAAUGUACAGUUUACAUUUGAUCAAAAUUUCCAAUAGUAUGAAAUAUCAUCCUUUACAAUCAAACAAAAUCUUAAAGCAAAGUGAAACUUAUUCAAAAUAUUAAAUCAAGCCAUACAACUCCACCAAAUACAGAUAAGAACACAAACAAUAACUAAAAAUAGCGAUUACUAGAAAAAAAAAUGCAGAAACGAAAAGCAAGAAAAAGAAUCAGCUAAGCAAUUACCAAGGGAGACACCAAUACAACUUGAAGAAGCUUUGGAUGCGAGACCCCAUUGACGGCCUCACCAACACCGGUCGGUAGGGAACCAGAACCCUCCACUCUGUCAGCUGCGCCAUGAACACAGCAAAAUCAAACUGAAAAAAAUAACCUCAACCCAAUUCACAGCAGAGAUUAUAGAGUCCAUAGGAUGUAAGAACGUUUAAUUACAGAUAUAUCAUAUAUACUUACAUGAGGAGCAGAAGGGGAGUAACCGGCGUAAGGAUGAAGAAGAUAGAUUGUGGUGUUUGUUGGUGAAAAGGGAGAAGGAGCGAGGGCGAAGAAGAUGAAGAGACCUGGAUGAGCGUAGUUGAAAAGGGGUAAAUGGGUUUAAAGCUCUGAGAGUGGCUGUUGUUGUGUCCAUUAACGGCAUCUCAGCAACACUAUCUUCUGCUUCUUCCUUCUUCUUGUUGCCGCUCGAGAGCCUCACUAAGUUCGUUUCAAAGGAAGAACACUCGCUAUUUUUUUAAUUAUUAUUUAAAGGUUAAAUUUAAAAAUAUUUGUAGUUUGGGUAAAAAUACUAUCAAACUUUCAAAAGUUACAAACAAAAAAAAUACAUACAUAUAUAUAUUCAACAUUCUUAGUUUCAUACAUACACAUCAGCUUUAAAAAAAAGUUAAAAAUAUUCUCACCAAUCAACUUUUACAUCAAUUUUUUCAUUAAACUAAACAAAAUUUAAUUAAAGAUAAAAAAUUUGAAUUCAUUUAACUAUUCGCAUAAAGUUAGAGGAUAAAUAUCCUAAAUCUUACUAGACUAUUAACCCAUGAUGAUAAUUCUUAUUUCAUUUGGUAAGAUUUUGUGAAAUUUUACGUUUUAGCUAAAAUUUAAAACAUGGAAGGUGAUGUAUAUAUGAAAAUCUUGAUUUUACAUAAAAUUCCAUUUCGAUUUAUAUCUUUAAAAAAUUUUAAAAUAAAAUUUAAUUAAUAAAUAAAUAAUUUAUUAUUUUCAUAUAAGUAAACAGGAUGAAUUCAUACAAAUGUGAAUUAUAAAGUUGAGUUUUAAUUUAACUUUUUGGUUUUUAUUUUAAUAUUAAAAAAAUUAACAUAAAAAUUAGAUUAAUAAAAAUAUUUUUUAUUUGGAGAGAUAUUUAUAAAACAAAACUUUAACAAAUUUCUUCCAAAAACAAACUAUAGUUUUUAUAAACUCUUUUAGAAAGUUGUAAAAGCUUUUUGAAAAAAUUUAUAGGUAUUUUUGAGGAAAGUGCAUUUGAUGUUAUUUAAUCGAAUUCUCGGACAUUUUAUUGGUGACUGAAAAAUUUCCCUUUUAAUAUUUAUAUAUUAACGAAACAUCAACCAAAAGGCCUUCUCUUCUCCUCUUCUCUUCUCUUCUCUUCUUCUACUUCACUUUUCUUCGCCAAACACGAAUUCCCCAACCUUCGCCUCACUUCAUCAUUUUUUCCAAUUCCAUUCUUCCUCCAAUUCAUCUUCCAAUCCUCAAUCGGGGUCACCGGAGCCUUAUCUCCGUCUAGUUUUACAAUCGAACCGGAAGAUUUCCAUUCUCAGAUUCAAUAUUGUUCCGCAGUGCUUUUGGGUCAGUUCUUGAUUCGUUUUGAUCCGUUGAAUAAUCUUCCUUACUCUCUCUUGCUCUUUUUGUAUUCUGUAUUUUUUUGUGUUUUCACUUUUGUUUGUUGAUUGUUCUUCGGGGCUUUUUGGUUCUGGAGCUAGGGUUUGUUUUCCUCCCUUUUAUAUGGUUCUACUUUUAUUACGCGGCUGUUUUUUCAUGUACGUAAUAUUUUUUUUAUAUGGGUUUUCGUGAUUUUUACCUUAUUAAUCGUCGUCUGCAGUUUUGGGUGGUGUUAAUUUUAUUUAAUAUUCGAUUACGACAAUGACCUAUGCCUAAGCAGAUCGUGUUUAGAGAUUUUGUGGAUGAUUUUAAUAUUAAUUCGUCCGUGUUAGCAUCUUGUUCUUAUCUUUCUAAUUAAUUGGUUCUUUCUUGUGUUUGUACUUUUUUUUUCUGUUUAAUUAGUGAAAAAGUCGAGGGAUGUUUGAAGGGAGAAGGUUUUUGUCGAUCCUUCGAGAUUUCCCUAUAUAUAUGAUUUGAAUGUUCUUUUUCAAGGAUUGUUGAACUCUUUGGUUGAUUGCUUUUCUAAUGAUGAUUCAUUCUAAGCAGUCUGAGACUGAGUACUCAUUGCCUCUCGAUGGACAAAGGAAUGCCCCCUACCCUUUUUGUCAACGACGGAUCAUUUAUGGAAAGGUUUAAACAACUCCAACAGAAAAAUGGUGAGAAGGAUAAGGAUAAAGAUAAAGGUGCUACCUCUGAGGAGCCAAAACCAAUCAAGAUUAUAGCAGGGACUUCAAUUCCACAUAAUACUAGUGGUAAAACUAGUAUGCAGUUUAAGGGUGGUGAGAUUCGUAAGACUGCCCCAACUGGAAAACUUGCUUUCAGCUUGAAGCAGAAGUCUAAGCUUGUGGCACCUUCUGUGAAGUUAGGAGCAGAUGAGGAUGAAGAUGAACCUGAUGCGGUAGAUGCAUCUGAUCAUCUACCAGAGAAGCGUCAAAAGUUAGGUCCACAAGAUGGUACUGAGCAGCCAGUACUUCAAUCUGGUGAUGGUAAUACUAAUUACUACUUUAUACUGACACUCCUCUCUUUUGGGAUUAAUGGCAAGUAUCUGCCAGAGUUUGUAAACCAAAAAACCUGGUCUGUUUAAGGCCAUUUCUGGUUGAUGCGGUGAAUUGGUACUUAAUUUCUGAUGUUCUGUUAUAUGCAUGUUCAUUCAUGAUUCAAAUUUUGUUACCCUGGAGCAUCUAUUUGUUGGCUUGCUUAUAUUUUUUAUUGACAAGUUGACUCAAGUUAUUGUCUUGAACCACUGUUAUCUGCAGCUAUUGAAAAUUAUUUGGGAUAGGGAGGUGAGCAAAUAACUUGUAUAUAAUUUUCAUUUUUAAGUCAUUAAGAAUGUCGGACCUCAAUUGUUUUAAGCUGAAAAGAACUAUGGUUCAGGGUGUUGCUCUCAUGUCUGCAUUCUUCCUUUCUGUUUUCCAACUUAAAUUGGUCUGUGGAAGAUUUCUUACUGAUUUCAUCUUCACCCUUUCAUCUAUUUAGCAUUAGUUUUUGCAUGAAGAGUCGCACCUUGUUCUUGAGACGAUGGAAAACCAUUUUUUGUUCUAUUGGGGGGUUGGGGCAUUAUAGAAUUACCAUCUAGGUCACUAUCCAUUUCCCCCUUCAAUUAACUCUAAUGGCUUUGUUGGGACCGUGAGUUUAGAUCUCUUCUAAAACUUGGACUGCUUCACUUGUAGAGUACAAAGCACUCUUGAAAAUUUCUUGUCUCAUGAAUGCAGUGUAUACCUUUAAUACCUUUCAACAUUGGUGGAAGAGAUGUUCAAUGAAAGAAUUGGAAUAUGUAGCAGCCUGCUGCAAGAGUAAUUUGCAUUCACUUGUUCAUGCUCUUGGUAUUAAUCAGUUUUAUAAGUGAUAUGCAGCACCACCUUCACCAAGUGAUCCUACAGUGAAGAAAGUUGCCGACAAGCUAGCAAGUUUUGUGGCUAAACAUGGAAGGCAAUUUGAGCAUGUUACUCGCCAAAAGAAUCCUGGAGAUACACCAUUUAAGUACGUUCUUGUUGUGCUUUAAAAGUUCCCAUGCAUUGUUCUUUCUUAACAUUGCCGUUGCUACUGCUUUCUUGAAUCUAUUGCUUCAUUUGUUUUUUUUUAUGCUUAGCUUCUCACUUCUCAAUAAAUGUUUUUUUAACAAAAUAUCCAUCAAUCUUUGCAGAUUUCUGUUUGAUGAGAGUUCUGCAGAUUACAAAUACUAUGAAUAUCAGCUAGCUCAAGAAGAAAAAGCUUUCUCAGAAACCGUCGAACCUAAAUCCUCUAAUGGUUUGGGCUUCUCACUUGAUUCUCAUAUUAUCUUUUUGAAAACAAGCAUUUGUGUCAUUGAUGACUUAGGGUUUUCUCAUGGGUUUUUCCUCGAGAUCCCAUUUUUUUAUGAAAUGUUUUUGGGAGAUUAAAUUGUUUUUCACAUUCAUUUUGCCCUUUCUAUCUGUAGAUGGUGGGAGCACGCAAACUUCUAAGCCAAGGACUGGUUCCCAGAAAUCUCUCCAGCAGUCUUCCUCAUCAAAUUAUCAAACCCCUGCCUCUGCUUUAUAUGAACCAUCAGAAGAUUCAAGGACUUCAGUGGGUUCAUCUAAUACUACUGCGUGGCCUGAAAGAGCAGGUAACUAUUUGACACCGUGACUGUUUAGUGCUCACUAUGUUUCAAUGAAUUGAUAUUGUACUUGACGUGUGGUUUUCACUUUUUAAGGUGAAACUAGACCACCACCAUCUAGUGGAGAUCCGAUUGCAAUGAUGGAAUUCUACAUGAAGAAAGCUGCUCGUGAAGAGCGGAUGAGGCAACCUAAACAGUCAAAAGAUGAAAUGCCUCCUCCUGCGUCUCUUCAAGGUAUCAACCUGCUGGGGUGUAGCUGGUUGACCAUUAUUUGUUUAGCCUGUGGCAUUAGUGGUUUUAUUGCUUGAACUUCCUUUUCUAUUUUGGGGGUGCUGUGCAGCUUCAGCUUUAGGGAAAAGAGGGCAUCACAUGGGUGACUUCAUUCCCCACGAGGAGCUUGAAAAGUUCUUAGCUACAUGCAAUGAUGCGUCUGCCCGGAAAUAUUCUAAAGAAGCUGCUGAUAAGGCUAAAAUUCAGGCUGAUAAUGUGGGGCACAGACUCCUAUCUAAAAUGGGAUGGAAAGAAGGUUCCCUCCCUCCCUCUUUCUUCAUAUUUUUUCUCACACACCACAUGUCACAUUGCACAUGGGUCAGUACAUAGACCAUUGGACUCGACAAUGCUAGGAUCUAGAAUUUUUAAUUAGAUAUAUCUCCAAGUUCAUUUUGCUAAAGGCUUUUAACAAGUCCUUAGACUUCUUUUCCUGGAGCUUACGUUGAACCCAAAGUUCAUAUUAUAAUUCCAGUUUAUUUGAGAAUUCAUUUGGUAAUGAAGGAGCCUUCUAAUACUGGCAAGAGAACUGCAGGUGAGGGUCUGGGAAGCUCCAAGAGUGGAAUUGCAGAUCCCAUAAUGGCGGGUGAUGUAAAAACAAAUAACUUGGGUGUUGGAGCCCAUCAACCUGGUGAGGUGACUCCUGAAGACGAUAUAUACGAGCAGUACAAAAAACGAAUGAUGCUUGGUUAUCGUUACAGACCGAACCCACUGGUAUUUAUUUAUCACACCCAUUGAAGUUGCGCUUACUUCAAUACCUAGUUAAUCAAGUAGUUUUGAUGUCAUACUUUUUUGUUUUCGUAGAAUAACCCUCGGAAAGCAUACUAUUGAUUGAUGACGGUUCUGCAAAGGCACUUUGAUCAUUCUGGCUCUGUUUGAAAAUUAUGAGAAAAGCCAAACUACGUGGUGGGAGUGGAAAUUAUCUCGAUCUAUUGUGGCAUAAUUGAUGUCAUAACUCAAUAAAUAAUCAAUAGAUGUAGUUCUUUUUAUCCUGUCAUCGUUUUGUUUUUUUUUCCCUUCAUUUUCCAUGUGGUGUGGGAUUCGGGGAUCGGGAUCAGGGUCAGGGCGGGGUUUUGUUUAAUCCUAUUGUGCUUGAUCAGUAUACUGGACUCGUCCUAUUUUUGUGUUAAAUAUGCAUAACUUGAAGCGUUAAUUACCAUUCCUUUUUUUCUUCUUUUCUUCUAAGCUCCAUUGGCUUGCUAGAGCAUCAUUCUGUAGUACUUCUCGGAUAAUUGUGGAGUUUGACCUAAACAAGUUUUGGCUUUUAGAUGAACUACCCAUUCCCUACCCCCCUCACCUCCAAUGUCAUCAAUGUUCUUUCUCUUGCUUUUCCCACCUUUUUGACUUAAAUUGUUUCAAUUGAGCAAAAACUUUACAGCGUUUUCCCCUUCUGUCGUGUUCUUUCUCCAUUUGUGAUUCUGCAUCAGGUUUCAUAGACAGCAAAACCAAUUCGAUUCUGACUCAAGAUGCGGUUUACCACGAUCAACCUCGCUUCCUCAUUUGUAGCUCUAAAAGCACCACUCUUUUUUGCAAAUGUGAUUAAAAUUUAAGUUAUUUUUCAAGAAUUGAGGCAAUUUGUCAAUAUUUAUCGAUGGGAAGAAUCAAGUUAUUUUUCAAGGAUUGGUGCAAUUUGUCAAUAUUUAUUAAGGAUAGGAAGAAUCUUGGGCGAGUGUUUAUCAUUGCCAGGAAUUACUACAUUUUGGAUCUGCUUCAGACAAAUUUUUGGGUCAUUUUCCUGCAAAGUCGUUAAUAUUAUUUUUUGACUUGGAUUAAAAGUUAUAUCUUUUAUUGACAUAUUUAAAUCUUCUGACAUUUUGAGCUUCCUUAGGAUGAACUAUUAAAACAAUUGACCAAAAGGGUUGUGAAGUAAUUGACCAAUAAGGGUUGUGAAAUAAUUGACCAAUAAGUUUUGUGUGAAAUGUAGAAAACUUGUGACAAUUAUCCCAUUUUUGGUUAUUGACAAUUCAGGUUGGGAAAGGGACUGCCGAGGGGAAUGAAAAUUCUUUUUAGUGGGUAAUUUCUAAAAACACAAACUUCUGCCUUGAAAGCCCAACAAGUUUAUGGUAUUUUUGUCCAAAGAUGAACAAGAGAUCUUUAGGUUAGUUUGAUCAAGUUAAUUUUUUUGUGGGAAUCGUUUUUGCAAAAUUUGAACAAAAUAGACUUUGAGAUGAUUUCAAGUGGACAUGAUAAUAUUCAUAAUAGGUUGUCUCCUCAUUUUUAUGGUAGGAUAGGGCGAACAAAUUAGUAGCCUAAUCAAUCUAAUUGACGUAGGAAAAGUAAUAUAUAAAUUCCAAGAUUGCAACAAUAGAAUCGAAAUCCCAAUCUAGUUUCCAUCUUUUGAUUCAUGGAGGUAUAUAAUUUCACUUAUCUAAGGUGGGUUUAUCUUGCAAGUAUUGAUGCAUGAAAAUAGAGGGUGACAGAUUCAAGGAAAAAAAAGUUCCAAAAUGGAACUUUAUGCAUUUAGAUUGGGACUAACACUCUUACUCUCCCUCGCUUGCAAGAAAUCCGACACUUACCAUUCUCAAUCUUCACAAUCCAUCUCGAUCUCCUUUCUUUAUGUAAUAUUCAUCAAUACAACAUCUCCAAUUUUUUCUUGCUUACUAGUGGGUAGAAUUUAGUUAAGAUCUAAGUAGCUCAAACCUCCCUCAUUGCAAUAGGAAGCAUAAUAUCAAAAUUGCUAGUUAGUUGAAUGGAAAUCUAUCUUCUAGUCUUCUGAUCUAGAUAAUCCAAGUUCCACUCUUUACAAUUUUAUUCUCCCGUCAAUAAAAGUGUCUCAUUGCAACGUUCCAAUAGCCAUCGACAUCUAUGGAAGGAAGUUAGGAGAGCAAAAGAAACAAAAAAAAGAAGGGAUAAUUGUGUAGUUUUGGUUGGUAACGUAAGGUAGAAGAAAAUCUUAAAAGUUAGAAAAAUUGGAGAAAAACAAUGUUUGGGAUAAUGAUUCCAUAUCAAAAUUCUCAUUAUUUUUUGGGAUAGAAAAAGAAAACUCCAAACAUUCUUAGAAUUAAUUGGUUAAUGGAAUUAUUGGAGAACUCAUUCGGAAUCGUAAAUGGGAACAUUGUGGGGGAGGCAGUUAUCCCGGUGAAGGCGUAACUUAUUGGGGCAUCCAAACACUACUCAGAUCCGAAUCCAGACGACAAUUGAAGCGUUGUCGGCGGUGAAGGUCUCAAUGCUCCACCUAACUUAACUUACCAAUAUAUAAUCAAAAUGAAAAACGACAAGUCGUUGACGAAACUUAUGGCUGCGUUCCGAUUGGAUGAAGGCAAGUUGAAGGGGAUCGGAUCCUCCCUUUUCCGGCGGCUGCGGUGAGGGCAUUAUUUUAGAUUUUAAAAUUGGCAUCUCAAUUAUUAUUUGAAUUUCUCUGUUUUUAUAAGCAUAUGUUCUACAUUCCUUUUUAAAAAAAAAAAAGAAAACACAGAAUAUUCUUUAAUAAUACAUAUUUUCCAUUUUCAACUUGUCUUUCACCUUAACAUACACAUCAUUUUUAUGUUAUAUAAAUGUAUGAUCUGAUCAUGAGUCAUGGCCCUCUAAUUUUCCUUUUUAGGUGAUGGAUUGCGAUGUGUUAGUUUCUUUUCAAAUGCAUGAUCUUUAUGCAUUAUUUUACAUUAUCAAACUUUAUGAUCAGAUUAUGGAUAUAUAUGUAUGUAUAUAUAUAUAUAUAUUAGGGAGAUUGUUUAAUUAUAUCACACUACUUUUCUUAAAAAGCCACUCCUUUUUUCCCCCUCUCCUCAAGUCUAUUUUUAAAAUGAUUGUAAAGUUAAAAAAAAGUUGUUUGAUAUGUGUUCUUAGGAGGGAGGUGAGUGAGAAGGUAACUGGGUUAUAUAAUUAAGGGAAUAAACAUGAUAAUGUUAGAACAAUAUAGUGUUAAAGUCGUUAUAAAUUUGUAGUACAUAUUCGUUUGGGUGAAUCCAAAAGCAAAGAUAUGAGUAUAAAUUUAUAUUAAGGUCGAUUAUAAAUGUUGGUGGGAAAUAAUGUAAUAUGGGUGAACUAAUUAAGUUUACCAAACUUAACUUAUUGUUUAGUAAAAGGAUAUAUUAAACUUGUGAAAGUAAGUAUAAGGUUCUUACAAGUCACAUUUGUUGUUGUGAUUAAUUAGUGGUCACUCCACUUACCUUACAAAUGUCAUCUCAUUCCAUUUGAAAGCAAUAAUGUUUAGUUCAAGAAACGUUAAAUAAAAUAAAAUUAGUUGUGUUUAGAUGAUCAAAUAUUGUUUUUCAAAAUCCAAAAUUAUAGGAAAAACCCAACCAUUUUUAUUUAUUUAUUUAUAUUUUAAAGAGCUUUGAUUGAAAAAGGAAAAUACCAACUCCCAAAUAUAAAAAGGUAAUAUGAAUAAGACUUAAAAUAAUAUAAUUUAGUUUCAUAAUUGGAAAAACGUAGAGAACACCCCUUUGAAGAAAUUACAACCCAACAAGAAACCAUUUCUCAAAAGAAACAUUAUAAUAAUAGAAAACAGUUUGGACUUUCAUCCUUUUUUAUUCUUUUAUUUUCUUUUUUUGUCAUAUUUAAUUUUCGUUCAUUUUAAUUAUUUUUUCCUAAAAAAGGCUACAAAAACACUCUCACUCAACUUUAUUCUAUACUUGUAUAACAUAUUUUCAUACACUUUGUUUUUUCUUCCACAUAAAUUAUUAAUAUUUAGAUGAUAAAACUACAAGUAAUGAUGUUGAAAUAAGCAGAAAAAUAACCAAAAAUUAAAAAUUAUUAUUACGAUUUAAUGAAAUUUGUUUUGUUGUAUAUGUAAUUUGAUAAACUAAUCAAGAAUCAAAUCUUUUAUAAAAACUAUAAAGAUUAAGUCGUUAUAUAAUAGGUAUGGAAUUUUUUAACUAUACAGAUCAAAAUUAUUACAAAUAUUUGACAGUUUAAUUUAGGGAAAAAAGAGAAGAGAGGGUUAAAAUAAUUUGUAGGCAAGAAUAGUUUUAAAAAAAAUGAUAUGAAUGGGGACGAAAAGUAUGAUGAUAAGGCCACGUUUGGAAGUGCUUACCGACUUUAUGAUAUAUAUUAUAUAUUAUAAUGAGAAACACUUUUGGCUUUGGUUGCAUUUCCCCAAUCUUAGUUGUAAUUAAUUUUUGUCUUUUUGUGACAUAGGAAAUGUAUUUGGUUCUUAAUUAUUUGAACGAACGAAAGAAAGAGAGGAAGAAAACAAACCAUUUUCUUUCCCAAAUCUAUGGUCCAAUUUCCAUUUUUCAUGAAUCCACUUUCCUUUUUCAUUCUCUGGUUUCAUCUCUUUAAAAGCCAUCUUUUGGAUUUAUUUUCCCUCUUGACCUCUUUUUCAACUUCAAAUUUGGUGUCUAAUCAAUUCUCAUUACUACCUUUUAACCUUUCUUUUAAAUUAUCUAAAAACUUUAAUAACAACUUAAAUUUAAUAUUUAUAAAAUCUAGUUAUUAUGUACUAGGAAAGAUAUAAAAUUAAAAAUUAGGGUUUAUUAAAUUUUCAAUGGUUCAAACAAAUCAUUUUUAUUAGAGUUGUAAAGUGUAGUGAAUGUGAAAUAACUAAUAAAUUGAAACAAAUAAAAUCACAACCAUAUAUUGUAUCAUAUAGGGAGACAUGAUCAUAUGAUAGAGUUAGUUGGAUGGAUUAGAAUAAGGUUAAAUAGUUUUAAUUUGAGCAAAAGUUAAACAUGAUUGAGUUAGUAGCUAGAUAAUUAUUAUAUUUACUAUUAUUUGUUUCUUUCAUUUUCUUAAUACAUUUAUUUAAGAUGCGGAUUGUAUAUCGCCACGACAUUCUCUUUUUUAAAAUAUUACAUUACAUAUAACUACGAGAUUGUUCAGAUCCAUCUUUUAUAAUAUAUGUAUUGUUAGGUCCACACACACAAAGUUCUAUACGUAACCUAUCGAUAUGAGGUGGAGAGAAAUAAUAUUAUAAUCAAAUAUCUCUAAUAAAAAAGAGCUCAAGUUGUUAUGUAAUUAGGGUAAAUUUUUAUCGUUGGAAUAUAACAUGAAAUCAAAUAUGAAAUAUGAACAAUAAAAAUUAUAUAAUGAUUUUGUUUAGAAUCUUUGCAUAAAAAAUGAAUUUUUAAAAAAAGAUUAAAGGAGGUGUAAUAACCAUUUUAAUUUUAUUAAGCUAAACAAAUAAUAGUUUGAUAAACACAACACACAAGAGAUUAUAAUAGUAAAAAGUAGUUCGGUCAAAAUAUAAUAGUGGUAAAGUUCGAAAACCAAAUUUAUCUUAUCGGAUUCAUUUCUUCGGAUGGAGUUAAAUUAUGCUAAAAUAUUAUUUAAGUUAUAAUAACACGACAUAAAAAUAUUGAAAAUAAAAUGAUAUGAAAGUUUAAAGUCUUAUAUUAAUAAUAUAAAAAAAAAAACGUUAAAAGUUUACUUUAUUUAAUUUGAUAACUAUUGAAUAAAUUAAACUUUUUAGAUUUGAUUUACUAUUUCCUUUCUAUAUUUUAAAUAAGGUUUUACUUUAGAUCUGAACUCAAAGAUAUUAAUAUAAGAUUUAGCAUUUCAAAAUAUAACGUGACAUAUAAGUCAGAGAUUAUUUAGAUCUCCAAUUUACACGACCUAUACUUGGGUCCAAAGCACGAGUAGUGUAGGUAAGAUAUUGAUAUUAAAUAAAAAGAAAUAAUAUUAUAAUCACAUACUUUUUAUAAAAAAGAACUCAAGUUGUGAUGUUAAGUUAAAAUUGUGGUUUAGAUAUAAAGCAUGAAGGUCAUUUAAAUACACUACUACUAUAUAGUACUAUGAGAUGGACAGAAAAAUAAUAUUUAAUUGCAUCAUAUUUAAAUCAAUACUUUAACCCUAAAAUUUAAAGUAAAUUCAAUAUUACUUUUCAACUAUUAUUACCUCAAAAAAUAAAUAGUCAAAUGCCUUGUUCACAAAAUAUUUUCAUAAGAACAUGGACAAUUUUAUAAAAUAAAUUCCAAGGUACCCUUGAAUUCACUAUUGUUUUUUCUUAUAAAAAAAGGUAACAUAUUAAAUUUGAAAUGUGGGUUGAUGAGUGUAUCUAAUUAUAUAGUUGAAAUUUGAAAAGGAUUCACUAAUUUAAUUACUUGUUAUUGUUAAUAUUAAAUUAAUUGGUUCAGAUUGUAGUUAGUGACAAAAGAAGAAUGGGGUGACGUAAGCUUCUCAAUCUCUAAUUUUGCUCUUAAGGCUUUGUAUCCCAUUGUACGGACAUUGAUACAGAUGAUGUCAUCCAACUAUUUUAAAUACCACUUCAUCAAUAUCUCUUAUUUUUUAAAUAUAUGAUCAUUUAAAUUAUUUUUAAAUUAAGUAUUACUGUUUUUCUUUUUUCUUUUUUUUUGUGUUAUUGAUAAAUUAUAUUUGACUUUUGAUUAAUUAAAUAAAUUGCUUUAGCUACACUACCAAGUUAGUAUAAAAUUAUUCACUAAUUACACAAUGAGCUUCCUUUUAAUAUUACACUAAAACCAAAAUUUUAAUUUAUUUCCUAUUUUUUUUAUUAAUGUAAGAAUCAUGAGUAAAUUAAAAUAGGGGUCUAUUUUUAAAAAAAAACUUAAUAUAAUUAAUUUCAAUAAACUCAAAACAAAGCCUUCAAAAUUUUUUUAAAAAAAACUGUUGAAUAGAGAAAUUUUAGAUUAAUAACAAAUUGCCACGUCAUUUAGCUGAUUAAAGGUACAAAUAAUUAAAUUUGUAACUAACUAAAAUAAUUGAUAUGUGUCCCGAAUUAAACCAUAAAUUGGUCAAUUUUGAUAAUGCCACAUGUAUUAUAACUACCAAAUUAAUUAUUUUGAUUGAAUUAAAUAUUAUUUACUUUGGUUUAAGUUGAAUCCAAAAAUAAGCUUAAUUGAGCUCAACAGUUAAAUAUGACUCAAAUCCAUGUGGUUAAGUUCAUAACGUUCCCUACAGAACUUUAUAAAUAGAAUAGUUCUCCUCGUUUGUAAGGGUUGGAAAUUUUUUACUCCAUAAAGUUUAGAGAGAAUUCACCAAAUAACUAGAAGAAUCUAUGAUUCCUGAAGUUGAUUGCCCUCGAAGAUUGAAGCUCAUUUAAAGAUAUAAGUUUUCUUCUAAUACUUCAACUUUAAGAACAUCAUGUGCUCCGUUUUCUCCAAAUCAAGCGUAAACAUCACAUUAAAUCAACAAAAAUACAACAUCAACUCAAGUUCAACGAAAACCUUAUGCAAACAAUAACCAUAAAAAAAUUAGGCACAUAAAUAAUAAUUUAGAUAUUUAAAAAAAUUGAGUCAUUUUAAAAGUAUUAUAAAUAUGACUUUGAGAAUAUUUCUGAUAGAGUUUUAGAAGAAUGAACAAUAGGUCAACGAAGAAACGGUAAAUAUAUACAUAUAUACGUUACAAGUUAGGUGAAUUUUUUUGACAAUAUAUUAUUAAUUAGACUAAUUUUUAAUUUAAAUAAACUCUUUCAAUGGUAUUAAUAAAUAUCUGUCAAGUACUAGAGGUGGGGAGUAGAGUUAUUGAUACAUACAUACACACACACACAUAUAUAUAUAACUUAAAAAUAUCACUUAAUACUAAACAAAAUAAACAUCAGUUAAUAUCGACAGUAUCAUAUUAAAUAAAAAAUAUUAGACAUCACUUAAAAAAAUUGAAUUUUCAGUACCUUAUAAACAAAUCGCAAAGUAACAUUUAAAUAUUAGGAAAGACUAAAAAUAAUCAUAAUUUUUUUUUAUAAAGAAUUGGAUUAUUUAAUUACACAAGGCGUAAAAAACGUGAUAAUUUUGUAAACAUAAAUAAUAUGAAUUUGACCAUAAACAAAUUAUAUAUAGUUAAUUAGAUGGUAAUUAAAAUUAUAAGAAGAAAAAUUGAAAAGAUAGUAAAUGGUCGCAUUAAGUUGGCUAAACUGCCCUCUCUGACUUUAUAUUUAAUUUUAUUAUAAUGUUUUUUGUUUCACCUUUGAUUUAUUUUUAAUUUUAUGCCUUGAUGUCUCUUUCUUUUAAAAAGUUGAAUAAAACAAGGAAUUAAAAUACAUAUAUUUCUUCCAUAGGUUGAAUUCCAAACCUUGAAACCGCUUUUAAAGAUUAGCGGUUUUGUUGACUUUAGUUGUCAAAGUCCUUCAAGGAUCACACACCACAUUUUAUAACCUUUUUUAUUUUCACUAUUAAAUUCCACUUCAAACCUACAAGUAAGUAAUAUAUAUUAAACGCCCAAAUUGGCUUUUGCCCUUUUUUUGGGUAACAACGUUUGUUUUAAAGCUUCAUUUAUUUUUAAAUAUAACACCCCAUAAAUUGUAUACUUUUAAUCAUUCUAUUCUUUUUUUAUUAUAAUAAACAUCAUAAAUUUUGACACGAGCUUAACUAGAUUCACAUAAAUAUAUAGUUCGAAUCUAAUAAUAUUUAGAGUGGUUUUAUAAUUUUCUACGAUUUUAUUUUUAUGCACUAUUAAUCAGUAGAGAUAAUUUAAUAACAUUUAACUAAAUAAUAUAUUGAAUUGAUAAAUUAAAACUCUGAAAGGAUGAAUGUUGGCAUGACAAAAAAAACAAAAUAAAAUAAGACUUGAGUUAGCUUUAUUAAUCACAAAAUAAGACUUGAGUUAGCUUUAUUAGCUCAUUUUGUUAAUUGACUAUAUUAAUUAGAUUAAGUUCCUACGUGUCUAUUUGGGGAAAAUUUUAUAAAUAUUUUUACUAAUCAUAUUUUUAAGAACAAAGCCUUAGUAAUUUCACCAUAAAUAAAUAAUUAUAUUUUCCACUAAGAGAAAUUACAGUUUUGCCCUCGUCGAUUUGAUUCGAUCUCUGUGGAUAUAAAUUUUCGCUCUAAUAUAAAAUUCUAUGGAGAGAAAAUAAAUAACAAUAUUGUACUUUUUUUCAUUUUUAAUAAUUUUAACCUUUCCUAAAAAAUAAUUUAUUAGUUUAAAUUUAAGUGAGAUAUGACGAUACUUAUCGACAUUUGUGAAAAAUAUUAAAAUAAGCUCAAUAGAAAAACAUUAAUAUUAAAGUGAUUUUUCCGAUAAAUUUUUACUCUAUUUUAAAUUUUAUUGAAUUAAAAGUAAGUUUUAUGUUUCUUGAAAUACUCGUUUCUAAAAUUUUCCAUUUAAAACGUAAUAUGAGUUUAUUAAUAUUAAUUUAUGUAUAGAGUCCCUUUCUUCGAUUUAAAGUCCAAAAGGUAGACACAUAAGAGUCAUUAGUAUAACAUAGUUAAAGAGAAAAAAAAAAGUAUAAUAUAUGUAUAAAGAUAUUAAAAUAAAAUUGAAUGAAUAAAAAUUUCAUGUAGGUACUAUAUAAGAUUUAAAAAAGACUUUGUGUUAUAACAUUAUUAUUAAUUAUAUGAACUAGUUGCCCCUUUCAAUGAAUGCCCAAUUUGUUCAUAAUAACUUUAGUUGACUUCUAAUUUUAAAGUCAACACCUAGUUAUUAUAGUGAGUAUAUAUAUAUAUAUAUAUAUAUAUAUAUAUAUACUAACAAACAUUAUGCCCUUUCCUUUAAUUAAUCCCACUUUAAUUAAUAAUACUUAAAAGAAGACUCUACUUUUGUUUUCACUUCUAUAUUCAUUAAAUCUCAAUUGAUGAUAUUACUUCUAUUAUUGCAACAUUUUGAAUUUGAAUCAAUAACAUUCAACACACGUUAACAUAAUAAUUAAACAUUGCUUUUAGAAAUGUACAUGUUAAAGUUUGUUUCAUUUCAGUGACCCUAAUUGAAAUUAUGUUGAGUUAAUACAUUUUCAUGCAAGCUAUGAGCACUUUUAUGACUAAACCAAUACUCCUUUUCUUUUCUUUGGGAAUUAGUACUUCUAUGUUAAAUGCUUUUCUCAAGCUUUAUUUUAAUAUUUCAAUGUUAUUUUCAACCCCCUUUUUUUUUAUCUACUUCACCCAUAUUUUCAUGGAUUGGUUUGACCAUUUUUGAGUUAAUCACAAUGAAUAAUUUUGUUUAAUUGGUUUCACUAGUUGAAUUUUUAGAUCAUUCCAAAAUAUAAACAUAAAUACAAUACAAACUUUAAUGGUAGACAUUAAUAUAAAUAUAAUUUGACUAAUCUACUCCUUAAAGCUUAGAAUUGAAUUCAAUGAUUUGAAUGUUUUAAGGGAAGGUGUUAAAUUUGACAAACUACAAGAGGAAAAAACCAAAAAAGAAAGAGAGGGAUAGGAAAUAAUGAGUGAUAUUAUUGUAGCAUUGAUUCUGGUUUAGGUAAUCUUCUUGAGCAUAAUGAAUGGAAGGGGUUGAGAAGUAUUGACUUUAGAAAUGGGAACUCGGAGGGUGACUCGCCGAGUUAGAUAAUAUUUGGAUGUAUACAAAGCAUCAAUGUCCUUAUCCAUUUUGAGAAGGCAUAUUUCAUUUUCAAACUUUAUGAGAAAGUAAAGAUUUUUUUUUUUCUCUUUAUACAAGAAAAUUUCUAAGCAUAGUGUUGUACAAGCCAAGUCGGCUAGGGCAAAUUUAUUAGGAGUAUCAUUUAAUUCAAAAUAUCUCUUCUUUUUUCAUUCAGUCUUAUCCUCCUAUUUUCAUCGUUUUUGUCUUUUACUUCAAAGUCUUGUUCAUACGAGAUAAUUUCGAGUAUUAUUAUGGUAUAUGAUUCUCAUUCAUAACUUACUAUAAAUUAAAGUAGCGCGUUUAAGAAUCAUGUGGAGUUCAUAAAUAUUGAAUUAAUAAAUCAUUUGAUGAAUUAUCAAAUGAUGAAUGGAAGUAGUACGUACUACGAUAGUAUUAUAUAUUUUUUUAAUUUACUAUUAUCCAUGAGAUGUAACCACAAAAAAAUUAACGUGAUAAGUUAGUGCAAUCAUGAUAGUAUUGAAUUGUUUUAUUUAUGGUUGUUCUCAAAGUGGAUGAGUUUAACCUUGUCCUAAUAAGUGAAUUGAUAUUAGUUGUAAUUUAUCAUCGUUCGGUCUAAUCCGUUUUUUUAACCAAAUCGUCAUUGAAUCGAUUAUGAUUGGUAUAGUGAAUGAUGAAACGGACAUCAACGGUUGAUGAAGACAUAUUUCUAAAACGUAAAUAAUAAGCAAAAAGAAAAUUACAAGGGUAAAUAUAUUAUAGACAUUUAAACAUAUUUUAAAAGGUUAAAAUAUUUAUUUAUUUUAUGAAUAAAAUUCACCAAAUUCCAAAUUGAUCAAAUAAUAUCUUAAAAUUUCUACAAUUCAACUUUAUGGACUAUUAAAAUCACUAUAUGAUUAAAAUUGAAUGCUUAGUAGCUUAUUCUUCAAAAUAGUAAUAAUAAUAAUAAAUGUGUUUGGCUUAUUACCGAAGUAAAAAUAAUUUCAUGUAUUUAAAAAUAAUAGGAGUAUUUACUCAGCUUAAAUACUGCAAUUAAGACUUCAAGAAAUUCUUUUAGUUUUAUUUUAUCCAAACUACGGAUAUUACACAAAUUUAUCUUCCUCUUCUUCUUUUUUCUCUUUUUUUUUCAUUUGUAAUGAACUUAAUACAUAAUAAUUAUAUGAAUAAAUAAAUGUAUUAACAUCAAACUUCAUAGUUCCAAAUAUUGUUUAUUAGUUGAAGUGUUUAAUUUAAUACAUUAGCCACUCAAAUUCACGAGAAUGUCUUACUACAAAAAUUCAAUCAUAAAUUUUAAUUCUUUUUAAGUAUUCAUAAAUCUAAUAAUGACGUUUUUCUUAUAAAAAUGAAAAUAAAUAAAUAAAUAAAUCGAACGCGCUAUAUUUUUAUUUAGAAUAAAACUAUGUCAAAAACACGAGGGGGCGGAGAAUGACCAUUUUGGUCAACGAAAAUAUGAUGUCACCGAGUAGAUUCCCUCUCAAUGUAUUGGCAUUUUUGGUAAUAAACUUUAAAUUUCAAGGGUAUUCAUCAAACCUUAACCCGUUAAAUAUAUGCACAGGUGGCUCUAAAGGAUAUCGCCACUUUCUUCUUUCUUUUUUUCUUCAAACCUUCAACUGAUAGUGGAGCUUCUUCAGUAUAUGAAUUUAUCAAUCAAUUUGCUUCUGUUUUUCUCUCACUCAAUUCAUUUCUUUACCUUUGGAACUGUCUUUUGUUUGAAUCUUUCAAGUUUAUGAGGUGAGAAGAUCAUUUGGAAAUGGAUUGAAAAUGGUUUUUUGUUCUUGGAUUAUGCUCACUCUUGUGUUUUUUUCUAUGCUGUCUUUGCAGAAUUGGAGUUUGGUUUUGUUGAAUUCAUCUUACUUCUCAUCUGGGUUUCAUUUGAGAACAGUUUUUUUGUGGAUUGGAAUUUUGUCCAACGGUUUAGAGACAUUAUGAGUUUGCUUUACAGUACGAAUUUCAAAUUCUCCAACGACGAAAUGAAGAAAUACCCUGAUUUUAUGGAUUGUGAUUCGACCAACAACCAUCAUUCUCAACAAGAACACAACAAUUCUGGUGGUCUUAUGCGUUAUUGCUCUGCUCCGACCUCUCUGUUUGCGAGUCUCGUCGAUGGAACUGAAGGUUUUAAUUCCAGCAACAAUGGCGGUGGGACCCGUGAGGAUUAUCGGUUUAUUCGAUCUUCUAGCCCUGAGGUCGAAGUUAUUUUGUCGAGGUUUAUGGCGUCGUGUAAUGGAAAAUUUGAUUCGGGAUCUGGUGAGAGGACGGUGAAGGAAGAAACAGGGGAACCGGUUCAACAACAAAACGGGUUCUGUAAUCAACCAUCUUCAAUGGUUAAUACGAGGUCGGUUGAUGCUGGUGGUAGAGCUCCGGUUGGGAACUCGUAUGGUGUUAUGAAUUCUUCGGAUUUUGAUAACUCGAUGCAAUCGCAAUUGGGUGCGAGAAAUUGUUCUAAUCUUUUUAGGCAAAGCAGCUCUCCUGCUGGAUUUUUCUCUCAUUUGAUUGCUGAAAAUGGUAAUAUUUCUGUACAUGAAAUCCCCUUUUUGUUUUUGGUUUUUUUGUUCUCUCAAAUUAUAAGGGUGUAGGCUACAUGGUUUAGUCAACCUGAUUGGUUAAAAAAAUUUCAGCUCCAAUAUUUGUAAAGUCCUUUGCUCCCAUUAAUUUAACUUUAGUCGUUUUUCUUUGGGCUUCUGUUACAAAGAAAUUUAGAUAUUAUUUUGUUUGAUUGGAGAUGCCUCUGUUUUUGUAGGCUUUCCUUUGUUCUUGUAUUCGUUUGUUUACUCGUAUAAAAGAAAAUUCAGAAUAUGGUUUUUAUUUUCCCUUUUUGUGAAAAGAAAAAAGGAUUGCUUCUUCAUCUUCAUAGCAAACAUAGUUCAACUUACAUAUAUAUGUUAACGACGGAGGGCUUUGUGGUUAAAGCUGAAACUGAUAAUUUAGAUCGGAUUCUUUCAUGGAUUAGAUAGUGUAGAUUGAGUAGCUUUUUCGUUGAGUCACUUGUUAACAGGACUACCUCUUGUUAAAUUGCAGGCAAUACAACAAGGGAGGUCGACAAGUUUGGGACUUGCAAUAGGAAAGAUGUAGAUGCUGCUUAUCCAUCUACUCGGAUUGGUAGUCAGAUGAACUUAUCCGGCCAUUCAUUUGGCUCAAACCAUAUGCCACCAAUCGCGGAAGAGGAGAAUAAAAGCAUAGGCAUUGUCGGUAGCUCCCGCCAUCGUCAGAAAGCUAACAGCGGUGAUCGACUUCAGACCGACGAUUUCCUCAAUAGUUCUUGGGAUAACUCUGCAAUGAGGGACACAAAGAGAGGGAGAGAUAACAAUGGGCGUGCAUUUGCAACUUCGAUUGUGCUUGAAACUCAGGUACAACUUGAUGAGAGUACCUGCCAAGUGUUUUCUGAUUAAUAAUGUGCUUUGCGAUAGGGUUUGGCUUAACAAGUCUUUCUUCAGCAGAAUGCUGAUUCUGGGAAUAACAUUCGUGGAUUGGCUCAUCAUUUGAGUUUACCUAUAAGUUUCAAUAAGGAUCCGGUAGAGAAAUUUUUACGAUUUCAAGAGCCUGUCCCUCAUCAAAUUCGAGCAAAAAGAGGAUGUGCCACACACCCGCGAAGCAUUGCAGAGCGGGUAGAUCCUCUCUUCUUUCAAUCAACCUCUCAUUGUUCUUAACUGAUUAACUCUAAUGUAAACUCAUCAAAUUCUUAAUCUCCUAAUGCUCAAAUUAUCAGAUGAGAAGAACACGGAUUAGUGAGAGAAUAAAAAAACUGCAAGAGCUUUUUCCUGACAUGGACAAGGUAAUUAUCCUGAGCCUAGAUGAUAAAUCUUGUUUAUGUCGUAAAGUUUACAAUGUUUAAAGACUAAAAUAGUUCGAUCGCUCAAUCUUUCUUUGCAGCAGACAAGCACAGCUGAUAUGUUAGAGUUGGCCGUUGAAUACAUUAAAGGGCUGCAGAGACAGGUCAAGGUAACCUCCAAAAGCAACCUAAAGUUCAUAAAAUCACAUGAAGAUCCAGCCAAUACCUUUUACUCACAAGAAUCACUUUUCUUUUCGUGCAGACUCUCACAGAUACGAAAGCGAAAUGCACUUGCUCAUGUUCGAGUCAAUAACAAGAAGCCAUAAAGAAAGCAACACCUAUCUUUUAGUUUGAUUUUGAUCUGUACAGAAAGCAGGCAACACCUAUCUUUUAAGCUCUAAGGAAGAAAGAUACAAGAAAGAACAAUACAACGUUGUCUACUUUGUUUAAAAGUCAUAGGAUUUUAGGAAAUUGUCUGUGUAAUAGAAACUCUUGUAAGUUAAAAUAGUUCAAUGUAAGAUCCAAAUCAUGGGUCAUUCACUCAACAAAAUCCAAUUGAAUAGUUCGCUUUCUGGCAUGUAAAUGUGCUGCUUCCAUCAUCAUAUGCAUAACUAUAAGCCAAUGGACAAGCUAACUUGAAUGCUUUCGAAUAAACUGUCGGCUUACACGUCUUCGGGGUACUGUAUACCCCCGUGCAGCAAUACUCUGGCUUGUUGAAAGCCAGGCAUGCACUCUUACAACCAAUGACCGUAUCAUUCUUCUUCAUCUCCAAACCAUCAGGGCAAUGCUGAUUCAAAUCUGUCAGGCAUUUCACCGUUUGGCAAGUACUCGAUCCACCAGAUGGAGCUAUCGAAAUUGGAAUGUUAUAGCCAUCAACAAGGCUAACAUCAUAAAAAUCUAAAGGACUGUCUAAGGUGAACUCUGCAAGUGUGGCAGGUGGGACACCACCCGCCCCUGCACAUUCGAGUACGCCACCACAGUCACCAGUUUGGCACGUUCCUUUGCCAGAGACAUCAAAGGAACAUCCACGUCGACCCCAGAAUCGUCCGGACCAUCCUGUAGGCGCAUUGAUCGUCACGGUCUCGCCAGGCUUAAGCUGAAAUCCACCAUUCAUCAGUUGAGGCCUCCCAGCUCCUGGUUGGAUUCCUGGCCAUAUUAUGUCAUUACAUUUAUUCUCCAAAGUGAAAACUGCAGCAUCAAUGCCUGAAAAGGAAAACCAUGCAUCAGAAUACAAAGAGAAAGAAAGGAAAAGAGAGAGAGAUUUGUGUUUGGUACCCAAGAAAAAGCACAAAGGCAGAAUGACAAACAAGAACUCCAUGAGAGCAGGAAAAAAUGGGAACGUUGGAUUAUGAAUAUUGGGUUUUAAAGAAGGCCAAACAAACAGAACUUUCUGACCCAGAAGAAAUCCAACAACUUGUCACAUGAGGAUGAUUUUUACGACUUGAUAUGUUACCAAAAUUGGAUGGAAAAAACGAUACGUUUGGUAAGUGAGUGAUUGAAAGAAAAAAAACUGGUCUUAAAUUCACUUGUAUUUGACCACAAGGCCAGAGAGUAAAAACAAAUAUGGUAAUUUCAGCAUUUAUGGGUAUAGUUAAGCUAUCAAAAAUGGCGAAAAGAGAAAUAUUUCAAUGGUCUAAAGCUUACUAUCUACAAGAAUCAUGUGAUAAUUAAUGGUGGGAAAAUUUCCAAUCAUGUUUUUACUUCAUUGGGUGCCCAAUUUUAAUUUUAAUCACUUGGAUUGUAUUGAUUUUUAGUAAAUAAUGAGAGUAUUAAGUACAUAUUAGCAAUUGGUUAAGAGUUUGUUGAGAGGAGUUUGGAAUCAUAACGUUAAAGCUAAUAUCAAUUAGCUCACUUGUUUUGAUAUUUAAAGAAAUACAAAUGUGGUAGAUACUAAAAAACUCAUCGAAUUUUGGAGUAUAUGAAAGAAGUUAUGAACUAUGAAGGUAUUAUUAUUUUCCUAAAAGAAAACAUUGGGUUUAAUUAGGCCUUGAAAUGAGGAAUGUCAAUUGGGGAAGUCAUCCCAAGUAUAUAAACACAAGGCCUUUGGGCCAUAGCCCUACUUCUACUUCUUAAUUGUUGGGCCACUUCAGCACUUUGUUACCCAAUUAUUAUCAUCUAAUUGUAAUGACUAAUUGACUAAUUAGAUUAGUAUCUUAAAUAAACAAACAUGGUACAAUAAUGAUAAAACAUUUGUAAAAUAGCAAAUAUUUUACCAAUUAAAUAGUAAAAUUUUUGAAAAUGUCAAGUUUGAUCUUCCUUAUGAAAAUUAUUAAUAGAAGCUAUCACUAGUAACCGAUAUCAAUGACAGCACUGAUAGUACAUUUUUCAAAUUAAAAUCUAUUAUUAAUAGCAUCUAUCGGUGAUAGUAACUACUAUCUAUAAUAGUUUUCAAUUUGAGAAAAUAAAAAAAAAAAAAAAAACUUGCACUUAGAAUAAUUAUUAGUGAUAACAACUAAUAACGGCUAUUAGUGUGAUAAUAUUUAUGAGUGAUAGCUUUAAUUUGAGAAAUUUGGAAAGGAACGCUCAAAGUGGUGGCUACACGUUGAUUUUUUUAGUCUUUUACUAAUUUUGUGCUAUAUGCAAUUAUUUCAUCACUUUGUUACAUAUUUUACAAUUUGUUGUUUAAAUGUCACUUACGAAAGUGGCUCAUUUUUAAACUUAAUACUCAAGUGUAUAACAACGUUGUUAAAGAAAUGUAAAUAUAACCAAAUCUAUAGACGUGAAGAGUAGUAUAAGUUCAAUUUUCAAAAUCCAAAAUUUAAAACACCAUUCUCAUCUUCUUGUUUUUUUAAUAAACAAAUGAAUUUCUUGGUUCUGGUUAUCCAUUCAUAACGUUUACAAAAUAAAAAUUAUCGUAAAUGAAAAAACUGUUGAAAAUAUUUAUAAAAAUAUAUAGUAAAUUUUCAAAAUUUAUUAAUAAUAUAGACGAAUAUACUCUUUUUUCUAUAUCAGCGUCUAUUAGUGGUAAAUUUGAAUUGUAAAUAUUUUGUUUCUAUUUGUUACACUUAAAAAUACCCUAAAUCUAAACCUAAUUUCGAAAAAUAAACCGUUUGCUAAUCAUUCGGUUUUGUAAAGUUAAGCAUAUAAACGUUAUUUCUAUCCGUUAUCCAUUUAGGUUUUGAAAGUAUAGUUUUUUUUCUUUGGAGAAAAACCAUAGUCAUAAUAAUUAAUACCUUUAGUUUUUUAUAAAAAAAAAUAUUUUGAAGCAUUAUGUAGUUGAAGUCAAAGCAAUAUGGUAAUUAAGAACUUGUUAAAAAUUAAACAACGUUAUUAUAUUAAUUAGAUAAAUUAGUUUUUGACUCUUGAAUUAAACAAACUUAAUCAUUAUUAUAUCAAAUUCAUUGCCCAAAUUGAUUAUAAACUAUAAAUUAAGAAUUGUAAAUUAUUAGAAAUAUGUGAAGGGUUUUGCUUAGUUGGUCUCAACAAUUUGUUUGGUUAAAGACAAAUCAGUAGAUAAAUUAAACUAAAACAAAGGAUUAAACAAAUCCAAUUGAAAAAGAGACUUCUUCUAUAAACCAUUUUCAUUAUUGUGAGGCAUUCAAAAUCAUCAUUAUUAUUUUUUUGUUUGAAAUUACUCAUUUUGUUUACCAUUUUAUUCCAUCAUAUUAAUAUUGGUCUCGAUAGGAACUAAAUCAUUACAAAUUAUAAAGUGCAUAAACUAAUUCGUUAUGCUUUUGCUUCCUCUCAUGAUGAUUUGCUGACUUGAAAACUAAACUUCUAACCAGAUAUAUUAUUCUUUUUGAAUAUUUGUUUUGGUUCAGAGUGUUGUUGUGUGGCUGCUAACAAAAGAAAAAAUGUAUUAUUAACUUAUACUGUAUAUGACGUGGUUCAUAGAAUAGAACUUGUUACAUUGACCGAAUAAAACUUUAUAGAUCUUCUAAAAUAAUAAAUAUACUCAAGUUGAAUCUAUCAUUUAUUUGAUUUAUGAUUGGUAUAGUUAGGUAUAAUUCCAUUUUUUUAUUGUCUUGUUCAAGUUUGGUACAAGCAAAAAUUUUGACAAUAUUAAUUGGAAACUAAUUGAUACAUAGUCAAAUUUUAAUUUAUUUUGAUGGUAGAAUCCGAAGAUGAUUUUCAAAAGCAAAAGUCGUUAAUUAUAUGUCUAACACACCUUUUUACUAAACUCAUAAAUUCAAAAACAUAUAAAACAUAAUUUUUACUUACCAAUCAGACGUUCAAACUAGUUAAUAAACCCGAUCAAAAAUCUUUUAUUUUUUAAAAAAAAUAUUGAACCCGAGACGUCUUAUCCUCGAUACAUAUACAAGUGUAUGUUGAGUAUCCAAUAUUUUUCUAAACCAAAAUUUGUUGUUUUUACUUGAAAACACAUAGACUUACAUGUUAGGAGGUUAGGAAGUAUAUGAACCUAAAUUAAUAUUACAAAUACAAAAAAUAAAAAGCAUUUAAAAAAAGGAAUAGAUUGAUUUUUGUGUAGUAAAAUAUAAGGUAACAAACACAUAAAUAUAUAAUUUAUGAAGAUUUAUAGGAUUUGUUUGUUGUAAUAAACAAUGUUUGGAAUCAUUCAAAUAUGAACUAGCACCAAUUACAACCAAUAAGAAACACCUAAAUAAUAUUUUUUGGUCAAUGCCCACACCACCACGACUUAUUAUUACUAUUAGUUUUCUUUUUUCUUUUCAAGCAAUAUCAUAUAUCAUAUAUCAUAUAUAUAUAUAUAUAUAAAUUAUUUCAAUAGCAUGAUAUAAUAUUUAUGAAAAGUUGGUAAGGUCAAGGUCAAACUUCCCACAUGAGUGAGAGAUUUAACUUUUUGUCAUUAAUUAAUAAGUAUGUGUGAUGUAUGAUCCUUUUGAUAUUCUAAAUUUAUGGUAUGAUAAUGUUAAAAAGAAAAAAAAAAAAUUGAUUUAUAAUUUUAGGUAGUAAUGUGUGUGUCAUAAGUUUAGUGGUUAUUCUUUGCUUAAGUAACUUUGUUUGAGAUAAAAAAUUGAAGUUCAAUUUUACAAUACGAAGAAAAUAUUGUAUAAUAAAACAAAAGGAAUAACCUAACCCUAAUUAAUCAAACUGUGUAAUUAGAUGGUGUUAGUCAUUAAUUACAUCUGGAAUAGGGUUUUGAAAUAUUAUCAAAUUUAAUUCCAACAAAACAUGGAUUAAUCUCAAACUUAAAAUUCUAGGUUUUGUUUUUAUUCUUAAUUAACAUAAUUUGUUCAAGGAUCUUUUAGGUAUGUUCGUGUGUGGAUAUGAAACUACAUGGUUUGUGCAUAAUGUAUGGAUACAUCAUUCAAACGAUUUGAUAGCAAUAUUAAUUUACUAACAAUAAAACAACUAGAUUGUUGCGAACAAAAUAUAGUGAUAAACAAACAUAAAAUAAUAUUGUAUUUAAAACAUUGGAAAAAUAGUUUUGUAUGUAAAAUUAAAAAGUUCAAAAUUCAAUUGUAUUUGUUCUAUCUCUUAAAAUUUCCAAAAUAAUAAUUAAUCAUCUUUCAUAUAGUUUCCAACAAUUUUUUAUUUAGAAAAAAACACUAUUUUUUUUUCUUGAACCUCACAAGUGGUAAUUAAAAUAGAGAAGUAAACAAUAAAAUACACAUUUUUUCCUUUUUUUUCUUUUUUUCCUCUCUUAAAAUAAUAUAUCCAAUAUUAAUUUUAUAUUUUAAUCAGAAGCAAAUGGGUUGAAUUUCACAACCGGAACGCAAUUGAGCGGGUGGGCCAUGGGCAACCCGAGACCCGAUCCGAUUUCCAUAUUCGCCUUUUUCUCCUCUUUGCCGUCCACUUUCCAGUCAAAGCAUUGAACCAUGGCGGCGAUUACGACGGUGCUGGUGGUGAAAGCCAAGGUAGACCCGGGACAGCCGCGCCGUCCGCCGCCAAAUGGAACGAAAUUGAAAUUUUGGCCCUUAAUUUCGUACUGGAUCUGCUUCAUGCUGUCGCCUUCCUUGGCCUGUGAUAUGAAUCUCUCCGGCCGGAACUCGUUGGGAUCUUCCCAGGAAUUGGGAUCUCUCAUAAUGGCGAAGAGAUUAACGCCUACCAUGGUGUUUUCCGGUAUGUCGUAACCGUUGAUUUUGCAGCUUUGUGGACAACUCCUCAUCGCCACCGGCACCGCCGGGUACAUUCUUAGGCCUUCCUUCACCACCGCCUACACAAUUUUCAGUUCACACUAUUUAACUAAAAAUAAGAGACAUUUUUCACAAAAAUUCAAAUUAUUUACAAAAUAACUAUCUAAACUGUUAGACGAUGUGAAAAUAGUUUCAAUCUUUUUUUAAUAACUAAUUUGUAAAAUAUCAAAUCUUUUCAAACGAAAAAGUAAAUUGUUUUUUUUACUUAGUUUCCUCCAUGAUAGAGGCAGGAUUUAAACCUUACUUGCAAGUAGGGCAUAUGGGGAACGUCGUUUUCCUGAACAAGUCUCGAGUCUCCGACAACGGAGAGUAUCUCUUCUCUUAGCUUUUUGAGCUCUUUUGGGUGGUUGAUUAGCUCUGCAAUUAUCCAUUGCAUCACCUCCGUCGACGUUCCGGUCCCGCCGACGAAAAGAUCCUACGAAUUAAACACCUCAAUUUAACAGACUAAUACAAUAAUAAUGACAGAUACACAAAACGACAUUUGUUACAAUUUAAACGCCAUUUUCUUUCUCUUCCUUGCCGCCACCGGCCGGCAGAUAAUACACGUCCGACAAUAAUCAAAUUAUUGAAUCAAUCAUCAUUUGAAAAUAACUAAUAUAUUUCUAAUGGUUUAAAUAUAGCAUUUGAAGACUAUUUAUUCUUUUUAUUUAUAAAAAGCAAAAUAAUAGCAAUAACUAUUUAAAUUUAUAGAUUAAAACGAUCUAAAAUGUGAAGUGUAUAAAUUUGACAACCCACUUUUUACAAAUGAAGGCAACAACCUUUGAAAUUAUAGUAAUGUUAAAUAUGUGAGUAUAAAAUACUAAGAUUCCUUCCAUAAAUCUAAUAUGAUCAACCAUUAAUGCUUCAAACUGAAAUAAACAUACUUUAAUUUUUGUCAAAGUUCAAACUUUAAAGAAAACUAAUUAAACCCCAGAUCCAUAUUUUUCUCUUGUUCAAAGUAUGAUAUUCCAAACCCCCUUUUUCUCUCUCUUUUCUUUUGAUUAACAAAAUGACAAGAAAAAUUAAGGAAAAUUUAUUUACAUAGAAAGGAAAAGCAUUUCAUGUGUCAAUAAAAACAGAAAAAUAGAUGAUGCAAAUAAGUUAUUAAUAAUGAGAAGAAAAAAACAAACUUACCAACAAGAAAGCCUUCACAUUUGUUCUAGUAAUCUUAAACUCCGCUUGACUAUCUUGAUGAACCUUCAAGAUUAUAUCCAUUAAAUCUCUGUCUUCUCUGUCAAAACCUUCUACCUUCCCUCUCUCUUCAUGUUGCUUUAAUGCUUUUUCUAAUAUCGCAUCGUACCUGUAAGAGUUGUCUCGUCAUAUUUAGUCAAAUACGUAUAUAUGAUCAUAUACGAUCAAAAUGAUCCAAGUUAUGUCCUUUGUACCUCAUCGUCACGUCAAUGGCUUGUUUUCCAUACACCCAAAAUGCCACCCUUUUCAGCGGCCAUCCCACCACGUCGCCGAAGGCUACUUUUGCUCCAACCUCCAUUGUAUCUUUUACUAGUUGUCGAAUCUUUUCGGAUUCGUCACUGUCAUCUGCGCACCUUAUGCUCAUCAUCAUCCUGUUGAAAUUUAAAAACAAAAAAGUUAAAAUUUACUACAACUCAUAUCAACUUAAUUCUUUUAGUUCAAAAGUUGUUAUUUGUUCAAGUCAUUCUCUUCGAUCUAUCGUGAUAGACUAUAGUGCGGAUAGUUAAUAUCAACCUGCAAAUGCUAUUGUUGGUUAGUUUCAUGAGCUCUGCACCAACAUCAACGAGCUGGUUGUUGUUGGCAGCAGCCACCAUUUUUCGCAAGAAUCUCAAAACCUCUUCAUACCGAACAGCGCGUGAUCGUUCAACUUGUUUCGGUGCAAGAAGCUCGGUCAUGGUGAGCUUCUUCAUGAAACGCCAAUAGUCACCGUAAGGAGCGGCGAAGAAUCCAGAGCUGCCAUAGGGGGUUUCAUCGCUGAAGGCAAACUUUGGACGAGAAGAAAAGGCGAGAUCUUGAGUCUUAAAGACUUCGGUAGCGAGGGAAGCGGAGGAGACGACUAUGCAACGGACAGCACCAAGUUGGAGGCAGAGAAGUGGGCCAAAUUUGGAGGAGAGGGCAGUGAAGGACUUGUGGAGGGAGGGAGAGAGGAGGUGGAGGUGACCAAGAAUAGGGAUGGACGGGGGGCUCGGCGGGAGGCGGCGAAGAUUGGAGGAGGAUUUGGUGGUUUUUGAUCUAUGGAAAAGAUAUUGGAGGAGGAGAGUUGAGAUGAAACAGAAGAUGAAACAGAGGAUGUAGGUGUUUGUUUCUGUCAUAUUUCUCUCUUUUCUUGUUGUUGUUUUGAGUUGAGAAGUUGAGAGAGAGAUGAGAAUGAAGUUAAUGAAAGAUGGAAUGAAUCAAUUUUGUUGUGUCAUCUCGUUUGAGACCCUUCCUUUCUUCUCUUUUAUUUAUAGAAUUCAUAGACUUUGGAUCUCUCUCACCCUAUAUGUGAUUUUGAGAUUUCAAAUGAGUCCCUUCCAUUUAUACUCCAAUUAUUUCAUUUAGUGACCAAAUUUAUAAUGAAAAUAUCGACUACCAUUUUAAGACAAUAUUAAAUCUAAGUAUGUUAGCAUGACAAAUAAUAUUUAUAACUUGUUAGGAGACAUGAAUAAUAUUUUAAUCUACAUAAAAAAAAUAGUUAUCAAAACCAUAUACUUUUUUAACUUGUAUCAUAUAAUUAGUGAGUAGUUUUGAGGAUCUCCUUUUAAAAAAAUUAAGAGAUUUCACCGUUUUUAUAAAGAUAAAUGAUUUCGAAAUGGUAUCACAUGUUAUCUAUUAGUAAUAGUUAUAAUUAGACUCUAAAACUCAUCAAAGUUACAAUAGUUAUAGAGAUUGAACCGCCAAAAUGAUAAAAAUCAAAUUUAUCCAAUCAUUACCGUUCUUACAAUUAUGUACGUUUAAAGGUCUAAUUUCAUUUUGAAUGAUAGAGUAUAAUUGCAAUUAUCAUCAUACUUUAGUGGUGGUCUUUUCAAUUUAUCAUAAAUUUGUGUCUUUGAUCUAGAUUUUAAUAAUAUCAAGAGUUGUUAAGUAUAUUUAUGUCCAUGCCUUAUUAUUUCUCCCCUAUACUAAUAUUUAUGUCCCAUGGGGCUGUCUCUAGAAAUGAAUAUUAAUUGAUGCCUUAAAAUGUAUAUAAUAGUAAUGAAACAUAAAUGAUUUAGGAACUAUAUUGUUUAGUUGAAUUAAAUGAUUUGGUAAAGUGUCACAUAUUAUUAUUACUUAUUUUGUAAUUUUUCAAAUGGCCUUUUUUUUUUAUUUAGUACAAAAGUAUAAUAAUAAGGAUCCAUUUUUUAUUAUUUAUAUUAUAAUUGGUUAUUUAAAAAGGGUGGAACUUAUAUAUAUUUCAUAAUAUAUAAAAAGCUCCAAUAAAACUCCCAUCAUUUAUUAACAUUUUUGUAAAUUCAUUGAUAUUUGUGUAAUUUUGAAAAGGAGUUAAAUAAUAAUUGGUAAUUCCAAAAAGAAAAUUUGUUUUCCUUCUUUAUAAAGUCAAAAUUCAACUCUAAGAGAAAUUACAAUAAUUCUUUCCACUCAAAACCCUAUUUGACUCACAAGUCCAUUUCUUUUAUCUUUUAAUCUCUUUCUCAAUAGAGAUAAAAAUAACUUUUAGGAUUAAACUUUUAAAAUAUUAUAAUAAUUUAGUUUAAUUACAUAUUAAUACUAUUUAACAAUAUCUGAAAGGGAGAAAAUUGAACAAUAUUUAACUUUUGUGUUAAUCUAUUUACCAUUAUUAAUCCAAUCAAUUAUAAUUCACAUAUUUAAAUCAUAAUUUUUUUAUAAAAAAAAUCUAAUAAACUAUUCACACUAUGGAGAGAAUUAAGGUAACUUAAAAAUAUUAAACUAAGGUAACUUAAACUUUCAUUAGAACAUAGUUUUAGACUAAAGACUAACGAAGUCAAAUUUUAAUACUUUAUUCUAUAAAACAAACUCACCUUUGGUAUUUUAAAUAAUGUAUUUCCUUCAAAUAAAUAUAUAAUUAAUUGUGAGAGCAAAUGGUUGAAAUUGAAAAAUAUAUCUAAUUAAGACAAUUGUCCCUUUUUUUCUUUAAUUAUGCAACAUGAAUAUAUAUUUUUUAUUUCAUUCAUACUAAUUAAAUUAAUAUAGUGUGUGUCUUACUCUAUAAACUAAUUAAAUAUAUUAUUAACUUUUGUCCUCAUUCAAUUUUUCCUUUCAUUAUUUCUCUAAAAACUUAAUUGUAUAAUUCUUACCCAUAUAUGAAGGUACCUCAUGGGGAAUAAUAUAUAGAAAAUAGCAUCGCCAAUAAGUUAUACAAUUUAUAUUAUGAAUAUGAUUGUUAAUAAAAUUAAAACUGUAUAUACUUUGUUUAAAUAAUUAGAUCAUAGUUUAAACUAAAUUUGUUUAGUUUAUUCGAAAUUUGUAUUCAUAAACAUUUAAUCUCAUCUUUUUUAUUCUUUUACUAAGGGACAAUGAUUUUCACUAAGAGGCAAUGAUUUGACCAGGUAACUAAUAGUUAUAUUUUAAUUCAUUUAUGCAGUUUUAAAUUUUUGUCUCUUUCUUUAAUGUACUUCGUCAUCGAAAAUAUAGAUCAACUUAUUAUUAAAAACCUUCAAUUUCAAAUGUAAUAUCAAUAAAAAAAAAAUGAAAUGGAUCCAUGAAUGACAUGUAACUAUUAGACUAAUGUUAAUAUUUUAGUUAAAUCUAAAGUUUAGGUGUUAUUAUUUUUUUCUCUCCUUGACUUUGCCAACUAAAGCCCUUAGUCUAAACUUUGAUGUAUGUAUGUAUCAUAGAAUAAUUUCCCAUCAUUGUCACAAAAACUCAUAUAAGGUUUUUUUUCUCUUUGCAUAAAAUAUUUUCUACUUACCAUUCAAUUUUCGUAUGAAAUAAAUUAUGCAAAUGUUGUAGUGGAUUUGUGCCUAAGUGCUACAAAAUAAUCAAAUUAAUGUUCUUAAUUAAAACUAUUGUGGAUAUAUAGGAAACGUUAAUGUUACAUCAUAAUCGUAAUUAAUAUCAAUUGAAAAUAAAUGAAACAUUAAUGUUACAUCAUAACAUAAUGUCGUAUCCAAAUGCAAAACACAAAAAACAAUCACUUAUCUCAUUUAAUUUUUCUUUUUCUAAUUCAAUUCUCUUUUUAUUUUUCUUUUCUUCUUCUUUCUCUCAUGAUAUCUACUUCUAUAUAUUUUCCAUAAAUUUCCUUCAAUCCUACUUAGUGUUUGUAGUCAAUACUAUUCAAAUGCUUUGGAAAUGUGGACUCUUUCCUCUUCAUUAUGUCUACCAUUAUAUAAAUCUUCCAAUUUAAAUUUACUUCUUGGAGAAAAUUAAAUAUCUUUAAUGAAGUAUUUUCCUAUAAACAUUUUUACAACAAAUGUCCAAUAUUUUAUAACAGAAAAUUCAUUUUAUCCUCCUAUAGCUUUAAAAUAAUUGAAUAAUAUUUACAAAUAUAUAUAUAUCUAUCCAAUACAAAUAGACAUGAAUAUUUUUUCAUGCUAUAUUACCUAUAAAUCUAAGUUUCAAUCCUUCUUUUCCUUCAAUUUUUCCCAUUUUAAGCUGCAUUUUUUAAAAUGUGUGUGUAUUGAUCAAUAACUUGUAUGUUAAGUAAAAUAAAUUACUUUUGUUUUAGGGAAAAAAAAAAAGAAAUAAAUGGUCAGAUCAUGUUGCAUUAUUUAAUUAUAACAGCAAUUAAUUGACCAUUACUAAAAAAGUAUUCACAACUGGACCAGAUCUCUUGCAUUAUUAUUUUAUAUCUACAUAUUAGAAUUAUGUAUAUGUGUAUAUGUGUGUAUUCAUAACUUAGCAUGACAUACUUGCACGAAAUAUGAAAUGGAAAUUUUUUAUUAUAUUAAACAACAAUAAGUUUAAAUAAUUGAAGCAUAAGGAAAGUAAGGUAUAUUAAAUUAAUCAUAAAAAUAAAAUUAUGAAGAGAAAAAAGAUAUUCUGAUUGUUCAAACUUAAUGAAACAAAACAUAUAGAAAAGGAGGGCAAUUGUUGUUUGUUUCAGAUCUAUUUAAUCAUAAACAUAAGUGCAAAUAAUCAUCCUAUGAACUGCUAAUCAUUUUUUGAUCAUUAGCAAAUUUGGUCGAAUUUAGUCUUCAUAAUUUAUAAUUAGAAUGUAAUGUUAUACUUUAACAAAUAAUUCUUGAGGUGUUGAUUAUUUAUGUUAUAAAAUUUUUAUCCAAUAAACUAUUUAUGAGGUUUUAUCCAACUAUAAGAACUAAAUUCUAUCUUUUAAAACUUUGAAAGUCUCCCGACUUAUAACCCAUUUUAAAUUGAUGUUCUUAUCAUCGUUAAUGAUACUUUUUAUUCGCUUUUUUGGUACACUUCAUCAUAGAUAUUGUUUUAGAUAAAUUUGGAUGACAUGCUACCCAUCUCGCAUAUCUUCAUUAGUGUAAAAUCCAAUAAAGAGAAGAAGUUAUGUAUUAUCUAAUAAAAUGGUCAAAGACUAGAAAUCUCAACUUCACAUUUCACAUCACUCACCAAACUCAUCUUUCAACCAAUGAGUCCAUAUGAAGCACCUCUAAGAAUUUCUAAAGUCGUUCUCAUUCCAAAGUUGAAACAAACAUAGUUAUUCUUAACUUAAACAUAUAUCCAACCAUGACAUCUAUCUAAACAUCAUAAGCAGCGUUAUUCAUCAUCUUCACACACCCCACCAUCGUCCCAACUUCUAGAAACCUGCAUUAGAAACCAAGUUUCUCAAGAAUCUUCAACACAAAAACUAGAAAAAUGUAGAGAGAUCAAGAAGCAAGGAGAAAUAGUUACAUGGCUCGAAAUUUGCAGCGCAUUUCUGAGGCAGAGACAUGGCCAAGUUAUAAUCAACACCAGAAACAGGGGGAGCAUCCAACAACGCACAAAUACAAGACUGGCCUAAAGUUUUGAUAGCAUCGCAACAGACAAGACUUGGUGGUAUAGGGUGGAAUGGAGACAGUGAAGGCCUACAAGGAAUUAGCUGAACAAGAGAGUAAAUUAGACUGUUAGAACAGAACUUGGCUUUAGCUUGCCCUAGAAAGGAUGUAAUUGCCAACAUGAACACCAGAAACUCCAGAGGCUUGAAGAUCGCCUGUUUCAUCUUUGAAUACAGAUAAAAUUCUCAAGUUAAAAUGAAGAUGAAUAUUCUAUCUAGUGAUGCUGCUUAUAUUGAGAGUAACUCAUGCUUUCUUACACUAUCUUCCUAACACAGUACCCACUUGCAAAUGCAAUGUGCAACUUUUUGUUUCUCUUACUAGCUAUGUAUUUUCUGAGGUUUAUCUUUACUCUUUUUAUUUUAUGGGUGUCAGAAAUUGCAAAACUCGUGUUUAUGUGUAGGUGAAACAGAAGGAAAGCACCUGGUUGGUGAAACAGUCCUGAGGAAGUCAAGAAAAUCAAUAGGUAUAAACAAUGCAUCCCAAAAUUUUACAUUCUAAAUAAAAACUUUCAUUAGAGAUAAAUGAAACCUUCUAACAAGUGACUGUUCAUCCCAAGAACAGUCCAACCAAAUAGACUUCAAUCAAUGACAGUCCCAAUCUUCAUACACCAACAGACCAAUGUAGUAAAACAUCAGAAAUUGUUGUUAGCUAACAUUUUAUUCACAUUAUCAAAAUUAGGAACUCACAAAAGGGUAAAAGAGAAUUGAACUUACGAGUUCACUAGAACAACAAAAUAAUAUUAACUCAUACCAUUUGAAGUCAACAAAUUUAGAUAGAGAUAAUAAAUGAAAAGAGAUAAUUCAUUUAGUAAACAGAUUGUUGAGUCCCAUAUACAUGUGACCUACCAUAUACUCAUGGGACAGCAUAUCAAAACACAAAACACAGUAGAUUUACACCAUAGACUAAAUCUAGAGACAGAAAAAGCACUUAAAAAAGUAAAAAACCAAAAACACAAUAAUCAAACCAAACCCUCUAAGCCCUUUCCCCUCUAAUCCUCCUUGCCAAUUGAAUAUCCUUAGGCAUAAUGGUUACCCUCUUAGCAUGAAUAGCACAAAGAUUCGUAUCCUCAAACAGACCAACCAAAUAGGCUUCGGCCGCCUCCUGAAGCGCCGCGACGGCACUGCUCUGGAACCUCAGAUCGGUCUUGAAAUCCUGAGCAAUUUCACGAACCAAACGUUGAAACGGAAGCUUUCGGAUCAGAAGCUCGGUGCUCUUCUGGUACUUCCUGAUUUCACGAAGUGCGACGGUACCAGGACGGAAACGAUGGGGCUUCUUCACUCCACCGGUAGCCGGAGCUGACUUCCUGGCAGCUUUGGUGGCCAAUUGCUUUCUGGGGGCCUUGCCUCCGGUAGACUUCCUGGCGGUUUGCUUGGUGCGAGCCAUUCGGGCAAAUCAGUAGAGCAGAAAUUGGAAGAUUUGAGUUCUGGAGGUUGAAGAUUCGAUUGAGCGAUGAGGAAACUUCGAUGGUUUGGUGAUGGAGAUAUAGGGUUUGCAAGAAGAAGAAAAGCGGGAGAUUUUAAAUUUUGGGGGAAAUUUGGUGGGUUCGUUUCUUAGUUAGCGUGAAGAGUCACCGUUGGAUGAUACCCAUUUGGACGGUCAGAUUACACGAAUUGUUUCCUAUCUAGGAUUGCGAUCCGUGGGGAAAUUUAUCAUCCAAUACAAUUCUGCCACGUAGAAAAUCCCCCCGCCUUCUCUUAGUUACCCACCGGAGGGAAACCAUUUAACCGCGCAAUUUUCUAAUUUAAUUUUUCGGCCAAAUUUUUAAUAGCACAUUUUAAAAUAUUAAAAAAAAACUAUUAACAAAAUCUAUCACAUUAUUCAUAAGUUUUUUUUUUUGUAUUUGUUAAAUAGUUUAAACUUUUGAUAUCAUAAAAGUGCAUCUUUUAAUUAACAUUUUCUUACCAAUUUUUCUUAAUUUGCAUUUACAGUGAUAAUUUGAUGUAAUUUUUUUAAUGUUUUUGUGUUAGCUUUUUCGUAUAUGACAAAAUGUACAAAUAAAAAUUGAAACCAAAUACAUCACUUUAGUAGCUAAAGUUAAGUGUCCUACUUGGACAUUGCCUCAAUAGCACAAUGAUCAUCACAAAAAUCAUCAUCAAUUGGCAUAGGAUUCUUGUUACCCCAUUAUUUGUACUAGAAGUAAUGACUUCUAUGCUGACCAAAAAAGUAAGUUUGGGCAACACAUACAACACAAAUACCCCAAAAGAAAGCGCUGACAACACAAAACCAAUAGCAUCAACCACAUUUGUGAAGAAAUAAAAUGUUCUUUCAAGCAUCAAAGCCUAAUAAUAAAUGCCACAAUGAGCAACCUCCAAUACACAAUCAAAUUUGAGCACCAUCAAACUUUGUUUUAUUCUCAACAUAUAAAUAUGAGUACAAAUUUUCAUCUCAUUCAACUUCAAAUUAGUCCAUGUAAUUAUUAACAAGCUAGCUAGUAGUUGCAAAUCGUGUAUAUGAUCAAGAAACUAAAUUGGGUAACUAUUGUUAUCUAGCAAUUGGUUUCUCUUAAAUCGGAGAACAUGAAAACAAACAUUCAAAUACUCAUCAAAAUUUGUUGGAAUAAAUAGUAUCCUUACUUCCAUUUAUGAGAAUAACCAAAUUAAAUUAGACAAAGCAAAGUGAACAAUUACUCCUCAACCUCCAACAAAAGAGUGAACAAAAUUAUCUCAAGUGAAUAACAUGAAUUCAAUGAACUAAAAUCUAUUAUAGAUGUGUUUAAUAUGUUUUCCUGCUUUGAUAUGUUUCUUGUUUAGAUAACAAAAUUAAACUUAAUCCAAGAAUCUAAAUAAUCUGCACUUCUUCCAAUCAAUCUUCAUUUUAUAGAAUGUAAAUAAGGCAUUCAACAAGGAUAUACGAACAAAAAAAGAUCCAAUUCCAAAACGGUGAUUCAUUCCGUAAGCAGAUUCAAGAUUCACAUAUACAUCCAACCUGAAGCAAUCUAAAGCCCUAGACACCAAAUGAACUCAAAAAAUAUUUUUAAAAAAUUAAUCCACAACUUUAAGCCCUUUCCCCUCUAAUCCUUCUAGCCAAUUGAAUAUCCUUAGGCAUAAUCGUAACUCUCUUGGCAUGAAUCGCACAAAGAUUCGUGUCUUCGAACAAACCAACCAAGUAGGCCUCCGCGGCCUCCUGAAGUGCCGCCACGGCACUGCUCUGAAACCUCAGAUCGGUCUUGAAAUCCUGAGCAAUUUCGCGAACCAAACGUUGAAACGGAAGUUUCCGGAUCAAAAGCUCAGUGCUCUUCUGGUACUUCCUGAUUUCACGAAGUGCGACGGUUCCAGGACGGAAGCGAUGUGGCUUCUUCACUCCACCGGUAGCCGGAGCUGACUUCCUGGCUGCUUUGGUGGCGAGUUGCUUCCUCGGAGCCUUGCCUCCGGUAGAUUUUCUGGCUGUCUGCUUGGUGCGAGCCAUUCGGGGAAAUUGAUUUGACGAAAGUUGAAGAAUUUGGAAGGUUGAACUGAGAUUUUGGUUGUGAUGAUUAAGAAAUUGGGGGGUGAAGAAAUAUAUAAAGGGUUGUGUUAAAAGGAAAAGCGGGAAGCUUUGAAAUUUUCGGAUUUUGGUACGCGAUGGAUGGCCGUCGGAUGGACGGUUGAGAUUUUAUUUACUGGUUUAUUUAGGAUUCGAUCCGUGGCAAUGCUCAACACCCAAUAGUAUUUUCCCACGUGUAAAUAAUGUUUUUCGAUUUUUUGUUUUUUAUCUCAAUCUUAUUUUUUGGGUUACUAAAUUAAUAAUGAGUUCUUAAAUUAGUUUAUGCUGUCCGAUCAAAACUUCUAAGUAUUGAUUUGAUGGAUUAGAGUUUUUUUUUUUCUUUUAGCAAUUUGGGUUCGAAUCUUUUGGGUUAAAGUUCAAAAACAAAUUUCUUAUUUUAAACUAGCAGCUAAACUAUACAAAUAAUAAUGAUUGUCAUUUGUAUGUUGAUUUCGUUUCUUUAUCUAUUAGGAUCCGUGUUGAAUUGUGCAAGCAAUGCACUAGAUUGAUGUUAGAAAAAUGGUUUGACCAUAAAUUUGUAUUAUGGGAGAAAAAAGUUUAGAUACAUGACAGAAAAUUUGAGCAUCGGUAUGGAUUGUGUGGUGUUAUGAAUAACUUGACGGUAAGAAAUGGUAGUGUAUAUUAGGUCAAGGUGUAUAUUCAACAAAUUGAUUUGGUUGUUAAUAUAGUAGUAAAACACAAUAGACACUUGGGCACAUAAUUGUCUCUCUUCUUUUUUUUUUGAAACCCUAGAGCUAGUACUAUUGGGUUGGCACACCUUUCUUGCAAUUCAUGUUUAAAUGUAUCGUUCAUUCGAUUUCUCAGUAUUUUCCUCAUAGCUCGUUCGUUGAAAAUGUAUAUGGUUUUUAAUCAUAUUACUUUGAAGUCUUAUAGGUCUUUUUAGAUCUACUUGGCUCUUAAUAAAUCCUUCUGUCACCCUAAAUUUAUGUGUUUUGAUUUGUUUUCAGUAGGCUCUUCUCAUAUUUUUACAUGGACUCUUCUCUCUUCUAUUGCUCCCACUAAGACUUGUAAGCUUAGGCUCCAAUGAGCUAUUCGCUGAUUGCUACCUUUUAGACUCUCUCAAGCAUAGCUUUCCUAUGUUCCUCUCUUAGAGCCAUCUCUUUUACUCCCUCGGGCUUGCUCCUUUCCUAGAGCUCCUUAUAAGUUUUCUCCUACGUAUCCUCCUAUAGUCUCCUAGCCUCUCAUGCGUUCCUUUGAGCUCCACACCCUUCUCGUGAGUGAUUGAAGCUUUCGUUGGCUAACUUAAGUUUCAACAGGCUCUUCUCACCAGUCAUUUGAACUUUUAGACUCUCCACAUAGAUUAUGAUUCUCCGAGCUCUCAUGGACUUGUCUCUCAAAGACCUCUCUAGACUUUCUCCUUAGGUUUUAUAACUCCUAGGAUAAAGUUCUAUUUCUCCCGAGGUCCACAAAGCUCUCUUAGGCUAUUUCCACAUGUCCUUUUGAGCUCACUUUAAGCUCCACUAGAAUAUUCUCCAUCUCUUUAAAAAAUUUCACUAGACUCGACACUUUAAACUUCUAUAAAUUCUCAUAUGUUUCACUCGUUAGACAACUCAAAUUUUGUUUUAUGUUUUCAAACUUGAACAAAUAUUAUAUUUGAAAAACAUUUGAUGUGUUUCAAAAAACUGAAUUAUGAACUAUAUAAUCCAAAUAGUGUGAAGAUUUAAUAUUUGUAGGUCCGCUCGGUAGGAAACUUAGAACAACACAAAAACAAUUGAUUCAAUGAACAUGUUUUCAUACAUAUGGUUGAAAUCAUAUUAUAAUUUAGAAGUAUUUUUAAAAAUAGUAAAAUAAAUUAAAAUAUUUACUAGUUAUAGUAAACUUUUGAAUUAUAUCUGAUAGUUUUCUAUCACUAUAACAUAUUAAUGACUAUCAGCGAUAGAAUUUACUAUAGAUUGUAAAUAUUUUGUAAAAUUUACAACUUUUAAAAAAUUUCCUAUAAUUUACUGAUUCUUAUGGGUGCUUUGAUUCUAUAUCUAUGUACAACUAUAAAGCCAAUCAUAUACCCACCAGUACAAGGUCAACUUAAGGUUAACUAUAAACAAUUAUAAAUCAAUCCAUGAACAUGUAUUAUAAUAAAAUCUGAGAUAUUUGUAUUGAAAAUUUGUGCUUUUCUCAAUCUUAAAAUUGUAACAAUUUGCAACGUAUCAUCACCAAACACAUAUUUGUUCAAUUCAAUGAAUCUAAAAACAUAAAACGAGACUCAAAUUGUCAACCAAACAAGCUCACGUUUCAACUUUUGAAUCAUGUUAUAAGUUCAAUUGUUCUUGUUAAAUUAAAACAAAACAUGUAUUAUAUAACAUCAUCAUUAAUUACUACCUUGUGGAUCAUGGAGUAGUUUUACAACCAUCUUAUAGAUUAGAUAAGAAAUAAGUACUGAAGCACCGAUUUAUCUUAAGGCAUGUCCCUUUAUGGGUAUGAGCCGUAAGUAUGACUCACAUCCCCACACACAGAAAUCAACCAAACAAAAGAAAAUAUCAUAAAUAUCAUGUGGUGGACAAUGAAUUAAUGCCCAUUAUGAAAUAACACAAGUCUAUACAAAUGAAACUAAAGUAUCUCCACUAUAUGGCGUUCGUCUCUCGCCCAAAUACUCCUACAAAACUUUCAUAUUGGUAAACCCAUUACUAUUUUCCUUCCCUUUCUAAAACUGGAGAAUUUGCUACAACAAAAUCGGGGUUUUGAGUGUUUAAAGAAUUAGUUUAGAAUGCUGCAUCUUCUUACCCAGAUGCUCCGGCAGCCCUGCUUUUAUCAUCUUCUCCUUGCUCUUCCUUGGAGAAUUCCUCGAUUAGUUCACGCUGCCUUGGAGUAAGGGUCCUAAGGACGAAAACAUAGUGCUAUUUAUGUAAAAAUAUCAUCUACCAACAGAUGUGCAUGCUCUUUAAAUGCAUACAUCGCAUUGCCUUCUAUCAAAAAAUGAUAACAGACAAAACAAUCCUGCUUGUAUGCCAAACUAAGACUAUUUGCCAAAGAUGCAGAGAUGGGUAAAACUCACGUUGGUAUGCUGACAUUGAAGUGCACAUAUUGGUCGCCGAAUGAGUAAGAGUUCCUUGUUUUUAUCCCUGCAAGACAACGCCAAGAGAACGGGUUAGUAGUUAGUAAAAUACUUUCUGUGGAUCAUGAUAGUCAUCAUCGGCAUCAGCCAAACAUCUGAGGGAGGAUCUGAGUAUAAUUAAAACUAUAGGAAUGAGGCUACAUAGUCAAUAGUUAGAAAUCAAUAGGUUGAGUGGUUGUAGUUAGAAACUAACACAAAGGAAUUUGGCAAACGAAUUAGGAUUUAAUUUUGAUUUUUUAAUAUAAUUCUUGUCACUCUUCCAAGUACAAUUCUAGAACAUUUGAUAUCUUAACACGGCUCCCACUUGUUAAAACCAAAUAUGCUCCCUUUGACCACUUGGAUAACUCAAAAAGCUGUUAGAUAUUGGAAAUAAUCGUGGCCACGCAUCAGACUGAAAACACUCCUCUUCACAAUUUAAUCCUUGUCAAAGUAGUCGAUAUGACAUUUCAACAUUUCUCAUCGUUUAAUUUGAAAAAACAAAAAACAAAAACAAGACAGAAUGGCAUAAAUGGCUCUUUCCAAUGCCAUCGAGAAGCCUAAAGAAAUGAUAUUGCCGAAUAGAAAUUGGUGAUAUUACCUUUCUUCUUCAGAACAACCUUUUGCCCAGGUUGAGUACCAGGACGAACCUAAUAAUUAAAAGUUAAUAUAGUCAAUCUGCCAAUGAAUCCACAAGAAUGGUAAUCCAUGGUUAUCAAUAUUAACAUAUUGCCAAACCUUUAGGACAACAUCUCCCGUUAGAGUAGGAACCUGGACAGUGCCUCCCAAUAUAGCCUGCACGGAGACAGUAUAUCAAGUACAAGUGAAUUUAAAAUUUGAUACAAGCAAGACAGCAGAAGACUUGAACCAUAUAUAAUAAACAACCAUGUCAAAAUAUCAUGAAAUGUGAACAAUUUAAAUCUUCAAACGUAUCCCUGAUAGGUUACUUAGAAAUAACAUCCUUCAAGUUUUGGUAUAUCUUUUGAAGGUUUACAUUUUUAAAUUGAAAAAAAAAAACGAGCUUUCAUCUAGAGAAAUUAAAUAAAGUUCCUAAUUUUGUUGGCCAUUUCUCUUUUAAAAGAUGAUUGCCAUCCUAAAACACUAAAUGUUUUUGCCAUGCAAAAUUUUAAACCGGUCUGGCAGAAAAUUUCAAAGGCAACAGUUACUUGAAUCAACAAUCUUAUUUUAGACAAUUACAAUGUGGUUUAGGGUCAUAGAUGGAAUAAAAUUCAAGCCAAUCUAUCUGCAGCUACCAAAUAGCAAGAUUGUUGAUAAAAAGGAAGGAUAUAGCCACAGAAAAAUAACUCCAUAAAUUUGGUCACUUCUUGAUAUUCAGAAACAAAUUAAACAGAGAUUACCUGAGUGAUGCUUAAAACAGUAUCCACAUGAAUGUCCGAACCUUCUCUUUUGAAAACUGGGUCUUCACGAACCUUUUUUUCCCAAUAAACAGAAGAGACAUCACAUCAGCAAGAAAGGAAACCAUCAAUAUAAACUUGAGAGAAGGAACAUCUAAGUCACCUUAACAGUAACAUAUAGAUCACCAGGUUGGUUUCCCUCAGGAUCUGCACCUCCACUCCUAAAGACCUUCAUAGUUUCAUUAUCAUCUAUCCCUGUAUGAGCCAUUACGAACACCAAUCCAACAUUAUCCACAAGUGUGAAGGAAAAACAGUUUUCCUUUUCUAGGGAACAUCUAAAGAUUAAAUGUUGUAUGGAAACCAGAAAGACUUGCCUGGUAUUAUAUCCAACUUAACAGAUUUCAUUUUUCUCACAACUCGUUCCCCAUUACAAGACUUGCAGAAGUUCUGAAAUUUUUAGAGAAACAUAAAUAUCCAAGAUGGAUAGAUCAACUUUCUUUAUAUAUGUGAGCAUGUGUGUGUGAAAAAAGAAGGAUAAACAAAAGGUUGGGACAUACCGACACAAUUUUCCCACUUCCACCACAUUGCGUACAUGUAGUUUGCAUUCUAAAUGGACCAGUUUGCAUGUAUGUCUAGUGUUGAGCAUGAAAAACAAAAUGACUUAGAUCUCACAAGACCACAUUCAUAGAAAAAUGACUUGUGGAAGUAGUAUAACAGAUAAAACUAACCAUGCCUGAGCCCUUACACCGUCUACAUGUCUCAGGUCUUGUUCCGGGUGGAACACCACUUCCACCUGCAAAUCGCCAUACAUUUAUCAAAGACUUAAGAGACAGGAAACUAGAAGACAACAAUUCAUUAAUUGAAUAGAUUUGGCCUACCACAAGUGUCGCAUGCCACAGCUGCAUUAAAUGAUACAGUUUUUGAGCAUCCCUGGACAGCUUCCAUAAAGGAGAUCUCCAAAACAACCUACCAAAACAAAAACCUACAAUAAUAUGUGUGCUGCUUAAGAAUGAAGCCCAAUGCACAUAAACAGGUAGGAUUACCACCUUGAUAUCUUCUCCACCAAAGUUCUGCCGAAAGAUAUUAGAGAACUGGUCACCACAUGCAAAAAACACGUGAAAAAAAGGACCAUUGUAAGUUAUCAAAAGGAAAAAGGCAUGGAAAAAUAAGCUCCAUAGAAGAUUGGCUUACAUCAAAUUCCCUAAAAAUUCCACUAAACGGGUCAAAACCGCCUCCACCACCAGGGAAGCCACCAUGAUGGUCUUGUUGUGUAAAUGCUUCAUGCCCCACCUAUGACAUUGCAAUGGACAUAAAAUAUGUGCAGAGACGAGUUGAUGACUUCAUACUGAAUAUGCUGAACUUCGUGAGAAUUAAAACUAUAUAUCAACGCCAAAUAAAUAUCAACUCCAAUAUUGUUCCAAAAUCUUAAUAAACAGGUAGAAAUUUCAGAUAUGUGAAGGAAGACCUAGUGGUAUGCUUUCUGUAUCAGAAAGCAAAUAGGAAAAAUUAUUUGUGAGUAAGAACAAAUGAAGACUUCCAUCUCAACGAGGCUUAAUGAGGAGAAGCAUGUUUCACUGCACACUAAACUAAUAACUUUUAGAGCCCACCAACUAAACAUCCAUGUGCAUUUUUUCUCCUUCUUUUGAUUGAAACAAGAACAACUUUCAUCUAUGUGGUAUUUUAAAUGAUACCUCAUCAUAUUGUCGGCGCUUAUCCUCAUCUUUUAAAACCUGAGAUCAAGGUCAUAGAGAUUUUAAAAACCUGAAUUGUAUUUAUAUGUACAUUUAUGCAAAAACCAGAGAGGUAAAAAUGUAUAGAGAUUACCUCAUAAGCCUUACUGACUUCUUGAAACUUCUUUUCUGCAUCAGGGUCAUCCUUGUUUGUAUCUGGAUGAAGCUUUUUUGCCAGCUGCCAAAAAAGAAUGUUCUCCACUAUAAAUAAACUGCUCGGUCUUAACAGCAAAGUCACUUGAAAUAAUCUAUUCCUCUAAUUUGUAAUUAAAAUUCCGCUUACAGAGUGUCCUAUGAUCAAGACAAAUACUAUGCUUCAAAUUUCCUCUAGAAAGACACCAAUUGCAGAAACUUACCCCGUAGUAUGCUUUCUUUAUUUCUGAUGCAGUUGCAUUCUUGUUCACUCCAAGGGUAUCGUAAUAAUUGUUAGCAGACAUGUGUGCUGGUUCAAAAAAUACAAAAACGAUACAAACUUAAAAUUAUUCAUGACACCUGUGUAGAGUAAAAUAAUAAUAAUAAUAAUAAUAUCUGCAUACACAACUCAGAACUUGAUCAUGAACACCCCUCUGCUAUAGAUGCAACGGAGAAAAUCAAUUGAAGGGAAUAGGAUAGAAAGUAAAUAAAUAUAUCCUGAAUGGUGCACAGUCUCAUACCAGUUCCAUGAAUGAAUUUUGCUUCUCCAUAGUUGGCACCAAGAACUCCUAACCGAAACCAGUUCUUUUUAUUAACUGCACCAAAAAACAGAGAUAAAAUAAACACAACCGACGAAGAUUUAAUUCCAAUUCCAUAGAGAACGUACACAUACACCUAUCUUACUAACAAAUAUUCAACUAAAACCCACAUAUUGCAAUAUCUUUCACCAUUAACACGAGGCAACAGGAACGAAUAAAGAUCAGAAAUUAUCAAUGGGUAAAAGAAAGAACAAAUACAGACCAUUCUUCGAAGCGCAAUUUCCAAAACAAGCAAAUUUAUUACAAACCCCAGAAUGGAAUUGCCUACAACUCCCUCGAAAAACAGCAUCGGUUACCUACAAAGAACCAAUCCCCAAAUAAAAAACAGAAAUUUAUUACAACAAGGGCAUGGGUACAAGAGGAAAUAACAUAAAAUCGACAUACAGAGGUGGAUGAUUCGCGAGGGAGAUGGGGUGUGAAAGAACGACGAGCCAGCAAACGAAUGAGCUUGAGGCCAUCGGAGCGAACCAUUUGGGGCUAAGAAACACAGAAACUCAGUGAAGUGAAAUGGGGAGUUGGAAGAUGGGGGAAUUGAUGAAAUGAUAAACCCUGUAAAAACCCUAAUUGGGUGAAGAAAAAAAAGCGGAAGGUUCUAGCAGGUGAGGAUGGAAAGGAAGAGGAAAAUCGAUUUUUUUUUUUUUUUUUUUUCCCCUUUCUUUUCUUUACCUUAGAAAAUAUAAAAGCUUCAAUGGUAGAGAGGAAUCCCCCAUGUUCCUCGGAAGCACUUUUAAAAGACACGUUACCAUUCUUUUUCUUUUUUUUCUUUUUUUAACUAUUUUAGGUUUUUCUAUUUCUUACUAUUAAUUAUUUUAAAUGAUAAAUUUGGUUGUAUAUUUAUACAAAUAUCAUUGUUCUAUUUCAAAACAUUUUUUUAUAUAUUUAAAGAAAACAUAUUUCACAUUUAUAUAUUAUUUUAUUAUUUUGAAUAGCAAGUUCACGGCCUUGGAUUCACUACUUAUGUGUAUAACAAUCCUUACAUUCCUAGAUCCCAUUUGAUCAAGUUUAUUUGGUCUCCGGCUAAGACCAUGGUUUUAAAGUCUUUCCUAGUUGGUCACUUUAUUAUUGAAUGACAUUGAUUGAAUAUGGAUCUGCUUUAACUAAUUCUCACGAAUGAGGUACUUCAUCUUACAGUUGGAUUACUUAGCGAAAAUUUGUUGACAAAUGGUGCUUGAAUGCAACAUUUUGAUUUUAAGGGUACUAUUACGUCAAAAGUGGUUAUCGAUUGCAUGUGGAACAACAAUAUUUUGUUGGAUCCUAUGAUAUUUUGCAAACGAGGAUUUGCCUUGUAGAACGACGAAUGAUUGUUUCAAACAACCAUAAACAAUUAUUCAUGUCCUCUUUUGGUGUUGUAGAUUGCAAAACGUUUGCUAUCUUUUGCUUCUUGUAGAGUAACCUUCCACGUCGGAUUUGGCACUUAGUGUAUUGGUUGUUGAGACCUUUAGAAUGAUCAUAAUGAUUUUUGUUAAUGUGGGACUGUGGCUGAAGCGAGGGUAAAUGCAAAUGAUUGUUUAGUUAUUUGGAGGAAUAUACGUUGUUGGAUGAGGGGGUCCUAAAGUUGACGUUUCUAAUGUGUGAUAGUUGUGUGGGAUUCCACCUCGCUCUUUGUUGGAUUUAUGUUAAUGUUUCAUACUUGUCUUAUAAGAGUCACUGAAAUUGGUACGAUGGUCAUUGACGACCAUGGUGUUGUUAUGAUGAGCUUGUAUAAUUUCAUUUCCAUCCCUUUGUACCACUAAUUGUCAAAUCGAUGGCAAUUAAAUAUUGAUAGUCGUGUUCUCAUAUUACCUCUUUGAUGUUUCCUUAACUAGUGAGAGCAAGAUUUCUAUCGCAUAAGUUGGUGUUUUGGUAUAUGAUACCAUUGACGUUUAUAUUCCUUGUAGCCCACAUAACAUUAGUGAUCUUUGAAUGUAAUUGUUGUUUAUACAUAUAUAUAUCUAUAUAUAAUUUAGAUCUACGUUCAAUACUAAAUUAUAUUUUUUUUUCCAAUUGAAAAUUAAGUAUGAUGAUAUUAUCAAAUAUAUUUUCUCUCCUUUUAACAAAUGUAAAUUUAUCUAUCCAUUCAUAAAAAACUUUGAAAAUAGAAAAAAUACGUACAAGGAUAUUUAUUUCUUUAUCAACGUGAAAAUGAUAAAAUUGCCCACAAUCAUCCAUAAAAAUCAUUGAAAGAUUUAAAAUUUAAUGAUAUUUUUCAAACAUCGAGCCCAAGGAGAAAUUUUCCUAUAAAAUUCUAUACAUCAUUGAAUUGAUUACUAAACAUAAAAAUGAUGAACUAUUAAAAUAAAAUAAAGUGCAACAUCCCAUUAAAAUAGAUAGCAUCGAAAUGUUAACCAAUAUGAGUAUAGCUAUAGUCAAAUCCCACACGUAAACUAUUUUUACAAUAUUCUAAAUUCACUAUCAUAUUUAGAAUAGUUUUCAAAAUAAUGUCUUCCUAUCUAGUCAAAUAUCAUAAUAAAUUCGAAGACCUGAAUCUGUAAUGAAAUUUUGGAACCCGAAAACAGAAAUUAUGAGCCAUGGAAUCUCUAUUUAAAAUCAAAAUUUGGGGCUAGGCAAUUACUACAAGUCAUACCAAGUUCAGAUGAACAUAAAAACAAAGUGAUAACUUUUGUAAAAAAGAAACGAUAAUAAGAAGAAGAAAAAAAACAAAUCCCUUAUCUAAAAGACAAGCUCAUGAGGUUUCAUUCCAGCCUUAAGAGAAAAUCUUGCUCCCAAGUAUGCCUUCAACUCCGGAACCGCCUCAAUAGACUUUAUCAAUGGUGUAUCCACAGCUUUCUGGUCAUCCUUCUUCUCAGCUGGGAGAGCACUUUUCUCCUAUAGUAAUAAGUUGAAGUCCAAAAAUUAGAACAGCAAAAAGAUAAACAACUAAAACAAUGAAAGACAGAGUUGUAAAUCCAGUUCUUCCUACCUCUUUCUCUGCCUCGAAAAAUUCCCCUUCACCCUUUUUCUUCUUCUUCUGGGCUUCCUUGGAAAAGUACUUGUCGUCAAACUUUUCGGAGUUCACUCCAGAGAUGUCAACUUUGGUGGAGGUUGCAAUCACGUACGAUUGAUUCACCCGUCUCAGAGGAACACCAUUAAUCUUAAAAGGCCCUAUAGUCAUAAAUACUUAACCUUUAGUAUAAAAAGAUUCAACUUUGCAAUAAAUAGUUGAGGAACAGCAUUCAUGUAUUUCUGAUUGCAAGUGGGCAAUGGAAUAAAUUGUUCAGCCGAUGCAUACUACAUAUCUGACGUAUUAAGGAGUGAUUUUGAAAUAGUUAGUCACAUUUGUGGUGUUCAAAAUCACUCAAUUCAAUGUUCAAUAGUACACUUGUAGACACAUUUUAUCAUACUAUUAAAAUUGAUUAUGAAUUAUUACAAUCAUAAUUUUAGUGAUACUGAAAAUGAAAGUAGUGAUUUUAACUAAGCAUGCAACAAAGUGAGGAAAAGUUUAGCAAUUCUAAUAUACAGCAAACCGAACUAGACCACACUGAAACUUUCAAAAUGCAAACAUUUUAAUAGAAGAACUGAUUCGAGUUGGUAGGAAAACCAGGUACAAAUACAUACGAGUGAAAAGAGACAAACGAGACCCAACAGAUAACAGCAAAUUAUAACAUAACCUGGAUCAAAACCAGAUAAAUACAAUAUAACAGCAAGAAACAUCCACCAUUAUUUCACAAGGAACCAACUCACCAGUAACCAGAAGCAACCCAGAUGGCAGCUGUUUCAAAAACACAACUCUCUUCCCCUUGAACCUCCCAGCAAGAAUAAUCAACACAGUACCAGGAGUAAUGCUAGCUCUAAAAUCCGAAAAAAGGUUUGAGUUAAAAAAAACGUCGCAGAAGCAGAUUCAACAAAUUUUGAAAAUAAUAUAAACCUCAACGCACAAAAAAAAAAAAAAAAAAACGAAAACGGAGCAAUCAUACCUAAGCUUCGUGAGCUUGGCCUUGCGCUUGUUAACAAGGGGCUUCUUCACAUCAUCGGCAGGGUAAAACUUUGGCGGUUUCUCGGCUGGGGCAGCAGCUUUCGGCUGUGCGUCGUGACGAGGGAACACGCCGCCAUUUUUAGCCUUGAUGGCCCAAAGACCACGCUUGUGAUACAUCUUAGACCUCGAGUACUUGCCGACUCCUCGGAUGAGAUCCGGGUUUCUGGUAACUCGCGGGGUUUUGGGCGCCAUUGACGUUGCUCUGGUGCUGCUGUACACUUCUUCUUCGCAACGAGAGAAAGAGGAGGGUUGCCAGAAACCCUAAUUCACAAAGAAUGUUAUUUAUAUAUUAGAAUUUUUUUUGGAAUAAAAUGAAGCCUAACUCAAAGGUCCGAUAGUUUGGGCUUUGGGUCCGACCCAACUAAAACCAUUAUAUAGUAUUUGUAUAUUUAUUACAUUCUUUUAAUUAUUAGUCAUUAUAACAAGUUAUUACUAAUUAUAAAAUAAAAUAUAUAUAAAAUUAACGUACAAAUUUUUUUUUUCUUAAUUCUAAUAUGUCGGUUUAUUUAGAAAAUUAAAAUUGAGAAAUCACAAAUAAAAUAAACUAAAAUUAGGGGUAAAAACUUUUAGAAUUGCUUAUUGAAAUGUUGAGUUUCAAUAAAUAAAAUUAUGAAAUGUUUAUAUAUGAAUAAUUUUUCUUAAAAAUUAAAAAACGUGAAACAUCUUUCUCGCCCUUUUUCUUUUACCUUUCUCUUGCUUUUUUUUUCAAACUUUUGGAAUUUCUUAGAAUUUUGUAUCCAUGGUUGAACAAACCUCUUUUCUUGUUGUUUUUAUUAUUAUUAUUAUUAUUGUUAUACCUGUUAGUUUUUUAUGUCUACAAUUUUUAGUUAAGAUUAGAUUAAAGAGAUUGUGUACAGAUGAAGAAAAAAAAUUAUAUAUUGUUCAUCACUACCACCAAGGAAAAGAGAAAAUAAAAAAAUAAUUGAAUAAUAAUUAGGGUAAUGUAAAAUAUGUUUUACAUUUAUCACGUAACAAUUUAUAGUCGUUUGGAUGAUAUACAACAAAUAAAUAAGUGGAUGACAAAAAUGGAAGAACUAAUAUAUGUUAUAGGAGAAAAAGAUCACUUAAAAACAGACACGUUCAAUAUGGUGGUUGAAAGUAAUUAAAAGAAGAAGAACAGUAACAUUUGAUCAAAGUAAAGAGUCAAUUCUAGCAGGCAUUCUCCUAAGAAAGUUUUGAGGGAAAGAAGGUAAAGUGAUCCUAAAUAUUGGGUGUCUCAUUGCAUAAAGACCCAUUAAAAGGAUAAGAACAUUGAAAGGAAUUACAUACAUUCCCACAGCUGCAACAAGGCAAAACAUCAUAAAAAGUGCAGUUGCUCUUGGAUCCCUCCAACUUAGAACCCCUUCAAUCCUCUCCCCUUGUGUUGCUAAAUCCCCCAUCAACACUUGCAUUCUCCCCCCGAUAUAUCGAAGCUUGUCGUAUCGUCUUCUCAAUGCUCCUCCAUUCGCUCUACUCGGGAAUGUGUCAAAUUCCUCUUCUAAGUCAUCAGGUGUCACCGCAUAAGCGUACGAAAGCUCAGUAUCCAUGUGUGGUGGAUGCCUCGGCCUAUAACGGUACCGCCACACACCCAUCAAGAAACCGUAAAAAAAGAUAGUGGGAAAGAUUAGUUUAGGAAAGAACACAACGAGUAUAAACAUUAUGUGAACUGCAACGGUUAAGGUAGGAUUUGUCCAACUUUGUACGCAACCAAACCAUUUGCAAAACAAAACCAACCACUUGAAAAGCGCUGCAAUUCGGUUGAAGUUGGCUUUGGAUUUUCUUAUGCUCCAUAAGUGUGAGUCUGCAUCCAAUAUGUAGUAGAUGACCUCCCUCCUUAGCUUUGGCUCAGCACGUGUUAGUCGGUCUGAAAGAAUGUUGAAGCAUUGAUCUCUCAAGUGCUCUAUUUGGUAAAUGGACAAAGGGAGAGUGUAAUGCAUUUCAGGUAGCAUAGGUUGAGCAUAAGUUUGCAACAUGUUGAUAAAAGAUAAGCAAGAAAACCUCACUGCCAAUUGAAUCUCACCCAUCUUCUUCACACCACAAGCUUGCAAUGCCACAAGAGGGUAAGAAUGUGUGUAAACUCGAUUGGUCUCGAGUGUGGACAAUCGAAUCCGAACCUUCCCAAUGCGACUAUCCUUUCCUAUAUCCCCUCCUUGGAGAUAACCAUUAUCAAACACUCCAAUAGUUAAAACAGUACACGGAUCAUAAACCUCAAAAAUGUAUUGCUCAUUCCAUUUGGGAGCAGAAGUAUUAGUAAUUGUUCUAGUCCUCACCCAUUUCGGCCCGUAUUUUGCUACGCAAAAUGCGUCAGUUUGAUUCUCUCUUUGUUUCAUUGGCGACAACCCCGAAGCACUCAGGAUACCUAACUCCAAAACACCAAUGCACUUCGGCCAUAACAACUUCGACGUUGCUCGAAGAUCACUCGCAUAUUGAAUCUGCUCAUGAAGAACAUGAUACCCUCCAUCUAAAGAGACUCUCAAAUGCAACUUGCUUGCAAACUUCACUUCCUUUGCUUCGUCCCCUGCCUUGAAUCCAUUGGGCCUCUCUAGAUUGUACCAUCUGUUCUCAACAGAUGAACUAUCAUUUCUCACUUCAAUUUUCUCUAGAGGAAUAUAACAAACACCUAGAACAUCAAUUUGAUUAGGGCCAAUCUUAUCAACCACACGAAGCUCUAAAUUCUUCUCAAAUGGCUCUGCUGCAACAAGCAACAUGUCUUGAUUCCAUACUGGAUUCAAAUUCUUACUCUCUGAUAUUCUGCUUAUCAUUUGUAUAAUCCCAAGUCUUGCUUCAAUCAAAACCUCUGGCUUUCUGUUCUUGUCAUUGAUUACUAAAUCUUGAGCUUCAAUUAUGUUCACUCUCAAGUACCACAACCUUGGUGAUUGGUAAACUUUCGAUUGUGUGUUGAUGACACCGUCGCCACUGACCGAUGCUGCAUCAGAAUGCCACGCUAUUGAGUAAUGGUUGUCGGCUUGAGUCCCCAUCCAAACAGAGAGCAUCAACUCACCCCUGACUCGACUGCCAUUGCUGUUUCGAUUUUCGAGUUUAUACCAUUGCGAAGCCAACUGACUGUCGGGUGGUAUCCUCAAUGGAACGUCGGCAAUGCUCAUAACAAUGCUGCCGAUCUCUGCAUUGGCCCCUGACUUAUUAAACAAAGAGAUUUCAACGUCAGUUGUCUGAAUUCGAUCUUUCACAAAGGCAAAAACAGUACCCCAUUCUGGAUUUGGUGUUUUCUCAAAAGCUUUCGUGGUCCCUCUGUAGUUUCCAAGCUUGAUUUCAACAUAAGGGUCACAAGUUUCCGUUAAAUCUCUUGCUCUUUCGACUUUGACGUAAAGAAACAACAUUUGUUCGACAAGAUCAAAAGCAGUACUAAUGCCAACAGAUGAUUUUCCCCCAUUAAUGUUGGGGGAGGUCUCUUUGAGAGCGAAAUCUUCAUGUUUCUUAUGUGGGUUUGGUUUAUUCUUGUUCUCCAUAAAUCACAACGACCUGCAAACACAAGGAUACAUUCAAAUUCCCAUGUUAUCAGAGAGAAAACAGAGGAUUUUGUUUCACUUUAGUUGAACUACACGGAGGAAUCACCAUUAAAAGUUUGGUGGGUUCGAAGGAUCUGACUCAGAUCAUCUGAAACAUUGAAGGAGAUAGAUGAAAAUGAAAAUCUUUUGGAGAUGGUAACUCAUGGAGAAGGUGAAGCAAAGAGAGAAAGAGGGAAUGACAGGGAGGACAAUUCGGAAAAUAAAUCACGAUAUUAAAAAUAAUAUAGUGUUAAUUUUGUUUUUUAAAAAAUUAACAUCUCUAUUUGAAAAUGCUAAAUUUAAUUAACGAUAUUUUUAAAAAAUAAUAAUAUCAAUAUUAGAAUAUUCGAAAUGGACAUGUUUUUAAGUAAUAAUAAUAUACUCUUCAAAAAAUAACUUUUGAAAUAUUUAAGUACUUCAAAAAAAAAAAAAAAAAAAACUUAGCAUUGAAAAUUAUUGAUUAAUUAGUGAAAGAAACAACGGUUACAAAUUACCAUAUUUAUCAAACCUUUGGAUUGCAGGAUUUAUUUCAAUUAAUUUUUUUAUAUGGUAAUUUAAAAAUAUCAAAAUGUAAUUAAUUUCAAUUGUAAUUUUCAAAUAAAACUGUGCAUUAAAAAAUUGUAUAAACUCAAAUUUUGUGUAUGUGUAUCAUAUCAGUUUAUACAAUGAAUUUGUGCUAUGAGACGUGUAAUUUCAUUAAUUAAAAUACAGAACUAAGCAAAUCAAUUUUAGGUUAGUUGUAGUAUUUUAUUAAAAUAUUUAUUAGGAUAUUUUAAAUUUUCUCUUGUAUGGAAAUUUCCAAAAAAACUCACUCCCAAAUUCAACCAAAUUUAAUGUUAGUGAUUCAUUUUCUCAAAAACAAAAAUAGUAAUAAUGAUAAUAAUUGGAAGUAUAUUUGGUUUUUAAAAAAAAAAAAUCAAAAAACAACACUCCAAAUGGUCAAUUUUCAAAAACAAUAAAUUGUCAUUUUUUUGUUCGUUUUCAAAUUCACAAUCAAACCUAAAAUUUGAUUCAAAUUUGAAUGUUGAAUCUAAAUUUCAAAUUGUAAAUUGGAGUCAAAGCUAUUUUCAAAUAUAUUAAAAAAUAAAGAAUUUGUUUUUCUUUUUUACUAAAUUAUUUGGUUUUCAAAAUAAUUUUUGGAUCCUAACGAUUAUUUCAAUCUUCAUUCUAUAACGUCCUAUUUUAUUUUUUUAAAUCAAGAAUAUACCCAAAUAAACAGUUAUACAUAUAAACUCGUGUUCUAAUAAUAGUGAAUAGUACCCUUCUAAAAAAAUAAAAGUGAAUAGUAUGCUUGGAAAAAAUUCGAAAAAAACAUAGUGAAUAAUAUGCAAACACAUAUUCUAAAUAAUAUAUCUAAGUUUUUCUUUUUUCUAUUCGAUCAGACACAUACUCCAUAAUAAACAAGAUCGAUACUUCGAAAACAUUAUGCUAAAAAAAGAUUCAAAAAAGUUUUAUGCACAAACGUAUGAACUCAACGUACCUGAAGAACUUUGUGGAGAGAUUAGAAUCAAAGUGAUGAAGAAGAAUAGAUAAUUGUUGUAAAUCGUAAAUGAUGGAAAAAAUUAAGCAAAUAUUUGUGAUUAUUCUCUUACCAAUUUAUUUGCUUUGAUUUUCAAAUUUUAUAGUUUCCUUUUUUAAUUUCCAAACAUCUCUCCAUAUAUAUAUAUAUUUCCAAAUUUAUCAAGAUUUGAGGAUUUAUUUCAAUUAUCCUUUUUUUUUCUUCUAAUUAUUAACCAAAUUUAAGAACAACGGUUAUAAAUGGUAAUUCUUAAAAUAUCAAAACGUAAGAUUUUAAAUUGCAAAUGAAGUAUUAAUUAAAACCUUAAUAAGGAUUUAUUUCAUUUAGUUAAAGGUCAAAUUUAAGUAAGGUCAUGACUAUGUAUUAGUAAUUAAAUUUUGGGUAAUCAUAAUUAAAUUUAAUUGUUAGAUUAAUCGUAAUUGACCACAAUCUUAAAUAUAAUUAAGUUGCAAAUGUAACUAAAUUGUGUUGUGAAUUUUUUUGAAUUUAACGGUGUCAAAAUGAAGUAUUUUCUUAAAGGAUAAUCAUAAUCCAAAUGAUAAUCGAUGAUUCAUCAUCCUUCGUUCUUCGAUUGGAUUGCGGCUUUUGUUUACUAAUUUGGACGUAGAUUCAUGUAUCACAUAUAUAUGUAAAAUAUAAGUAAACAACAACAUUGUUUGACUAUAUUUUUUUAAUAAAUUUAAUUUAUGAAAUUUGAACAUUGUAUUUGUAUUAGUUAAUUUAAAUACUGUGAGUACAGUUUAUAAUAUUUGGUAAUUUAACUAUUUCUCUCGAAAAAUAAACUUUCCAAGCAUAUUGAUCUUAUUGGAUGAUUGAUCUCUGGGCUUGUUGUUUUUCUCAGAGGAUCGGUCAUUUGCUCGCUGAACUUGUGAACAAUUUGAACCACCAUUUGGCUUGGACUAGCUUUACCACUUCAAGAGAGUUAAAUUUUUUGUCACGUGAACUUUAUAACUUAAGAGCUCUAGAGCUACGGUCUCUAAAAUUUGAGUGAUUUAAAGCUUCAAUAUUCAAAAUUUAAAUGUUUCAGUUUUCAAAUUUAAAGAAUAUUUAAUUUUUUAAGUCUUCAAAUUUUUAGAUAAAUGAUAAUAUUAAGAUUGAUCAUAACUUUAAAAUCUUAAGAGCUUGAGAGGUUGAAUAUUUAAAUCUACAUAGUCUUAGUAGUUGUCAUUAUUUUUUAAAAAGAUAUUUAGAGAAAAUACCUAAAUUUUUUUAAAAACCUAUAUUUUUAGGACAAUUAUAACCUUAUCUAUAUUAUUAGAAAGUAAAUUCAAAUUAAUUCCUUAAUUACAUUAUAUUCAAUUUAUUAUAUAAAUGAUAACUUCCUUAUUUAUCAUAUCAAUUUAUGUAUAACUUGAUGGGGGUAGUUAAUUGAAAAUGGUUUAAUGGUUUAUAUAAAACGAUAUAAAAGAAAAAGAAAAAAAAAAGAAGAGAUGGCACGUGCGGACAGCACAAGAUUAGCUCAAUCUCUUCUUCUUCUUCUUGUCGACUGGAUAAACCUCUGGCCACGCCUCAGGGUUCUGUGCUUUCUUCUCUCUGUUCUCUCAAGCUCUCCACAACAAAAAUGGCUUCCAUCUCAUCCAUAUUAACCCCUACCAAUCUCAUUCACAGCUCCAAAAAACCCACAGAUAUCCCACAAACUUUAUCCUCUCAAUUUCUCCGACCAAUCUCCUUUCACCCUCCUCAUAUCCUUCUCCGCAUCUCUCCCGUCGCCGCCAAACCCCCCACCAGACUUUUCGCCGUUGCAGAAGUGGCGACGCAGGGUGCCAGUUCGGUGGCGGAAAGGAAAUUGUACAUUGGGAAUAUACCUAGAAAUGUGAAUAACGAGGAGCUUACUCGGAUUGUCCAAGAACAUGGGGCUGUGGAGAAGGCUGAAGUGAGUAAUUUCUGCUUGGAUUUGUUAUUUUUUCUUUUAUUUUUUCAUUUUCCUCUUUUGGGUAUCCUGAAAUUUGUUUUAUACCAUGCGUCGUAUUGUUGAUUUUGAGGCUUGCUGGAUUCUCCAGGGUUUAUACGUGCUUAGUUUGUUUUGAACCUUUGCAUUGAUUGAGUUUACUUGUUUAUAAAUUCAUCAAAACUGCUGAAUGUAGUUUGAUUUUGGGCUGAAUUUGUCUACCCUUUACUUCCUGAAUGUUGUUUGGACAAGCUAUUGAGGGUUCUUUUACAUUUGAAGUUGGAUUGGUUCUUGUCAUCUGUAAUUUGAGCUCUAGAAUACGAUAAGAUAUACUUCGAUUCUUGCUAAAGUAACUCUAGUUUAAAUCUACGAGUGCAUGUCAAUUACUGUUAAAACUGUGCUUUCUUUGGGCGAGAUAACACUUGGUAAUUUAUGUUUAUUGCUUAUUUGUAAUUUCCUUUCCAAAAUGUGCUCUCCAACUUGAAUAUCUUAUGCCAUAUGGUCAUUUUGAAAAACUAGCUAAUUUUUUCUCUUGAACUCCGAGGCAAAGCACUUGAACCGAACGGUCCUUUAAAUCAAGUAGCUAGCAGCAACAUUUUUAUUUUUUUUAAUGAAUUAGCUCUUGCAAUCUAUUGAUUUCAAGAAUUCUAGCAUCCCUUUGUUCUUAAUCUUCACUUGGUAACUGUUGGUGUUGGCCUUAAGAAUCUUAUUUUGUUCCAUUUCCAGGUCAUGUAUGACAAGUACUCUGGGAGAAGCCGCAGAUUCGCCUUUGUUACUAUGAAAACAGUUGAAGACGCAAAUGCAGCAAUUGAGAAACUGAAUGAGACAGUGAGUUCAUUUUAAUAUCUAGUUAUCUACAAAGUGCAACAACAAUUGAAAAGAAAAGAGAACGAAGGAAUUGUUUCUUACCGUUGACUAGAUGGAUUGAUUAUACUGACAAUGUUUGUUUAAUGGCAGGAAGUCGGAGGACGUAAAAUUAAAGUCAACAUAACAGAAAAACCUGUUGUUAAUACAGUUGACAUGUCAUUUCUUCAGGCAGAGGAAUCUCAAUUCAUUGACAGUCCUUACAAAGUAUAUGUAGGAAACAUUUCGAGUACAGUUUCUACAGAAACACUCAAAAACUUCUUUUCUGAGAAGGGUAAAGUUCUCAGUGCGAAGGUUUCACGGGUUCCAGGUACCUCGAAAUCAAGUGGCUACGGUUUUGUUACCUUCUCUUCAGAGGAGGAAGUCGACGCUGCCAUUUCAUCUUUUAACAAUGCUGUAAGUAACUUGCUUCGGUUCUCAUAUGAUUCAUAUCUAAAUGCUGUGGCUCCGAUAUCGGUCUAUGCACACUCCACCUCACUUUUUAGUCCCUAUCACAUAAUGUCCCAUGGUUUAAGUUUCAUGCAUUGGCAACACUCUUGCUCCUGUUUAGUUGGCACUGUCUAGUAGAGAAUUCCUUGUUUCACUUUAUGUUCUUCAGUAACAGUUUGGUUAAAAUACGCAGCCCUCAAAAGAUUUGGAAGAAAAUUAUAAUUUAGUCUCUAUAGUUAAAUAGUUUACAAGUUAUUUAACUACUACAAUGACUAUAUAAUUUUAUUAAAUGAUGACUUUAUAAUUUUAUUAAAUAAUUGGUCAAGGGUUCAAUCUGUAGUGGCCACUUAUCUAGAAAUUAAUUUUCUACAAGUUUUUUUUUUACAUCCAAAUGUUAUAAAGUUGAUCCGGUAAAACCAUAAGGACGGAACAAUCAUGGAUAUAAAAAUAAUAUAAAAUAACAAUUUACCAAAUGAUUGAGACUAUUUAUGUGAAUUUAUCAAACUAUAAGGAUAGAAACUUUUAAAACCAUAAGUACUAAAUUCUAACUUUCUUCAACCUACUUAAUAUGGCCAUAUUUAUAGGUAACUAAACAUUUCUAAUCACAAACUUGCUUGAAACUUUUCUUAAACUAGUUGACUGAUAGGCAUUACCAACUUGAAUGUCUAAUUGAUAUUACCUUAUGAAUGGAUGAGCUACGCUCUGAAAGAUGAUGGCAUUUUAACCUGAAACAUCUAAUACAUCUUUUGUUUUCGAAUUCUUACGGGAAGCUUGUGUUUCUGAUAUGUUUUUCUUUGCUGCAGUUGUUGGAAGGCCAACCAAUCCGUGUAAACAAGGCCUAAAUUUUGUAGGGUUCUAUGUAACAAAAAUGUUUGGAAGUUUCACUUUUGCCUCUUGGAAUGAAAUUGAUGAACAGCAGAGGGCAGUUUUUUCACACAAUUUCUGUAUUCAUAUCACUAAUGUAUAAUCUUGUUUAUUUUUCUGUUUAAGCAUCAAAUCUUAACUUAGCUAGACUUUAAAAUGCAAAUCUUUGAUUACAUAUCAAAAUAUUCUGAAAAUCAUUUUCAAAUUAAGUAAUCAUUCAUUUAUAACAUAUAUAACUGAGUACUCAAGACUAAUCAAAUUAAAACGCUACAAAAGCUAUCACAAUCAACAUUAACUUUCUACAACCAAUAGCAACAAAACAUAUAUAGUAUGCAAAUUUAUAUUAUUUGGUAAAGAUGUCAAGUUUAAAUCACUAUAAAAAGAUGUCAAUUGAAAAUUCAAACUAACACAAACUCAAAUAUAUUAGAAUUCAAAAUUCAAAACUAAAGAAAAAAAAGAAAAAGAAAACCCACCAUGAAUAAAUUGCGGUAUAAUUUUGAAAUGCAUUACUAUAGUAAUUUGGGAGACUGACUAGUAAUUACUUAUCGAGGAAGCAAUUUCCAGCCAAACAAUUUUCACAGCAUUUUGAAUAAAAGUACUUCAGGAACAAUAAAUUAUUAAAAAUGUAAUAAAAUAACAAUAAUACAGCUUUCAAUUUCAUUAAAGUCGUCCCAAAUUCCCAAAUUUGAUCGUAAGAUAUGAGAGGUUCUUCCCAGAAAUCUUCCCGUUUUUUCAACCCUCGGAUCUCCUCUGUGGCCGUCGACGUCAAGGACCGGCACCACCGCCACCAAGAGCUCCAAUUGUUGUGGCUUAUUUUCCGGUUGAUUCGAUUCGUUGCGAGACCGACGACGGUGAUCUCUGAUCAACUGCCGUUGUUUUUGUUUUAUUUUAUUUUUACAGUCCCUAAAGUAAAUGAUCAAUAAAGAUACAGUUGAGUUCAUUUAUAUAAUCUUUGAAUUUGUAAGCUUAAAUUUACAAUUAUAAAUGUUUAAAUUGUAUAUUUGGGUGAAAUUUCUGAUGAUUUCUUAUUUUAUCAAUAAGUUAUUUAAUAAAAGUUAUUCUUUUAUUAUAUUGUAUAAUAAUAUUUCUAAUAAAUUAAGAUUGGUAUGAAUUAUAAUUGAUAAUGUUAUAUGACUAAAUACAUAAUUAAAUUGAAGAAUUAAAAACUUAUUAGGAUCCUAAUAAGAUUAGGAAUCCUAAACUUAUUAGUAGGAUCGAAAACCUAAACUUAUUAGUAGGAUCCUAAUAAGAUUAGGAAACCUAAGCUUAUUAGGAAACCUCACAAACCCUAUAAAUAAGACUUUGAGGUCUUAUUUUAAAUACAACAAAGACAUAAAUUCAUUAUACACAAAGGGAGUAUAGAGAAUUUUGGUGAUACAAAUUGGAGAAUUGUUCUUAAAUUCAACAUAAAGGUAUGUUUAUUUUAAUUGUUUAUGCACGAUUUGUUAUAUCGUAAAGUGAGAUAAAAGAAAGAAAGUUUUAUGUUAAAUUUAAGUUUAGUAUAAGUAAUAUGAAAAAGAAAAUUAAGAAGUAGGGGUAGAGACAAUUUAAGCAUUAGACUAAGUAGUGGAAUUGAGGUAUAUAUUAAAUGGAGUGAUUCUACCACCUAGGGCACCUAUGAUAACCAAUUCCAACUGUUGGAAACCUGAUUUAAUUUAUGAAAUUUUACUAAAAGAAUGUGAUGCAAAGAUAAAGGGGAGAGAGAAAAAGUUAAAAUAAGAAGAUAAUAAAGAAUGACUAUGAGUGAUAACUAUAUCACUAUGACAUAAUGAAAAUGAAAGAGGAGAAUAAAUUUGGACCAUAUGAAAGGUGACAGAUAUGGGCCAAUGGCUGCUUAGAACUUGAGAUCCACGGCUCCUUCCUUGUAGGAUAAGCAAUUAAUUCACCUCAAAUCCCACACUGCUUCUUCUUUCAUCUUCUUCCUACCUCUAACUGUCUAUAAAUAAUUCCAACAUUUAAAUCAUUAAUUUCCACAACCAAAAUCAACUUCUACAGGAUCUUCAAUAUGGGAUUCUCGCAAAUGUUCAGCUCCUGUUUUUCCCCCUCCAGAGUCUCCGACGAUCGCAAAGAUGAUCUUCCCGGGUCAAAGAAACCCAAACGACCCGUGAAGAAGGAGCGUAAGGAAGCUCCGAUUGUAGUUUCUUAUUUUCCUGUUGGUUCAUAUGCUUCUCGCUUGUAGCUGGUGAUCAAGACGCUUGCUGUGAAUUGGUUUCAAAAUAGGAAAGAAAGUACUCCAUGAGGGGGAAAAAAAAAAGAAAGCCAAUUCUAGAUUAUAUUAUUUUCGUCAUUAGAAUAUAUAUGAACAUAUGAUAUUCAAAGAAAUUUAUAUAUAUAUAUAUUGUGAUUUGCAAAUAUUGUUAGAUUAUAAAAUACUCUUUGGCAAGACAUUACCGAUCUGUCCUAUUAAUUACAAGGUGCAAAAUCUCUAAAACGUCCGAUCAAACGCACACCACAUGAACAUAAUGUUUUCUUGUUUUCUUUUUCGAAUAUUUACUCAAUAAUGAUAAUGACCACUUUUUUUUUAAAAGGAAAAAGAAUUAAGAAAGUAAUGAUAAUAUGAAUUGUUACCCAACUGAUAAAUUAAU
rnacentral:lncRNA from 1 species